CUUGAAGUUGAAGUUGAAAAAACAGUUUGAUUCCCAUUCUGAGACUCACAGAGGUAAAGAUAGAAAGAGGUUCAUCACUCUGAGGGACUGAGCAAGCAAACUGUUAAACAAUUUCACAAUCUCAUUUCUCAGCAUUAAACUGUAAAGCAUGUGGGGAUUUCAUCAACUGCAGUGCAUGAUUUCAUGAAAAAAUUCAGAGACAUGUCUUUACAAAAGGGAAAAGGCAGAAAACCAGUACUGGAUAGCUGUGAUUUUCAGGCUCUUGGGUGGUACUGCACUUCAAACAGACAUCACUCUGUGAUGGAAAUCACCACAAUUGUACCAUGCUAAGAGGAAAACAUAUGUAAAAAUGACCAAUGAAUUAAUGCGACUUCCUUUAGCCUGUCCUUUUUAAAAUGAACUGCGGUGAAAUGAAAAACUGUCCUGUGGUCAACUGUGCGAAGAGUCAAGAUUUCACACAUUUUUGGAAAUUGUGGAUGCUGUGUCUUGUGGUCUAAGACUGACAGGGACAGCCCUGAUUGUUAUCAGUGCACAGUUCAAAGGACAGAAGUGCAGAAGUGCCCUUGGCAUGGUUAGCUCAUCCACAUCUUAUUUACAUUUACACAUAUACAGGUUUUGGAGCUGCUCCAGACAAUCCUGCAAUACACACAAUGCCUUUUUUGGGUGCCAAACUGCAUUGCACAUGUAUUACAACAGCAUGGCUCUGAAGAGUCUGGGUGCUAAACUGGCCUGCCUGCAGUACUUGUCACCAAGUGGAUACACAACAAAACUGUUAAGCAGCCGAAAUCCUCUCCGGCAAGAAUAGUACAACGUUUCACUCUCCAGACUCCAGCGACCAGGGUCCUUGGUUCACAAAUGUUUGCAGAGGUUUGUUAAAAGAAGAGGUGAUGCAACAGGACAGUAAACAUGCAACUUUUUUAGAAAGUGUUACUGGCAUCAAAUUUAAUUUGAUGCCAGUAAGAAUUUAUUGAUUAAUGAUUUUUUUUUCAACAUUAUAUAUGUUGUUUUUGCACUAUUUUCAAUCAAAUGAAGGGUUUAAAUGAUUUACAAACCAUUAAAAUCUCUUUUAAUCAAGAUUUUUUAGCAUCCCAUCUCUUUGAAAUUGGGGCUUUGACACCAAAUAAAACGUAGUGCUUUUCUGUAACUUCUGUGACUUUCUUUUUUUCUCAAAAAUGCUGAUUGCGUUUGUCCUUGAAGAUGUAAGUGUGACAGUUCAUGAAAACACCGAGGUGACGACGAUCACUCUGGCAGAGAAGGGGUUAAAACACUGGGGUUUAUAUACAGAUCAGACUAAUUGCUUUAGAGACACAGGCGUUUAAGAGAAAAGAUGAGAAAGAGAACGAUGGCGGGGAGUAACACCGGAAACAACACAAAACCACCAGGAUUACAGGCUCUACAAAACAUAUAAAAACAUACAGAUUUGGCAUAAAAUUAUAAUAAAGAACACAAGUUUAUUUUUAUCUGCAUUCAGAGCAAGUUGCAGCUGAGAAAGAUGAUCUUUCUUGACUUAAAUUCAUAUUGAAAAUCCUCAAAAAUUUUGAAAAGAAAAGGAAGAUUUAAAUUUUUUUUAGGACAAUUAACAAAUAAUAGCAGUGAGCCCAAGACAGAGCCCUGAGACACAGCUUUGUGGAUUCUUGGUACUGGAUCCUGGUUUUCUUCUGGAUGAUUGUUAUCAACUCACUGGCUGUGAUCUGAAAAUCCAGUAGUUAGACAACAUUACUUGUUAUCUAAUUCAUAUGUUGUGUCAUGGCAGCGAUAGUAGUAAUGUGGUUAAUAAUUUCUAUAUUGGAGCCUUUUGUUGUUCAAGACAGCAGAGUCCUCAUCACACUACAUAGGACAUCAAUUCUUUAUAAGAGUCAUGACUAAUAACGUGAUACAAAGACUCCGCUGUAAGAUUUAUAUUCUUAAUUAAGGGUGCCUGACAGGACAUCAAAGUCUGAAUCCCUGUGGCAACUGUCAUCUCCUGAGGCAUUAAAAAAUAUUUGUUUAAUGAUUAUUCAUAAAUUUAGUAAUUAAAAGUCCUCACAGAUUUGAUAGAUAAGUUUCUGCUGCUUUAAAAAUGCCCAGAAUUAUUGGAUUAAUUCAAGUCAACACAUCGCAGUGGGACUGUACUCCCUGGCUCCUCUGAAGUCCUCCCUAACAGCAUUUAAUGACCUGUGCAUUUGAAAGCCUCCUCUCAGCAGGUUGACUUUGUUUGGAUUGGAGGACCUUGCUGUUUGUACGAGGGACCGCUCCUCAGCCUUUGAGGGCUUACUUUUCCAAUCCAUUUAACAAAUACCUUUUUUCUACACUCAGUGAACUUACACAACCACUUCAAGGAAAACACUCAUCAUGAGCCAAAUCAAAAAUCAAAUUCCUGAAAAUUAAAUAAUAUCUGCUUCUUUAACACCACUUUUCGCACUAACAUGCUCAGUGAUCCGCAGGAGUUACUGUGGUUUCACAGCUUGGUGAGGAGUUGUUAAAGUGCAACCAAGUAGCAAGAUAUUUCUGAAGUACACUGUUCAAGCUCCAGAGACCUAGCAGGCCAAAAAUAAAGGUGAAUCACCAUGUUAUAUUCCUGCCAUAAAUUGUAAAAAAAAAAAAAUGUUCCCUGUGUGCAGUCCCAAAAUCGCUAGCACAGUGAGAUUUCUCAGCCUGAGUGUGCAGAGGUGCUUUCAGCCCUCAGUGAACUCGCCUUUAUCUAUCAUGGCUUCUUUACGAGCUUCUGCGCCAUGCUUUUCCUUUUACAGAUCCAUUGAGUGGACUGAGUCAGUCAUGGCAAGCAUUAUGUAAUUCCAAUCAAUCUGAGUUAUAAAAUCUUGACAUAGGCCGAGGCUGGGCUACAGACUACUGCUGAAAUUUACAGCUGUUUAGAUUGCAAGUCACUUCCCUGUGGCCUGUGUAUACACACUCUGCAUCUGCCUUCUAGAGCCGAGGGGAAAUAAAACUCUGCCCAUGAGAGACUUCAGAUCUGAGUUUUACUCUCUGUCUAAAGCAAUCAUGAAUGAUUGGGUGCAUUUACAGCAUUAGAUUGCUUUAAUUUUCAGGAGUCUGCUGUAACUGCAAGGAAAAAGGAAGAGGGGGAGCUCACUGCAGCUCUUUUAAGAGAAAACAUUCCUGAUGUGUUUAAAAAAAGAUGAACAAACCAGCCAAGGGAUGUUAGCCUCUGCAGCUGUAGGUGGCAGCAGAGACUGCUCCUCCUCUGAAGAAGAAGACUGAUUACUAUUCACAGCACUAACCAGGGUACAUAUCAGCCCAACACAUACAUAAAUCGAUUCAGUUUAAUGUAAACCCACGGUUGCAUAGAAUGAAAUAUUUACUUGUGUGUGACACUCCUCUGCAGCCUGAGUGUGUCUGUUAUUGGAUGGAGCUGGAUGCUUCUGUCAUCACCUUGAACUGCGUUAUCUCUCUGCAUGUUUUUCAUGGCACCACUAAGUUUACCAUCCACAUCCAAAAUGGCUCAAGAUGAAUUCAUGACUCACAUCCAGGACGCAGAAGAAUAAAACUCGUGUUUGUUUUCGGCACACAUCCUGCCGAAUAAUCUCACUUUGGAAGACUGUUUACGUCUGCAGAGGACUCCUGCUCCAUUUAUGCUUUCUUUAAUGUACUUUGUCAUUAAGACUAUCUCUACGAGCGCUUCACAUCUCUUAAGGAUGCACUCACGCCUUUCAUAAUGUGUGUUAAUCUACUCAACAUUUGUUGUUAACAUAUUUGUUUAAGUGAUCCUUUAUCCUCUGUAUACAUAAUACACAGACUGGGGGCUUGUCUAUAGUCUGCUGAUGGAACUAUCCUUUGGGUAUCAUAACGGAUGUGCUUGAAUUAAAGACAUUAUGCUAAUUGUACAUACAGAGUGCUCAGAGCGAUUCUCCAUCUUCUUUAUGCAUGCAGACUUAAUUCAAUGAAUCUGUGGGAGAGCACUUUCACCAAUGGGUGAACUCGAUAUACAGCACCUGAACGUAAGCCAAGCUAUACAGAUUAACAACGUGACAUACUGGAAGCAAUAUUACAAUUAUGUCAUAGCAAUUUGUUAAACUGUCUCAAGGCUGACUGCACGAGCGGAGGGAUAACUUAUGGGUUUUGUGUGGCUGCAUGUCUGUGAGUGUGCUUGUCUGUGAAGUUGCUCCUUACAGGAAUAGGUUGCCUGUAAUUCUUUUAUUUGUCAAUUUUUGGCAGUUAUAAAAACACAUCCCAGCUGGCUGCCUGCCUGCACAAUUGCCUGCUAUUAAUGUUGAUGCAUAAUUGCAUUACAUAAUGUGUUGUGCUGUUUUUUAGUGGAGUCAAACAGCUGUGGCUGUUGGCUGUCCAUGCUGCACAAAGUCAAGUGCUCUCCCCUCCUUCCCUGCUCCAUACCAGCCCAAUCAGAAAUGGGAGCUGUCACAGGUCACUGUCAAUUGUAAGCUGUAUCAGUGCGGCUUUUGAAACUGUUACAGAGCUCCAAUUUAGUUUGUCAGUGAAUGGUAAGAUUUUAAGUGCACAGGGAUUUGAUUCAUUCAUAUUCCUUUAUCAGACGGCAGCUAAUUCAAACACAGUAGUCGUACAAUGUCAUAAGUGACAGACAGAGAAAUCAAUCUCUGUUGUAGAGGGAGAGAGGAUGGUGGAGAGUUGAGGAUUUUCUACGACAAGCUCUGCCUGUCGGCUCCCCAGCAGAUGGUGGUGCAGCAUCGCAGAGGAGCCUCUCCCAGAGCAGGAUGAAAAUGGUGCAGAAGAUGAGGUGUCUGAAAAUGAACGCUGCAGAAAUUGAGGUACGAAGCUUAAUGAAAUAAUAGGGUCAUAUCUUACCUACACCAUCAUUGUACAAGGCAGCACAUUUUUAUAAAACUGACAGCAGUAUAUCUUUCAACAUCUCCCAUAUGGUGUAGCCAGGGGGACGAUUAAAAGUGGAGCACAUUGAUAGCCUGGGUGCAGAGGACGUAUGUGCGUGUGGUUGCAGUUUUGAAUCCAGUCACUUACGUAAAUGAAUCCAGGAUUGAAAGCAAUCAUAAUAUUCAAACUGCAGAUUAAAUACUUGACAUGGCAGGAGCUAAGACAUGCAGUUGGGUUUACAGAGAGCAAAGAAGGAGCAAAGCAAAAUAUCAAACGUGCUUACAUGUGAUAAGUCAGACGUGUUUACACUGGCUUCAUUUGCAUCACAAAGAGCAUAUUUGACAGUGGGAUUUGUGAUUUUUGUGUCAUCAUACAUUGCUUUGUUGUGCAGCACUGGCAGGUGAUAUCACAAGCAUUGCGGUGCUCUCUCUACCUGUUACAAGGCUGAAACACUUUGCAAUUUCAGAUUUAGCGUUUUCAUAUUUUCCAGGCAGUAAGUGCAUUUUGAAGAGAGAUCAAACUCGCUGAUUUAUCUGAGUUUCAAAUUGCUUCUGCCCCUCAACUCAAAGUCAAGUAUUGUUUCUGUGCCAUAUUGGUUGCCUUUGGGAAAUAUCUGGGCUGUCUUUAGCUCUAUAUUGGAUGGGCGCGGAUAGAUUCUCACUCUGAAAAGGGAUGGAGGAAAGAGCGGUGAAGGGAGUUUGUCACACUGUAGAAAAAGCAUAAAGAUGUGGAAAAAAAAGUGACCAUCUAUUACAUUACAUGAUUUUCUGUGCUCACAGAAGAAAGCGGGAUGACAUGCUCUGCUGAUGGAGGUCAUGGGGCCAAAUUUACUGACAUGGAAAGAGGAGUUUUAAGGUAAAACAUAUCUUGCCAUGCAUGUUCUGACAUGAAAUAUCAGUGCUGCAGAUGUCAGACAUGAGUUCUGAGGCUGAGUGCAUCCUUUGAAGUCGUGCAAAAUGGCUCUCAUCAGAUGAGAGCUGUGCAGACUGAGACAUCCAGUGUAUAAAAAAUGCUGUGAUUGGAAACCUGGUAAGCUAAUGAGUUUGCACUUCUAUCUUCUCAAUUUGUACAGGCUUUUGUGCCAAGGCCUUUGAGGCUUGUCUGUGCCAAGUCUUGUAAUAGUGUUCUCAUUGUUCGCCUGAGAAUCUGACACUUUUUUUUCAUGAAACUUAGGGGGAAUCCAUCUCAAAACUUUUUCACAUGGGAAAGACAAGAAGGCCCGAGAAAAUUGCUGUGAAUUAUGGAUAUUGCUGCAGUGAAAUUAAGAUGACAAAGAAGUAGAGGAAAAAAAGGAAUCCUGUCUUAAAAGGCUCUGAAGAGGGAUAUUUCACAACUGCAUCUGAGCUGCAAUGCGGCGUAACAAGUCAUGAGUAGUUCUAGUUAAAAAAUUAUGAAGUUACAUUCCUCUUUUUCACUUUCUGUGUGCUGGCUGAAACCCUGCUUUUUAGUGGCAACAAACAUCUUUAACUAUUAGCAAGUAGCCUGUGAAAUUAUGUGUACACUAGCCUCUUGUUUUCCUGUCACAGUUUUUGCGAUAAAAGUGAAAUAAUUUAGCUCCAGUUGCUUAGCGCUCAUCUCCCUCCCUCUUCCUCUCUCAGUCUCCCUCCCUCUCUCUCUCUCUUUCUCUCUCUGCCUGCCCCUGACUUUCUGCUUUGGUUUGCCUCUGCCUUGGCAAACCGCAUAACUAUCAGAUAAAUGAGCUACAAAUGAGAAAGGGGUUGCUUCACUUGGGAGUUGUUCAAAUUAUUGGGAGGCCACUGACCACAGUGCUUAUUUGAGCUUAAGAUGCAGGCUGUUGAGAUUUGCUGGGAGCAAAUCUAGAGGCUGGUUGAGUCUUCAGGCAUGUCCAAUCCGAUCCAUUCAACCAUUAAUGCCCGAGAGUAGACCAGGGGAAACAUUACAGCCCUCAGAUCGACUCGGAGCACUGCGACCAGGGUCCCUUUUCCUCCUUAAACUCACUACUCCCUGUCCUCUCAUCAGGCUUAGUGAAAAUUUAGUUAUUCUUACACAUGACAAGACAGAACAGAACAUUCCCUCCUCUUCACUUCUUUUCUUUUUUUUUUUUACUUACUAGUGAACACUCAGCACUUUUGCUUUUUAAUUAUAGCUACCCUUGUUGUAAUAACCAGCUGUCCAGAGAGUUAGAAAUAAUCACACAGCACUAAACAAACAGAGUACAGUGCUACAUUACGCAUUGUAUUAUGUAUGUGGAUUUUCUUUUUCUUUUCUCACUCACAGAUACACAAAGGGUCAAAGUGCUGAAGAAAAACACUUUGAAACUAGCAAAUGAGAUACUGCAGAGUAAAAUUAUAACAAAUGUGUCUGUAUACGGAUAGAAAAAUUCUCCAUACAUUCAGGGGUACAGUGCAAUCAGACUACACAUCUCUGUUGCUCUGUAACGCACAGACACACACACACACACACACACACAUACAUAAAUGCACACAGUAAUUCUAUGAGGCUCAAGGUUGUCGUGCUUAUUGAAUAUAUCAACUUAACCACUUAUGUCAUUGAUCAAAAAGCCAAUUCCACUUCUAUUAUUGUGUUAGAGGGUAAAACAAUUGCCAAAUGACUUUGUGAGGUGCACUCACUUGGUAAACAGAUCUGAGAUCCAUUAAAGCCUUGGAGAUUAUCAAGCCUCAGUCCAACAAUUUGUGGAGAUUGCUCUGAACACCUUGCUGCUGACCUUCCUCAUCCAGUUGAAAGUCAAUGGGAAACGUGGCAAGGAGCCCGCCAGCGCCACAAGCAGCCCCUUCACUUUAAUUACACCGUACCUCAAUGGCUGGAGAUAUCUUUGCACCCCCCCCCCCCCCACACCCCCCAACCCUCCACCUGCCUCCUACCUACAUCCAUGUGUCACUAUUGAUACCUCAAAGCCACCAAUACAGUCCAGAUGUGCCACAGCUGUAAUAUCCCCUGGACACCUCUUGACAGGCUCAAUCAGAGGACUCCGUGAUAGAUAAGGCAAAGCAUGAACUUACAUCUCAUCAAUAUUAAUCUCUGGACUUUACUCCAUGCUGCGCUUUGUGGUUUACUGUGGCUGCCUCCCUCUGACCUCUGAGUGAGGCACAGGGAUGUUUUCCCUGUGCUUAAUCAUAAUGCACAGUGCCUCCUGCAUUGAUAGGUUAAUGUACCCGAGAGGAUCAAUGCAGUCUCGAGGACGUCUAGUACAACAGACGUUUAAAGGUUCGGGGAAAGGCUGUAACAAUGAGUGCGGUCUGUCUAUGUUAGGAACAGCGUGACGCUUAAUUAAAUGAGAUUGUGUAAGGUCUAGUGACUGGUGUGAUGACUUUCUGUAGAUAAUUGGCCAAACGGAUGCAAAUGCAACCGAGCACUCAUUAAAAGCACAUAAAUAAUAAUUUAUACACAGAUAUCUGAGAUCUUACCCCUAAAGAUCAGCAUGAGUUCAGAAAAACAGGCACGGUAACGAGUGUUUGGAACCUAAAGGUGCUAAAGCAGAUUAAACUCAAAGCUGUCUUGAUGUGGUUAUAUAAUGUCCCAUUGAUAUUCAGGAUAUUUGAAGAUAUCUGCGCAAGAUCACUGAAUAACACUGACUGGCAUGAGAUCAACAGUCAGAGCAUUUUUGUUCUGGUAAUCUCCAUAAAACUUUAUGCAAAUCUGUGUGGAAAAAAAUGGAACGGCUUUUUGCCUCGUACAGAAAAACUCAGCAGUAAUUGAAAAACAAGUCACAAACUAUUUUUAUCCCUCUGUGGCAAGAUAAUGCUUUCACUGUGGAAUUUGGGGGCGUGUAGUAUUAAAACAUGAGAAAGUUUAGCUCUUUUUUUUACUUUUUCAAAGCACCUGGGUUACUGUAUCUUUGUCCUCUGAAGGGGAAAAGCCUCAGCAUGGAUAGAGAGAAAAACAUUUGCUUCCAAUGAAUAAAUAAUGAAAGGAAACGAGGUGCUUGCACUAAUUUGCAAAGCAUAAAACGCAGAAAAUUUCACAGAGUUUUAAGCCAAGGUUUUUGGGGGAUCGUUUACCUCACGGCAGGGUGCUACAACAUGCAGCCAAAUAUAGAAACACUUUUAGCAGGAAACUUUAAAAAAUGUAGAGUACUUGUCGGUAAAUGAAAUGGAAAACAUUGUAGAAAUCUUUUUAUUUCUAAGGGCUGGCACUGAAUCUGGAUGUGUGCUACAAAGAGUAUGUUUAAAUAGUCACAUAAUCUAGAGAGUAACAUAUAAAGAGAGAGAUUGCUCUCUGGUUUCAGUUCGUGUUUACUCUUAUCAUUGUCAAAGUCACAUGUUCAGACUCACUGUACAAAUGUCAGGCUUCCGUACGCUUACUUUGAUCAAAUCUUGUAUCUUGACAGUUAAGCUCUUCCGCUGCUGCAGGGCUGAUGAAGACACUCCUCAUUCCGUUUACACAGGACCACUGAGCAUCUGCACGCCAAUUGUCUCUUUUAUUUCCAGGUGUCUGGCAGCUAUAGCAGAGCUUUACGGUCCAAGAAAGCUGCUGUCUUCCCUUUGGAAGGAACCUGAAAGCAAACAGUCGUGUGCCAGUGUUUGGUCAGAGCAACAUAGUCAUUUAUCUCUAGAGGACAAUCCAUACAAUCAAAAUAAAGAUGUCGAGUGUGGUCGGUGCAGAAUAAUAAUUAGGAUGUAUCCCUGGGCAUGUGUCCCAGCAGUGGUUCCCACCUGUGGUACCAGCUUGAGCAGAUCUGAGAUCAUUCACCUGCAGCAUUACACGAUCUCCCACUGAAUAAGUGCUUUGUUCCUGCUCUUUGGUGCUGAGAAACACCUUAUUCUCAGCACUAUCUGUGGAGGAAAUCCUGAUAAUGUGGAGGUAAACAUUCAACAUUCUCUACUUGGCAGGGUUUUGAGUGAGCAGAAUAAAUAAUAAGAGCAAUGAUCCGUCCCACAUGGAAAAUUAUUUGUGACUGUGAAGUAUUACAUCACUUAACGGUAAGACUUAGGGGGAAAAAAAAACUUAAUUAGCGCCUCCAGAGAGCAGAAACAGAUCCAAGAUUUCAAGGGUAACACUCAGCCAAAAUCUCAGCCAAUAUAUUAUCUCUCACAUUAGUCGGGACCCUGCUGCAGGAAAUGGCUCUUUUCAUUUGGAGAUAUACAAUAUGGCAGCCGCUGAAUAAAUGUGAGUCCUGGUCGUAAGCCCAAAUAUUUUCCAUCUCUAAUUUACUUAGCUGCCAUCCAGCCACUCAUACAGUGUUUUCACUCAAGUUGGGCUUGUUUCAUGCCGCUAUUAUGUAUCCAUGGCCACACUUUUCAUCAGGAAUUAGACAGAGAAGACAUCUCUGCUUUCUAUUUCUUUUUUUUUUUUUUUUUGGCUGACUUGCUAGAGAGCGUGAGGGCCUUUCAAAGAGCGACUCCUUUGACUUAGAUGCGUUUCAAACUUCUGAAAAGCUCUGGGGUGCAGCCGAAGGUCUUAAUUGGCAUGUGAUUGCCUGUCAUGAGUCAUCACAGGAAUGCUGGAUACCUUUCAAAGACGGUCGCUGUGUGCAAACACACGGAUCCAACAGAUGGCAACAUUGUUCCUCCAUCACCAGAACAGGUUAGUUGGCAAUCUGCCAGCGAGGUACGGGUGCAUCGACAAACCCUCCAAAAUAAAAACAGCCAUCAAAUACAAGAGUGGGCGAUGACGAUGUGACUAAUUGUUGCCAUGGUGAUCUGGUCUUUGAGAUAACGUCUAACGGUGAGGGAAAAGGAGCAAGCGGCACAGAGAGGGGAGGAGAGAAUGAGAAAGAAAAAGGGAAAAAAAGAGAGGAGGGAGAUAAAGAGGAUGAAAGAAAAAGGAGGGCUAAUGUUCCACGUGGGAGAGCAGAAAGGAGAGAAAUGACCCUGUACUAUGAGGUCAACUCAAUGUCUCCCAGUCAAUUCAGGGAUGUAAAUACCUUUGGGUUCAUUUACGCAAGGACUGGCCUUCAUCCUCAGGGAGCAGCACUUCUCAUCUCACAGUAACUAGUGUUCAAAAUGAGCUUCAAACCAACAUAGGGCUCCAUCAUCAAGGUUACUGCUAGUAAGGAUGGAGUCUGCUCUUUUUGAGGAGCCAUGCCUGUCAAAAAAAAAAAAGACAUGUUUUGUAAAACGUUUGUAACAGGAAAGGAAAAGUAGGCCUAUCCAAAAUAAUUAUAGUCUGGAACAAAAAGCCCUCUUAAACAAAUCUUCCUUUAGUGAAAAAUUACACGCUUUUGUAUUUGUAGCUGAGGAAAUUGGGUUUUAAACAGCCAUGAAUCGCAGUUUACAGGCUCUGCUCUCCCUUCAGUCACCUGCAGGAUCCUUUCAUCAGGCUUUGUCUACGUGUGCUGUUUGUGUGCUCCAGCAGCGUUAUCCUACAGCGAGUGCCGAGUCAGUGUCUGUGUUAAUGUUGUGCCAGAAAGAGCCGCCUGGCCGCAGACUGUUGCAUCAGCCUUUCCUUUUGUUUAACAGGACAAUGAAGAUUGGAUGCUAGUGAGCACAAGACAGAGCGGGUGUGAGAGGGAAAAAUAGAGAGCAUGAAAAGACAGAGGCUCUUCAUUUCAACAGCAUAACAUCAUCUCUCUUUGUUGAAAAAUCUGAAUAAUCCAGUUUUCCCCAUGGUCAAGGUCAGCUCUUUAAUAAGGCAGAUAUAAAUCACUGCAGGGUUUGCAUUUCCCCUCCGUGCUAUCUGAGACCCUGCAGCACUGUUGUGUUAUGUUUUAUCACAUGGGAGCUGCCAAACUAUGCUGAGCCGGAGCUUGUCACAGCGCUGUGUGUCAUAUGACAACCUGCUACCUGCAAUAGUUUCCACUGGGGCUGAGCGAUAAGAGGAGGGGUGUAGAUAAGGUGUCUCCCAUUCUGGAUGUGCCAGGAGCUCCAGCCUUUUACAAGGGAGGUGCUGAUCUUUUUUUAAAGAACUGUUAGGAUUGCUGGGAAAAAAAGAGCUGGGAUUUGUUUUCCACAGCAGCAUGAACCACCACUUCACUGGAGUGUCUGGUGUCACUCAUAAAAAUGUCAUUAGCAGGAGUUUCCACUUGCCAUCACUGCCAUCUUUUUUUAGUGACGCUGGGUGGAAAGCAGCCACCACUGUAUGUGACUAAUCAUCACUCACGCCUCCGACUGUGGUGCGCCUGAUAACGACGAGGAGCCGUGGAUUUGUCUCCACUCCCACGCGGGCUGUUGCUAAAUGACAGUGAAGUGACGAGUCCCGACGAUUCUGACAUGAUACACGUCGUCUUUCGCCACCCAAAAUUCGUCAGUAUGAGUCGUCGAUGUGAAACUUGUCACCGUGCUCUCGCCAAUCAACACAUCAUGACACGAAAAAAAGAUGACCUCAUUUGCUGCUCCCUAAGAUGUUUUUAAUCUGAGUUUCUAUUUUUGAUCCUAAAUGCAGGAAAGUUGAUUGUAAACGGGUCUUCCUUUGUGAUUUUUGACCUGUACUGCAGUCCUGAGUGUCCUCUCUGUGCUCCCUCUGUUUACAGGACAGUUUGUCUCUGGGGCAGCCUCUGGGCAGGAGUUCGUAUCUGAACAUGUGCAUCAGGCUGUUUUAGUGUUUAAGGCACGUAUGCUUCAUAUGCACUCUCAUGAGCGGUAACUAGGCAGUUACGAGGAACUUCACGUAACAGCAAUCAGCCAAGGCUUCAUUAAAAUGUAAAUUCUGCCCAAGCCUCUUGUGAGUCUUUACAGUGUUUCCAAAAUAACCCAGUGAAGGCCUUCUGGGGACUUAACGUAUGAUCUAAUCUGUGUGUCUUAUUCGAAAACCUCCCCCUCCCUCUGUGCUCGCAGAACUGGAGCACCCCGUCUGAUUUUGGGGGAAGCAGAGCACUUAGAACCGAUGCCUGGACGCCUUUCAGACCGUCCCGCUCUUGCUGUUUGUUUGCUUUUCAAGAGCAGCACAAAGCUAAUUAGACAGCUGGUGUUGUGCCAAUUUGUGUCCCUCAGUCUGUUGUUUACCCACUUUUUGCAUAAUGCAGACGUGAUUGUUGACAUUGUAUGAUGCUGCUACACGGUCACAAGUGGCCAUUUGGUUUAUUUUCCUUGGUGUAGCCUCAGUGGCAGGAAGCUUCUCUCUUGGUUUUUUGGAAGCCACAUGUGUGUCAAUUGUGUGUUUUUGUGCCCGUACUUAUCCAUUUUCAAUCCUGGUCAAAACACAAUAAAACGCUAUCCAAAAAGAUUUCUCUGCCAUUCUAGAUCAAGUGCUCAGAGAAAACUUGCUGACCGAAAUGUGGCCGCAUAAAGCUCUGAUUUAAAUUAGCCAGCUCCCCUAUUCAAACUGGAGCUCACUCCAAAUCUUGGAGCCAAUGUGGUGUAUUUGUCAGGGGAGACCAAGUGUUAAUAAGAAACAAAAUAACUUGUUUAAACGGAGUAAAAUCUUUGUUUAGACAUCACAUUCUUCUCUGAAUAAAAUUUUUAAGGUUAUUUAGAGACUAAGGGCCUGAUCUACUAAGAUCCCAAAUAGCGAACGCUAAAUUGUGUGCGCAAACUUAAAAAUUGCAUGUGCUAUUAGUGGGCGUGUUGAAGUUGAACUACUAUCAUUGUGUGCCCAAUUGAUAACAGGAGCAAAAGUGGUUGCGGACCGUCCUCUUUUAACGAGGAUUUUGCGUGUGCUAUCAGCCAUCACCAUGGAGAGUUUCUGAGAGCAGAGUGAUCGUAGAUAAAAAAUGAAGUUUGAAGCCACGGAAUUGCACCUAACGUUUUGGGGAAGCUAGCAACCGCAUAAAAGGCAAGGGAAGUUUAUUUGUGUAGCGCUGUUUAUACACAAGGCAAUUCAAAAUGCUUUACAGGUGCAAGAAAAUAUAUUUGAAAUGAAAAAAAAGAGAUUUAAACAAUUUAAAAUCACUAAGAUAAAGAGAUAAAUUUUUGCGACUGUUCUGUGUUUGACCUAAUUAUUUGUCAAAACCGUCAUUUAGUAGAAAAACUCUUUUGCACUUAUGCGUCCUUCUCCCCGUAAUGACUGCAGCCAUCUGUGCGUAACGCUGUGCCAGUUUGCACGUGCCUUUCCGACAUGCUAAAUAUAGACGCAGAACAGCGACCACAAUCGGUUUCCGGGUUUGAUAAAUCACAUUGCAGGUGCUAAAUGAUUCUAUUUGCUUCUGCCCCUACCAGAAUAUUGGGCAGUCUGAUGAUCUGCACAUUAAUGAAGGCAAACACGCUAAAUGGAUUGCACGUGCUGUUUUGCUCAUUUGUUUGACAGAUCCUCGAUGCACCUGGUUAGUACAUCAGCUUUGCACGCACUAUUUAAGUUUGCAUGUGUUUUUGCACACGCAAACCUGAGAGUUUAGGACCAACAUCUCUAGAGGUAACAUAAGCAAAUUUAAAUAACUGCACUUAUGGCAUGUCUGAGUAGACAGACCAAACUUGAGCUGUCAAACAAUUCAUAUUAAAAAUCCAGAUUAAAGGUUAAGUUCAGCGUUGACUGUCAAAUUACUGUUUUCUUCAGCCAGAAUUUAACAGUCCAUUAUUUUUGCUUCUAGGUUCAAAAUUUACAAAGAAAUACUUGUCAGUGUCUUGAUGUAAGAGUGAAAUGAUAGCAAAGACAUGAACUUUAUGAUCUUGACGUUUCAACGUGUUACUCACAUAAUUGCUGCCCUUCUACUCUGGUGUGGUCUGAAACCAGGAUUUAAAGGCAGGAUACAGCCUUCAUUUAGUAAAGUGAAGUGGUUUUCUGAUUUCCCUUUCUGUGAAGGAUAACACUAUAACAAAUUAAAAAAUAUUCAGGAGUGUAUUUUCUAAAUGUACUAAUCAGUGUCUAUUUGGUGAGCACUUAUUCUGACACAAGAUUGUCCCAGAAUGAGUAAAUAAGUGACAUCAAGUGAUCCCUGGAAAGAGCUGCCCUCUGUUUCAUACAGGUUCUGUGAAACUACUGUUCCCAGGAACAGGAGGGCAUCAAACUGGUCACAGCUGGACCAGCAAACUGGAGGAAGUCCCUUUGCCUCAAGUCCUCCACAAGUUAAACAUGAAUUACUGAUGUUGUCUUCUAUCUAGAUUGCUAUCUUGCUUGUGUUUAAUUGCUCUCAAAUAUACAUCACUUUGGACUAAAACGUCUGCUAAAUGACACUGUAACAUUCACAAGCCUGUUUCCACCAGUUUGUGCAGAAAAGGGUUCGCCUUUUAACACUGACAGCCCCACACAAAAUACAAUAAACAGGAACAUAUCAAAUUCAUCACACUUGACACAGUUGAGUUUCUCUCAACUAUAUUUUUGAAGCUGGGUAGUUUAAAAUUUACAUGUAAAGCAUAUUGAUAAAGAAUAAUUCAGUGCUCUGCUAUACAGGCUUAUUCCCAAAAGUGUCAGCAGUAUCAUUAGAGGAUUUAUGAGCUAUACAGGGGCCAGCACAUGGAUUUAAUACUUAAAAAGGAGUCUGCCUUUUAUCAGUAGCUUAAGUGUUUUGAGCUCAACAUGUUGAACCUCUGUCAAUCACUACUUUAACCUGAAAAGGCAUCUUCAAACAUCUCUUAUAGCUUUAAUCUGUAGUUUAUUUUAUGCAAAAAAACACUCAUUAGACUCACAGCGGUGCUGGAUUGAAUUUCAUAAACAUGGUUAAGAGGUGAUCAAUAAAUGCUGGAAGGAAGAAUAAUUUACUUGACUUUUUUUAGUUCUUGCAUAUUAGACCUCAAACAUGUUAUGAGUAGCUAAACAGGAGUUCUGUGUGUGUGUGUGUGUGUGUGUGUGUGUGUGUGUGUGCGUGCCUGCGUGUGUGCGUGUGUGUGUGUGUGUAUUGUCUAUUUCAGAUUUAUAAUGGCUAAUUCAGACCUGAUUGCUGCAGUAGAAUUUCAGGUCAAAAACACUGUUAUCUGAGAGACUUAAAAUCUUUCUGUUAGUGUUCGUCUGGUUCAUCCUGGAAUGACACUGUGCUUGUAUUUGACACGUCUGAGUGAUGUGACUCUUAAAGGUCCUACCUCUCCAGCCUGUCACUGAUACGAAUCAAAUCAAUGCACACUGAGGUGUAACAUCCAUCAAUCUAUCUUCUAUAGCUUCUCGUCCUGUUCAGAGACUCUGGGAACUGAGACCUUUAAGGUCUGUAAACUCUGCACAUGUCACUACAAGAACUAACACACAAAGACAAACAUCCGCAAAUGCAUGUUUACCCCCACUGCAGGAAAUUAAGUCUCUUAUUCUCGAGAGCUACAUGUGUUUGGACUGACAGGGGGAAAAGGAGCAACAUGGGAAAGCAGACAUGAAGCAACAGACACAGAGACACGAAGAGGUGCAAUAUCACAUGUUAUAAAAUUCUACGAGUACCAAAACAAAAACAAACAAGUCAUCCAAGUACAAUUGCACCUCCUAAUAAACCAUUGUUUUCUCUUUGUGUCUUUCCCAGGAGGUUCUUGAGCCAUAAAAUGUUGUUUUGAAAAUAGCUCAGUUUGAGUUCAAGAGCCAUGAGGGCCACGCUAUAAUCUAACAAUCACGUCAUUUCAUCUAAACGGUUUACAAUCUACAAUAAUAUUUUAUUUGAGAAGGGUAAACAGUCACCUUUCCUCUGACCCACCUCCUCAGUGACAAACUGGGCAGUGGCCUGAGUGUGUUCGAUUAGAGGAGGACACCACUUGGGAGUGAUUAAAGUUCGAUGAAGCAUGCAUCUGCUCACAGAUAGAGAUGUAGCUGCGGGGUGUACUCAGACAAUCUGACACAAACACUAUGCAUAGGGGCUGAAAAACAAUUUCAACUGUGUGUAUAGAGGACUCUGAUUUAUACACAUUACUCAAAAAAAAGCUCAAAUUAAAGAAAGAUGUUCAUUGUUGUUUUCAUAAAAUACAGCGACCUCUAGAGAAAAAGAUACUGAAGCUAUUUCAGCGAAGAGCAGGUUUAAUUCUAUGAAUCUGAAAGGAGGCAUUAAAUGCUUUCAGUCAUGUUGUAUAUCAGGAAGAAUCCUUGGAUGGAUCUGUAAGAGAUGAAUGAGAACUAAAAGAGCUUUUCUGAACUAAAAGAUGAGUUCAGUGGCAACCUUUGAAUAAAUGUUUUCUGUUCAUUUAUACAGCAUUUAUUUCAAGUCCUUCUUUGACUGUUUUGUGCAAUAUCUAAUUUUUUUAAGUGACAGUGGUGUGUGAAGGUUUAAUUCAGCUCAAAUUCAACAAUUUCUCAACACUGUCCUUUAAUGAAUAAAUUGUACAUUUACAUGGGAGAUCGAUUCGAUCAUUUUUUUAUUUUUUUUAUUUUUUAUUAUAAGACAGUUUCCUGUUUCCAGAUGAAGAUCCUCCAUUACAUGAGCUGUAUCCAUAGUGAUGGUUAACUCUGCUGCCUUCGUAAAGAGGGUGUAUUUCAAUCCAUCAUUUCAGCACUGUCUUUAAGGUCCCCCCAUCAUGGGUCCACUUUGUCCAGAUUGUCCUGCUCUCUAGAAGCUUCUCCACUGCUGCCAUGGUUCAAAGUUGGGACUUUUUGUAAAAGCUUUUCAAGGCAGCCUGUCAUUCUACGUGGGGAUUACUCCAGUACAAAUUUAUUUCUUAAUUUGAAAUUUUGUUUUAACUCUGUAAAAAAGCAUUAUAUCACCUCUGGUACCAAGUAUAUAUCGCCCAACCUGGUGGGAUUUGAUCAAAGCAUUACUAUUCUCUUUAAUGGAUGUGUAGUUUUAGCCAGGAUCUGCAUGGCUCACAAAAAAAAUAUAUGUGAGACGCAGCCUGAAUGGUUUAAUCUGUAAAUGUGCAAGCCAAAAAUCAAGCUGAACUGUAUUGUCCUGAACCAACCUGGACCCUAACCAAGAUUGGCUGGUUUUACUCACAUGGAACUAAAUAUUUCUAAUAAAAAAAUAGGUGAAAUAAAACAAGAUGAACCCAACCACCUGAAUCAGCACCUAACCUAAUUGAGUCUUUCUGCUUUAGGGCUGCAAUUAACGACUAUAUUAAUAGUCGACAAGUCACUGACUAUUGAAAUGCUUAGUCUUAGUCUGAUCGGUCUGCUUUGCAAACCUAGCAAUUUUUUUAUUCGCCAUAUCUAGGCAAAAGUGCUCUCAAAUUUUUGAGGUUUUUAAGCGCAUACUCCUAGCUGCUGUAUGGAACACUGGCACCACCAUGUUUAAAUACCCUACUGCUUGGCAGAGAUGCUAUUGCGCAUGUGUGACUCCAGGCAGAGAUCAUAAUAAAGUAAGAUGCCUCACUCCACUGGAAAAAAAAACGCACCUGGCGACAAUAGUCAACAAUGGAAUUCAUUAUCGAUUUUUGUCGACAACAUCAACUAAUCGUUGCAGCCCUAUUCUGCUUUAUCAUUUAUUGAAUGUAUUAGUCUUUAGAUGCAGAUGAUCCCAUUCUGUGUUAUGUUGAGUUUUGAUUUAACGUGUUUUCUUCAAUUUUGCAGAUUUGUCUGUCAAACCCUUCACUUUUUGCCUUUCUAAACUCUCCUGUCUUCUCUCGACAUUUGUGUCUCCUUUCUUGAUUUUCCCACCACAAACACACCAGAAUCAAAUUGGGCUUCUUUCUCUGCACUGAUUUGAUUAGAGUCAGUUCUCCAGAGCCCAUAGUUGUUUCCCUGACAGUGGUUUCUUCUUCAUAACAACAGUCUGCCAUCAAGAACAACACACUGCUGCAUUGAGCUGUUUCCGUGUACUGACCAACUAACAAAGCCGACUUAAAUCAAAGUUUUUAAUGGUGGUACAUGGCAAAACAAACAAUUAAACAAUUUGACUUUAGAGAGUGUUUGCUUUAACAUUUUUACAUGGUCAGUUGUCCCUUUAAACUCAGUGUACUGUUUUAUGAUCAUCUUGGAAAUUAACAGGAUGAAGAGUUCAUUUGCAGGUCUUUAAAAUCAUUAACCAUCUCACAACUAAUUUUCUAUAUAAUCUAAAACAUUACAUGCCCAUAAAUUGAUACCAAAUGACAAAAAUGAAAGGAUUUCAUUUUAUUUCUUUGUCUUACAUCAAGUUAUUUCUGUCAGGGCCUCUUCUACUUCUCGUCAGUUUUUUCUGACACCUGUUAAAAAGCACAAAUAUUCAAGCUUUGAUGAUAAAACCAUGAUCACGCACACAUCCUCUGAGACUCUCCCGUCAGACAGCGUGCAGCUAGCUGGCUGAACAAUUGUGACAACCAAAGCUUUACAUGUGUACAGUUUUUCCCCAGUGAAAAACUCUAGCCGGAUCAAGCAGACUCUUUCUCUCACAGGGUUUCAAGCUGCAGACCGCAAGAAGUGUUUGAAGGCAUCAAAAGUUAAUGCCCGUGUAGAAAUCUUUUUUGAGAUCUAUAAAUCUUUCUAUUCGUUGCAGAGAACUUGAACAACUACUUUCCAUGUGGGGCAGGAUGCAGAUUUUUUUGGUUCAGCUGAUUUUGGUGUAAGUGUGAUUAAUGAGGCACGACUGUGCUGCAUUAUGUAAUAAGCAGCAUGGACACACAUAGAGUGAGAACAAAGGCUGUAUUUACUGAAUUCAGGAUAUUACUGUAGGUUGUCUGCUGUUUGUGUCACAUGAUCGCUGCCCUGAUGUACCAAAUGAACCAGCUCUGUAACUAUGUUGGUUGUUUGUCUUUGCUUCACUGCCUUAAACACCAAUUCACAUUACCUCCACAUUACUGCACUUGACAAAACCUUCUCAGUGUUUUGUAAUUGCCUAUUAUUUCCAUAAAUUCAAUUGUGCUUGAGAGGAUUUUAUUUAUCUGUCAGCACAAAAGUUAGCAACAAAACCUUUUUCUCUUUGUAAUAUAUGAGCCGUCCAAAGAGUGAGAUUAAAGAAGAGAAAUGCAUAGAUAAUAGUGAAUAACUACUGCCCCGGACCAAAGCUUGCUUGGAUAAAAGUUGGCAUAUCGAGCUGCAGAAAAGCUUCAGACAAGGGGGUAAUUGGUUUCUUUGGGACACGAGCAGGGUGUCAACCGAAAGGUUACAAGAGGCCAUGCAGCUCCCAACACCAAUGACGACUUAAAGGAGCACUCAUCAUCCCAAUUCACAUCAUGUUUAUCAUUACAUCGAUAAAGUUAACGGUAGUGGGGCAGAAAUGAUUGAUCAUAGAUACUUUCCACCUUUGCAGAGCUCCUUUUGCCUCUGCUCUCACAUUUCAGUUAUAAUUGCAUGUAGCAUUAAAAAAAAGAUCAAAAGGGAAACAGAAUAAAAGUAUGGUGCAGAGGGGGUCAGACAGCAGCCAAGAAAAGAAAAGGCAAUAACCUAAAAGUAAUAACGGAUGCACUGCUGUAAAGAGUGGGCGUUCACUGAUUUGCUUGCCUGUGCUUUUUUGUGCAUGUGUGUGUGUGCGCGUGUGUGUGUGUCUGAAUUUUCCCUUUUAUGCGUCAGACUGAACGAGAUGAAAGCUAAGUUUGGAAGGCGAGCUCUUUGUUUAAAUAUGACUUUGUAUAUUUCCUUUGUCAGGGGGGAUGAAGUCAGAUCGCGACCCUGUGCAUCUGUCACUCAUCCGUUCAGCCUAGAGCGGAGCAGUCUGUCUCCAUCACGCACUGCUCCAUCCACUGCUGUCCUUUUGUUUCAGACUCUAUUCAUAGAUCACGAAAAAAGAGAGACAUCUUUCACAUUCCUCUCUCCCCGUUUUAAUCCUAUUUUUGUCCUUGUGCAGCUUGAUUAAGUUGUCAUGUGCAGGGCUGUAUCCUCUCGCAGGCUAUUCAUCCUUUCUCUGGAAUAAUUAUCAGAGUGGAUGCAUCACACACACGCACAUACACGCCCACAAAUACACACAACCCACCACCCUGGGGGGGAGGGCUACAGGUGGAGUGCUCACGUCUCUUAUCAUCAACAAACAAAAUCAAUCAGUGAUCACGUUCCCAGUGAGUGGCCUUUUAUCAAAGUGGAGCAAAACAAGGCUUUGUGUGAGACGAAAAUCUCUUUGUGUGUCUUUAUUUGUGCACAUUUAUGUAUCUCUAAGUGUGUGUGUGUGUGCAUGUGUGUGUGUGUCUGCCUGGUUGCACUAUACGCCUCUGUGAGCCAUGUACAGUAUCUGCUCCCACAGUACUUAGCCAGAGGAGCUGUCUGCUGUUUGAAUAAGGGCAGUCAGUCACCGGCACUAAAGAGAACAUUCAUCAAGCACUUUCACAGCUUACACCUGUUUCCUCCGCCUAAAACAGACAAGCGGAGACGGCUGCGUUGCCACAUCUCUCUCGCGCUCUCUUUUCACGUUGCCUCAAGUGUUCCUGAGGGGCCUUACCACCCCCCCCCCCAACACACACACACACACACACACGCACGCAAACACACACAUAUAGAUUUCCUCCGCAUUAGUCCCCUACAAUGGCCAUCACUAUGUUGUAUGUAAAUAGAGCAAACCUGCAGAAGCAUGUGCUGUAUCUCAGUGUAUCUCAGUGUGAAAUUAAACAUUACACUGUCGUCCAUUAUGGUUUUGUUGCGCUUGACUUCACCACAAAGGGAUCUGACCUCAGUCACUGCCAGUGUUUUGAUACUAUCAUCCCCACUAACAGCAGGUAAGGACACCCUCCUGCUUAUUGUUGAACUGUAAGACUGCAGCGCUGCUUAAUUUAGCUCUUAAUAUGACAGCUGUGUUGUAAUCAUGAUAAAGGGCUGCCUGUGAUGCACCAGCACCCAGCAGGCUCACCUUAGCGCUCAAAGCUCCCUUUCAGUACUCCGCUGCAUCACACAUAAUUGCCUAACUCCAUUUUGACAUGGCCACUCAGUGGAAUUGGGCCUUUCUAGCCUCACAUCUUGCACUCUUCUCUUUGAUGAGGGCUGUGUGUGUGUGUGUGUGUGUACGUGUGUGUCUGUCAUGCUUUUUUGGCACUCACUUCAGUGUGUUUUUCCUUAUACAGACAGGAUAUGGGCAUAUUAGCGAGAUCCAUCAGAGGAUAUGCGUCACUCUUUCAUAUUUUCUUUCCCUCCGCCUCAUGUUUUGAUAUUACACUCUUAUCUUGUUCCUGCUGUUGUUGUCUGCCAUAGUGCUGAGGAGGGGGGGAAAAAAAGCCUCUCCUCUCUCUCCUCUCGCAUGCAGUCCACAUUCACGGCUUUAUCGAUUUCCUUUAAAAUUGUAUUUGCAGAAAACAGGAAGAAUGUGGGCUUUAAUAUUUCCUUCUCUCUGCAACACCUGGUCUGGGGUUGCUAGGUAACACAUUGCACGGCGGUGUUUGAUGUGUGUGUGCUCUUUGCAAAUGGCUUUGAUCCUUAGCACACUGACAGACUCUCCACAGAGUUGCCUUCCCCUGGUAGUUUUGGCACCUCAUCACACCACAGAGACGAAAACGUAUCUGAAAGCUCCCGAGUGAACUGGAAUACCUGCCUUGUUAGGCAAAGUAGCAAAGGGAAGCUGUCCAGAAAAGUUUAGGCUUUAAACUUGUUUCAUUAAGACUGUAAAUGACACCACUCAAAGCUAUGAAGUCAUGUGAUGAGGAGAAUCUGGUUUUCAUAUAUGAAGGAGAAUACACUUGCAAGAAAUUGACAGAACUCCCUGAAGUUUAUUACACCAUACUUAAAAAAACAAAGACGUCUUUAUAGUUACGUCUCCUUUUUCCGUGUUAUUAUGCAACAUUUUAACUCACCACAGUCGUUUUUUAUUGCUUUUAGUAGAGAAAAAAGUCCCUCUUAUCUGAGGACAGGAAAAUUUAUUUUUCAAUUCACUACUCUAACGCAGAAAAAUUAAUUUUUUUUUUCCCAAAAAGAAAAAAAAAAAAAAAACUGUUCUAGCAUCUGUUUUAAGCUGGUAGGCAAAGCCUGACUAGUAAACUGUUCUGGAGAUAAUCAGAUGUUUAAUGCAUGAUUUACAAAAGCUGUUUUCAGCUCAGGCAUUUAAAAUCAGCAUAUAAAAGACUUUCUCUCACUUCUGCCAUUGUUGAUAGUGCCAGUGCUGAAAAUCCCAGCUAAAUUUUAUGCAAAAUAAUUAAUUCAUUGUCAGCCAAAGUGAGCUAUGUAACAGGAGAUGUUUGGCCUGUGACAAAACAAAAGCUCAUGAAAUAGUAAGCACAGAAAUAACUUAUUGCAGCAUUGACUUGCUGAAGCCUGAUCUCCUUUAAAGUGUAUUCUCCAUUUUAAGAAACAGAAAGGUGGUUUUUCUAAAAUUCAGAACGGUGUGACCUACGUUGAAAAAAAGUGUCCUCAGGUGGGUAUAAUUUAAUGUCAAGCAGUUCAAUACAAAACACAUCCUGUUUGCCAUUUGCAAACACAGACCUGUGAAACACUCCUCUUUGAGCCGGAGGAGGAGAGGAGACGAGGAGAGAGGAACGGGGGGCUGUGCAGAUGCUUGCCCCGCACAAGAGUGCAUUGGAGGUGGUGUGAGGUUAUUACAGGUUUGAUUAUUGAGUUCCACGGGGCAAUUGGCUCAAAUGAGGGCUGACAGCUUUGGACGGCAGCAAACAGCUGGAGAGCUCAUCUCUGCCAGCAGCCGUAUUAAGACCAUUUCAGUCCCAGGUGCAUCUGCUGCUAUGAUCUGUGAUUAAGGCAUAACUAAUGAAGAGCUGAUGAAAGUAAUCAGGUGCUGCUGCAUCUGCAGACACAUCCAAGACACAGGAACUAAUUUUUCUAGCUUUACGGAACAAGAAAAAAUAACCCUGAUCAAAGAGUUUAUAAAUAAAAACUCUGGAUAAAAAACUAUAAAGGAAGUUUGAACUUCUAUCGCAUAUAUUUUUUAAAGCUGUAAUACUGUAAAUGCAACUGUACUCAUAUUUACAGCUUGGAGUCAUCUAUCCAAGCAAAUUGAAUAAGUGCAAACCUUUUCACUUUACCUUAUUCACAGAUUUAUAUCUGUUACCUAGCAACCAGUUAACAGCUGGCAACAAGGCAGCACAAACUUACCAGCCUCUUCGCUUUGUACUUGUGUGUGAAAACACUGUGUAUGGCACUCCCACUCAUGCAGUAUUGCUUAAUUGCAAAUUUGAGCUCAAAGGAAAUCUUAAACUGCAGAGCAAUGAUGAAAUUAUCUUUUCCAUCUUUUUUUUGAAGAUGAGAUUAGAUUUGGCUGAGAUCCAGGUGCAUCAAUUUUUGAGUGCUACACUUAUUGCGAAAUGAUGUCAAAGCCUGGUGGAAACGAACUGACAUAAUCUCUCCUUAGUGCAAUAUGUAUGAGCAACCACUCACCAUGGCUGGAGAAAAUUUGGCCCAAUGUAAAGCACAGUGUGGGUGUUUCGGACCCCUGAGCAACUUGUAAUUGCAUUUUAUAAUGGUUAUUUCUUCCGCUUUCCUUUUUUUCGAAGAAAUGUGAGAGAUAAUGGAGGACUGCAUUGAGGAGGAAUGAUAGGGUGUCAAACAGGUUGAAAAGAUGUGCUAUUCCUCCUCAAACCUGCAUUUUGACUUUGAUAUACGUGAAUACUCAGACAUCCUGCCGUUAGGUGGGUAGGGAGCCCAGGACACACACUGAUAGUAGCAGUAGGUUUCAUUCAUCAUUUAAAUCUGCAGAGAUGUCUCAUCAGCCCGUCACCUGUUGUGCUGGCAGUAAACAAGAAUGAAUGAUGAAUUACAAAAUUCAAUUAGGUGACAGCAGCUGUCACCCAGGCUAGUUAAACUAUUUGUGGUACUAAUCCUAUGAAAGUCUGCAGAGAGGCCCGAGCUCUUGUUUCCCAAAGCGCUGCUUGUGGUCCCGGCUCCUGUUGACAAAUGCUACAUCACUGCAGAGGACAGGAAGCUGAAUUGCUUCUCAAGGCUUUUUCCAUGUAAUAUUCAUUUUCGCCUGAGAACACUGCAGCCUCCAGUUUCAGAUCAAAAGCAUUUCUAUUCAGCAACAAGGUAAAAGCACUUGAUUGUGAGAGAGGAAUCCACAUAAUCUUCAGGUCUGUCUGUGAUAUUUUUAUUUGACCCCCGACCAGCAAGGGAGGUGGCAAACAGACUGUCCCGAUCGUAUCACAGAACUUCAACUGUGGGAGGGAGAUAGAAUCAAGAAGAUGUAUCAUUCAGUGAUCAGACAUAGAAAUGCUUUCUUCAUGCUCUACACUGAGCCAGGGCUGCAGGUGACAGUUGUUUUUCAAUAUUGAGUGGUCUGCAGGUCAGUGAUAUGUUUGAUUUAUAAUUAAGUAAAACAACUGCAAAACAAGAUCACAUUUUACUUGCUACUUCUGCAAGUCUAAAAUUCUUAUCUUUUCUUUAAAGGUCACUUAUUAUAAAAAAUCCACUUUGGGUUGUUUUCUACCAAUAUUAUGCAUCCCCUCGAAGCCCCACAAGGACAAGCCCCCCUGUGUGACAAGCUGUGUGGUUAUGACUACAUAAGCAGAUUAGCCUUGUCUACAUGUUGGUGGCAGCACCUCCGAUAAUCGUUAGCUCAGCUUCUAAAACUUCUUUGCUGAGGUAGCGUUUUUAUACAUCGCUCCAGUACAGCAACCAUGUUGAAGCUACGACCCAGUCGCUGCGUGGUUCUUGGCUACACAAACUGAGACAGGAGUCUAUUUCUGCCUCCUUUGUUGGAAGAUUUGAGGACCCAGUGGAUUAAUUUUAUUUUUGAUGGAAAUUUACCCACAACAACUCUGUUUGAAGCAGGAUUCGCUAAAAAACUGAAGAUAAAACCUGAAUCCGUAUCGACUGCCAGUGCCAGCGACCCGACUUCAAACGUGGAAGCUGUAAGUUUUACUAUUUAAUGUUACUUUACCUCUACCUGUAUGACUAGUGCUUUGGCUGCAAUCCCGUGUGUUUACCAUCGUUGGUAUUCGUCUUCGGACUCGCCUCUAUUUACUUUUAUUGAGCAGCAGGUGUACCUCAGGGGCGCGGAGGCAGGCUGGUGCUUCCAGCUGCAGUGGUCUGGAGGUCCUGUGAAGAGGUCCUGGACCACCGCAGCUCAGAGUGGCCUUGAGGAGGAAGAUGUUUACACACAGCUCAUUAUCAUUUAAAGGUACAGGCGUAGAAUCAGCCCGUUCUCAGUGGAGCUCAAAAAGAAGGGGGUACAAGCUGGCUGAUACCCACAAAUAAACUGGUGUUUUAGAAAACAAACCGAUUUAAACUUGAUGAAAAACGGCAUAAUAAGGGGCCUUUAAAGAAGCAAAAAAUCUGCAGAUUUUUGGUAUUGUUUUUGAAAAAGCAAAACCAAAAACAUGUAAAAAUACAUACAUGUCAUCAGCAGGGGGUGAAAUCACGAACAGUAUAAACACUAUAAACGUAUACCUGCUCUGCUGUAACUCUUUCCACAGAUUAAUCUGAUAUGUGUAAUCAGGUCGUGUUAUUCAGAAUUAAUCACCCCUGUCUAAUCAGAAUCGAGUAUUUAACACCACUGGAUGAUUAGUAAGAAAGCAGUUUUAAUUUAAACAGAUUUUCCCUUAGCACCUCUAAUCUAAAAUCUAUGCAACAGUGAUGCAGCUCAACAUGUAGCUGUGCAGGAAUGCAUUAUUAUUCUAAUUUAAGAUGAAUAAUCAAUGUGUAUGAAUGUUAUGCAAGGCACUUCAACCUCAGGGCACCGAUGUACCACAUCACUGAGAGUCAAAAGUGGAGCACACACACAAGUGAAAUAAGGAUUCAUGCUGAUGAAUCACAGUUUCUUUAUUUCAUUUUGCAUCAUCACAAUCUGUGACACUGGUGUUUUGUGCACCAUGUCAGCCACCCAUUCAUUGUCAGCUGUCACUGUUGUUCCUGCUCCUCAGAGUUCUCCCGCUGACAUUUUCAAGAGAAUCUCGGCUCCUGCGCCUGGAGCUACAACUGGAGAUAUCUAAAUUUAGGCUGCACUAUGUGAAAAAUGUGUUUUUCAAUGUGAUGUUUCUUUAAUAGAUAUCAUUUACAGCACAUACACAACAGGCUAUCUCUGUAUCUCUGCAUACACACAGAUUAAUUUCACCCUCUACAGUAAUGCUUGAUAAAAUGCAAGAUGUAAAGUGCUUUGCUUUCUGCAUGAAAUUUCUUAGUGGGAGUUGACACUACAGACUGGAUGGUCCAAGUUCAGACUCUGAUAGUGAGAUAGAGCAAAUUUAUUCUUGACCAGCAUGAUGUUUAUUUCUACAUUCAUUUCCUCUGCCCACAUAUGUUCACAUGUUGAAGUGAUAUAUUUAAGUCCAAGUUCAUUAAAUGUCCAUUCGUAAUUUCCUGUGUGCAUGCAGAUAGCCUGCUGAUCACAUAUUUAGUCGACUGUUCAGCCGCACUGCUCAGAAAUCAAUCUAAGGGGAGGUAGAGAGAGCGGUAGUCAAUGUGAAGACCCCCUCACCACAUGGAUGCAUGUUUUAUUACUGUUCUCUUAUAAUUGAUCUGCAGCUCUUCUGAUUAACACUCAGAAGACGUCUUUUAUGAUACUCAAAAAGGCAUCAGAAACUGCUGGCACAGAAGAUAAAUGGCUUCUGGAGGGUUAUUCUACAAAGAGAUGGAGCUCAAAGCUCAAUGUGAAGACCAAGAAUUUCAAUAAUCUGAUAAACUAAGCCUCAAGAUUCCUCCAGCCAGUACGGUGCAGCUAAACUGUAUGACCACACACACUUUGGCGUUUGUUUACCAUACAGCUGAGAGUAAUUUAUUCAUUAUUCACACUUGCAAUAUUGAUGCAAAUGCCAGUCUUUGAGAAAGUGGUCAGAAAAAUACUGACAGAAACCCUGAUAUACUCUUUCAGAUAGCUUCUGUCAUCAAAAAUGACGCCACUAUCUCUACAAAUCCGUGUUUUAACCCAAGAUAGACGCAACAUGUUCCUGUUUGCAAGGAGAGAGUGGUAGACAGCGUGGUGCUAGACAUUUUUUAUAAAUCUUUUGUGCAUGCAGCCAUUUGCAUUUCAAAGGAAAUAUUUAUUUUGAGAUCCGAGAGUAAACAGAUUUCACAGCGGUAAACACAAGUGUUUAGCUCCUCUGAACAGCUGAAGAGAAACCGCGCACCAUAAACUGAGACAUUAAACCAUGCGUGAAACUGGUGUAUAAUCACAUGACUUACUCAAUGCUGGGAUCAGCAAACAUGUGACAAAAGAUAAGAUAACAUGUUUAGAGAUACGUCACCUGAUAAUGAUCCCAUGAAAACAAGACGUAUUGAUAAAAUAAAACAGGAAUAGUCUGCUUGGUCUUUCGAGCCAUAGAGCGCAGCAAAGUCUGAAGUGCUCAUGAUACUCCUAAGUGUUAGAUUGAUAGGAUACUUGGUCCCAGAGUGGAACACACCAUUUAGGUGAGACUGAGUACAGCUCGUCCCUGACAGAAACUCUGCUAAUAAUCCUUGAAACUUGGGACAACCUGACUGCUGUGCUGCAACGCUGAAUAAAUGCUUUGGAAUGGGUCUAAAACUACAUUAUGGUUUUAUCUGCUUUGUUUCACAAGGGUUACAUUGACACAGCACAUUUAUCUUUCUUUAUGAUUUCUUUCACAUCAUAUUUUUCUUUAAUCCUAACAACAUAAAUACCACACCAUAAAUAGCAGCGCGCUGUGGGACAGCUAUAAGUUUGUCUCUGACUUUAUGUCUCCCAGCUGACCUAAGUGUGAGCGAGGGCGCAUCCUCAGGACCGAUAAGUACGUGUGUGUCGUUGGGACUUCCUGGCUUUUUGCGGUGCAUAAUUAUUUCAUGUAACAUGCUUACUCUCAGAGUUUAAUUCUGCACUUCACCAAGUCCUCAGGGACAGUGGAAGGGCAACUGUUGUUGCAUCUCAUUCCUAUCUCUCUGGAAAAUGGUGUUAUGUAGAUAAGCCUGCGUUCCACUUUGGUCUGUUCACCCGGUGUAGCAAUGUCUGUGUGAAGGAUAAAAAGUAACACCCGGACCAAUGCUGGCAGUUCAGUUAAGAGAAGAAAGGAGGUUAAUGGGCACCCUUCACGUUCACAUGCCAGAAUCUAAUUAAUGUGUUGGGUUGAAACUCAGUUAUCAUCAAUGGCAUCUCUAACUGAGAGUCAUUUAAAUUGUUCUGAGAUACUCCUGUGAAGGUGGAUGUGAGGGUUGCCAGGCAAUCAGCAGCAGUGAUGGUGCGGCGCUAAAUUGCAUGAUCCAAAGGGACAAAAGGCUGUUUCAAUAGCAUCGCCCUGUGAUUGAUUUACAAAGUGAACAAACAAAUGAUUGCAAGAGUCUUGUGUGUUACUUUUUAGUUAUUUAAGCACUGUGUAUGCACAGGAGAGUCACUCUAUUUUUGUCUUAAAAACACAAGAGCGAAAAUAUUACCUUAAGAGCCUGACCAGUGCACACGAACUCAGGAUCUAUCAUAUUUACCCUGGCUUUACGUUUGUACAGAAAGUAUGAGCUGACAGUGCAGGGAAGCCAAAUAUCAUCUUAGUAAAGCAGAGAGCCAAGAACAGGGCGGUUUUCAGACAACACAUAAAGGCCUGCUGAGUCCUGUAGUUCAAAAGGAGACUCAUACCAGUAGAGAUUCAGUAAAUCCUGAGAGAGAACCAUUACGCUAAACUGGUGUUUGGUUUCCAUUCAUGAUACACUGUGGAUUAGGACCUAACAAUAUCAAUGCAGUGAGCAGAUGGGACUCACAAUAAACAGCGCUGUUAAACAGGAAGAGACAGUAAUAACUGUAAUACUUGAUCAUCUGACUGGUAAAAAGCUACUCUAAAUUAAAGUACUUUAAAUUUACUGAGGCAUUUUAUCAUGAUUUAUGUUCAACUAACAUCUAUUUUAAACUUUGUAGUAACCUUUUGGAUUAAGAUUUGACAAAAACAACUCAUGAUAGGCUAAAACAGCUCUUUGUAUACAUGAGAUCAGUGGCUCAUGACCUUUAUAAAAAGCUGCAUCUGGGUGGGGUCCAGUUUCAUGCUCCAGGUCCCUCUAGGGUAUUUUCUUGACUGUUUGAAAUCAAGAGGUAAAUGAUGCAAUAUUCAUGAAUAGAAAAGGUUGGAGUUAACUGCACAAAUAAAAAUAUAUCUAGCCUCCCAACAGUUAUUGAUCAAACACUUUCAUUGCUCCUGUUUGGAGACAGAUUUGAUAAGGUGUGAACCACUGGAUAACACUAGUAGAGAUGGACACAAUGAAAAAAAACAUCUACAACCUAACAGUAUAAUGUUACAGCUACAGGACUAAAACUAUCCACAGGAGGUUGUUGACUAUUGAAAGAAUAAGCAUAUUUAAACUUGCAAAAUCUUUGCACUCAAGUAAUCUAGGACUUUAACAUUUCAACUUACAUGCUAACUAAAAUGUUUCAAGCUUUCUCAUUUUAAUUUCCACCAAAAAAGAUUUUAAAAUUUUAGAUUAUUUCUUUUUGAAGAUGAUAAAAUCUUAAUUUUAACUGCGUAAAUACCAUGUACUUUUUUUGGUCUAGUUUAGAACAUGCAGCCAUAAUUGCAGGAGGACUGUUGACUUGACAGCUGUCUGGGAAACCAUCAGCACCCUCCACAAGGUCGGCCAUUCAAAAACUUUGGUGAACUUCACAAGGAGUGGACUGAGUCAGAACCACCAUGCCAAAAGGGUUGCGACUCAAAUACUGAGCCAAUCCUGUGACAGCAUGAGAGGUGCCUGACCAGGAUUUAGGAGAAAAAAGAACUGGACUAUUGCUCAAGUCAAGUGCUCUUUUCAGGUGAAAGUACGUGUUGCAUUUCAUUUGAAAAUCAACGACCAAGAGUCAGGAGGAAGAGUGCUGAGGCCCAGAAUCCAAGAUGUUUGUCCAGUGUGAAAUUUUCACCGUCUGUGAGGGUUUAGGGUGCCAUGUCAUCUGCUGGUGUUGGUCCACUGUGUUUAAUUAAGCCCAAAGCCAAUGCAGCCAUCUACCAGGAGACUUUGGAGCCAUUAUGCUUCCAUCUGUUGACAAGCUUUAUAGAGAAGCUACUUUCCUUUUCCAACAGGACUUAGCACCUAUCCACAGUGCCAAAACAUCUACCAAAUGGUUUGGAGACCAUGAUAGAAGUAUGCUUGAUUGGCCUGCCAACUGGCCUGACUUAAAUCUCAUAGGGAGACUGUGGGAAACUUAUCACCACUUCAGUACCACACAGGCUGUUCACCAACAAGCCACCCCUGCUAUGCUGUGAUUCAUGGUAAAGAGGCCCCAGCCUUGUGUGGAGUGUCUAAAUCGUUCCCUUUUUUUUUUUUUUUAAUCCCUCGAUUGAUCAUAGGAAAUGUUGAAACAAUUUAGGAUCCUGGAUUUUUUUAUGUCCUCAAGCUGUGGUUCAAAAUUAUCAAAAAACAAAAAAACAAAAACAGCUUUAAAUAUAUAUUUGUGUGAUAAAUCUAGGAUACAAUAUGUGGAGAUAAAAUAUUUUUCAUCUAAGAAAAAAAAAGAUAUUCAUUCUUUUUUAAACUGUGGGUAAAUUAGCUAAAUGGUUAUUAAUUAAAAAAACUGUGCUGACAGCACAUUCAAUGCAAUUAUUUUAAGUAAGUUAAGAAUUCUUUGUCUUUUUUCAGAUAAAAUCGAAUAAAACUUAUUGCUUUCUGCUGCUUAAGUGUGAGGAAUUUGUUUAUUUUUUGUUUUAUUUUAUUUUGUUCUUUUUAUUUUUAUUUUUUUUUUGGGAGGGGCAGGGGGUUCUGAACUGUUUGCUGGACAAAUGAGGCAACCUGAAACUAUGAUGUCUGGCUUUGGGAAAUAUUGAUAAGAAUUUUCCCAAUUUUGGAACAUUUAAUAGACACUCCACGAUUAAACACCAGGUUUCUUUGAACAGAUACUCUGCCGUGUUCCUCUGUUCACAGCUGCUACCUGAGUAAUGUAGCUGUAGGCUCUAUGAUUUCUGAUAGCGGUUAGCUUCUUUAGCCGACCUUUGCUUAAUCAGCUGUUUGCAAAAUCGAGCCAUCAAGUAGAGGUAAACUUUGUCGAACACCGCCAGACUGUUGUGGCCACUGUUUGCUAACAGCUACAUAAGCAGCUAAUCAGAUUUACUGCAGUCAGUUAACACAGAGGUUAACAGGCGCUACUGUGGUCAAUGAAGAGUUUACAGCUAAUGUAAGUUACUUAACCAUGAUAAUACGCACCUGUAAGUACAAUGUAGAAACGUUGUUUUAUCACUUGAACUCAGGUUCUCAGGUGAUUGGAUUAUGAUUGGUGAUUGGUGAUUGAUUAUUGAUUAUUGGAGCAGUGCCCACCAAUGCCACACACUUUGGUAUUUGUGAUGAAAAAGGAUGGUUGGACAGGUGCUGCCGAAACAUUUGAGAGCCUCUAUCAUGCUGAACUGUAAGCCAGUAAUUGUGAACCAUGUAGUGAUGGCAUGAACAGACAUGCUCUGGUUGGUUAAAUCAGCCCAUGGUUUAAUUUUCAUUUGUUAAAAUAAAGUUACUUAAACAUACAUACUGCACACAAAGAAAAAUACCUUAUGUCCUGGAGAUGUCCCAGGUAACAUCUACGAUUGUUCCAAACAGGUUUUUUUUUUUUUUCCUGGGACAACAGAACAUCAUCAGUCUAAAUCUCCACCUCUACUGAAUUGGUGCCUUUACCAAGUCCACAGUAUAAAUUAGUAGUUUUAAUAGGAAUUAGCAGUGCAGUUUCUGUGGGUCUGUGCCUAAAAGAGAUGUGACUGGACCAAGGAACAUGAGCACUGAUGUUUAUUUGUGUUUUAAACGAGACAGAAAUGUAAUCGUCUUCAACGAGAGGCAUCAUGAUGAGCCAAAAAAGCAAAAAUAUAAAACAAGAGCAACAGCAUCUUCAGUUUUUUAGUGAAAGUUGAAUUUUUGCAGAGUUCAAUAAAGAGAUAUGCUAGGAGGGAUGGAAGUAAGCACAAUCAGUGUUAUCUGCUGUACUGGACGGGGCAGCGGGCCAAGCUUCCUUCAGGGAAUUCACACCUCUGCAGUACAAUGAAAAAGAUGGAGGCUGUGCUGCAAUCUGCAACUUCUCUCUGAGGGAGUCUGACGUUUCUUCCAGCGAGGUAGGUUGUGGCUCUCUCGUCAAAGGGAUCACAACCUGUGAACGGGCCUGUCAGCUGAAUUGGGAUGGGACUUAGCUGUCAAAGUGAAAGCAGGUUGCAAGCUGCACAGAGGUGGCUGUGGUCAAAAGGGGUGAGCCUUCCUUGUCCAACAUUUCUCUACAAGGGGAGCUGGCUCUUUGUGCAUCACCAUACUUGUAGCUCUCAUCCAGAGAAAACCAGCUGCAGUGAACGGUGCUUUAGAAAAUCUAUCAAAGCACUGCUGUAGGUACUUCUUUCCCUUGUGGAUGCAGUGGCAGAAAGAGGAGGGGUAACCCACAGCUAGUUGGACAUUUGCCAAGCUGACACACACCAGGCAGAAAGAGAGUGUACCCAACGAGGAGAGGUUCAAGUAACAACCUGAGCACAAGCUGCCUAAACUUACUAGUGCUGCCUGCCUGGCCAGUCAAACAAAAUGACAUCGCUGGCCUGCAGCAAAUAUCUAAGCACAGCAGAGCACCUGCAGCAACAAAAGGUCAGCAGCAGAAACUAAAUCGACUGUGGAGUGAGACUCCAGCAGUGGAGCAACUCCACCACUGCUGAAAAUAAUGACCGUGGAGGAGUUUGAAAUUUGAGCCGAAGCUGCUUUUAACAAGUAUUUUCCCAGUAACUAGUUAGCUUGUAAGUCAUGAUAAAUUGCUUGGUCUUUAGAAGUCAGAAAAUGGUCAAAAAAAGAAAAAAAAAAUUGCUCAUGAAAGCCCAAAUUGAUGUCCUCGCCCACACCUUAUUUUCCUGCCACCAACAGCCUCAAACCCUAAGAUGUACAGCAAAAUGGUGUAACAUAGUUCAAAUAGACAAUAACAGUCUGAUUUAUUCAUUUUUUCAGUGGUUGAUUCCCAGAUGUCAAAAAUCCUAUCUUAACAAACAUACUGUAAAAAAAAAUGUUAAUUUCUAAAAGGUUUUUAGCUCACUGAGUUAUGGUGAACACUUUGACAUUAUGUGAUGAUUGUGAGUUUAUAAAAAUAUAUUUAGCAAGUGGACAAGAAGUGACAGAUGGGUACCUUGAUUUGUUUAUAGUUGUACAGUUUCACAGCAUUGGAUGGUUUUCAAAAUAGCUGACGAACAGGGUGGACGGCUGGUUAAACUCGUCAAUUAAGAUUAAUGAAUGGAUUUGUGCAAAUGUCAAACUGAAGUGAAAAAAUGUUGACAGUUUUUUUUAGUUCAUUAAUUUUCCUCAUCUUUAGAUUGAGCACAAGCAUGAUCUUAAACUCAUAAACAAAAACUUUUGCCUCCUGUUUUGCUCAAAUUUGCAUGAAUCUGUGCAAAAGGUAACAGUAAACAAGGUGAACAGGACAUGUGCUGAAAUAUUUAUGUUGACAUUUCUCCUCUUCUCACAGCUUUGCAGUUGAUGCCUUUAAACAUCACGGUGGCAAAUGUCACAACAUUCAUCAUUUUUGUGGCCUCAUAGCUAUGGUCUUAGUUACUUUGUAGCAACAGAGAGAUGCACUCACCAGCUUUGCUGCCAUUGGCUGGAUUGUAUGGCAGGAUCUCAUACUAAAAAUAUCCACCAUGUUGCUUAGCCUACCAAUUUGGUAAGCUAAUGGAAGAAAGCUCCAGUUCUUGGUGUCAGCAGGGAGAGGUUUGACGUACUGGACUUUUUUUGCCUGGUUUGAUAAAAUGUGUGUGAUCAAGUUGUCUCAAAUAUUGCUUUUGUUAUUGUGAAUUUAUAACUAUUCUUAUAGGAUUUUGUUCAUCAGAAGCAAGCAUUUAACACAGCCCUGCAAUGAAUAAGGAAUAUUUGGUAAUUAGCCAGUGUUUAUGCAAAAUAAAAUCCUUCCAGGACCCCUGAAGGCUUCGUGUCUUGGUAUUACCCUGGAGGUAUCCUGUCCACACAACCACAAGCUAAUUAUACAGCUCUGCUUAUUAGCCAGCUAUCAAUCAAAUAUACAAACAAGAUGAUGCUAAGUAUUGAUCCAAAGAUGAUUGUAUCUGAUUAGUCAAAACAGCAUUUUUUGUUUUCAUGUUUGACAGAUUUAGAAAAAAAAACAGCGGCACAUGUUCAAGGUUCUCUCGCUCUAAAAAAAGUUUUUAAAAAAAGUCAUACAGUGUUAAGGUUUGUGGUUGUUUUGUGUCUUUUUUCUUUAAAUUUGGUCAACAUCUCUUUGAUUCUGUCCCUCAGUUUUUGAAGAAACGUUCCACUGUUUUACAACUUCUUUACUUCUUUUCUCUGCUGUUGGCUAGUGAGUAAUUGCCUGCCAAUUAAAAGGUAUGUACUCUCCAAAUUAGGAGUAUUAUUAAAACUUUCCUCUAUGUUAUCUACUAUGUCAAAGCCAAACUAAUGUCUUUCCUGGGUAAUCAGAAGGAAGAGGUGCUGUAACUUCUUUCUGCUAGAGAUGGGAUUUGUGGCUCUUUGAAAGAAGUCUGAUCUUAAGGAGCUGUUCCUUUCAAAGAGACUAGCUCAUUGUUAUAUUCAUUUGUUUUUUUAGAAGUCAACCAGGGGUACACAUUGGUGGGAAUUAUCCAGAAAUACUGAGUUUAAUUUCAUUUGGCUUGUGCUUUCAAAGCCAUAUCCUCAUGCUUUGGCAGGGAGAUCUUUUUUAUUAUUAUUAUUUUUCCCUCACCCAAAAAACUUUGUGGCACAAUAAAAACCAUGCAGGUGACAGAUAACUGAUAAAAAAGUAAGACAUGAUAAAAUUGUGAAUGCAAAAUUUUACAACCCUACCUGGUGUUUGGGGCACUCUGGUGACACGUGAAGGUAGCAUGGGCAAUUUGCAUACAAGAACAAUUCUCAAACGAAGGUCUCACCACUGUGGAACUGUUCUCAUCGUUCUCUUAAAAGAGUCGUUCAAACCACUGAUUCGUUCAUGGUUGUAACAUCUUUACUCUCUGCAGAUUACUUUAAUAUGCAGCAUGUGUGAUCAGGUUGGCUCUAGUGUUGCUUUUGCUAUUCACAGUUAAUGACCAUUGUCAAAGAAUUUAGAAAGGUGGCCAAAAUAGCAGCGGCUCUGCAAUGGCCCAAAUGGUCUUCAUUAUAACAAACAUGCUACAGGUGCUUGAAUGAUGCAGCAUUUGCAGUGUGUCACCACACUGCCCAUGUUUUGCACUUUUGUAUGUGUUUCUGGCUCUUGCUGGCCACCAUGGAUUUGACCAAUCAGAAUCAAGUUGGGUGACAAUAUUGAAUGCUGAUGAGUUUAUAAUCUGUUCCUCUGAAUACAUCAGUCGACUGACAUGUUGACGGCUUUAGCUGGCGGGGCAGAGGGAAGUAUUCAAGAAACAAUAUCUAAAACUAAAGGUUGGGGACAUCUGAUCAAAUCCUUGUGCCACACAUUUUAUUUUUCUCUGACUACAAAGUUUUUUUGUGCUUGUUUUUUUAAGCUCCAACGGCGUAUGUGUUUCCCAGGGGAAAGAAUCUCACUAUGUUAAAAUGGUAUUUGUAUCUUCCAAAGUAUCACUUGUGAUUCAGCUUUACUAGCCUGAGAGGAGAUUCUUUUUAUGCUCAAUACAGUAUGUGCACACAGUGGGCACAUGCAUGUAUGCAUGACAUUCCUGUGAGUUAGACAGUUUUCUAUAUAUGACCCGGAUUAGGAGGAUCUUCUGUUUUGCCCGAAAACAGGUUCUGCUUCAACUGAGCGAUUUAGCCCUUGGUAGUUGUCAACUGUGCUUCUACAAAGCUUAAUAUACAUUUACGACAUCCCUCUAGUUUUAUAUAGUCUGCAGGCUGUGUAUUGGAGUGAGAGUAUGAUUUCUGACAGAUGGAGGAGAAAAAGAAAAUUGUGAAGAACUUCCCUUGGGGACAACUUAAGCAGAUUCAUUUCAUUCUUUGACUGCAUGUCUAAAUAGAGAGAAAUGCAAUGAGUAGACACAUCAAACGUCAUCAUGGCAAGUUAAAAGAGGAGUUAAGCUCUUUAUGUCGACCCCUCUGAUUUGGAUUUUUGUUGAAACCCCCGUGGUGAACUCAUUUAUGCAACAUUUUGAUGGAAUUGAUCCAAUUGCAACUACGUUUUUCUUCUUUAGAUCUCAUGUUUCGCUUUAACACCUACAUUAUGUCAUCAUUAUCACAGAUUCAGGAAAAACCCCGACUGUACUUCCCACUAAACAUCACCUUAUUUACAAGGCUGGUAACCUUAGGUUGUAAGAGGGGAUGCAGGGUUGCAUGUUUUACUCCAUAGAGAGUAUCAAUCAGCCGCAGUCGACUAAUAACUUGUGCGGCAUUUAUCUCCUUGUCAGAAGAAAGUGAGGGGAGAGAGGUGACGAGUGGAGACAAAUACCAUUCACAUUACAGCGCAGAUUUCCACAGGCCUCAGGCUAAAGGGGAAAGGAAUUUCAAAGGAGAAUCAAGAAUAAAGUCGGGGUCUUGAGACAGCAUGCUUAACACUGAAAGAAGCUGAGACCUUUUGAAAAAGUCAGACAGUUAACUUCUGACUGAUUCACUUCAUCUCCAUCGGCAGUGCUUAUUUACGUGGCAGAUGGGUUCCAUAAAUUUCAUUGUGGACCUCACCGUUAUAAACCUAACUCAAUUAGCCGGGCAGGGUGUUAGCGGACACUUAGCUCGAUCCAUCGCAGCAAAUCACAAUGGGCAGAUGGGUGAUAUUUUUCAUUUUUGGUGGCUAAAGCUCAAACCCAUUAGUUUUCCUUGUUUGUGUGAGUGCCUGACUCAUUGAAUAAUCAGUUUGAUUAAUAAAACCGGACUCCCCAGGCAGGAUGUUUUUGGCUAUGAAAUCUGGUGUCUCUCUCUCUCUGGCACAAAACAUGUUCAUGUUGUAGGUAAACUCUUAUUGUUUUUUAUCCCUUUAAAAUGUGACAGAUAAUGUGACAAAUUCAGCGUCAGUGCUCCAAGCUCUAAUACAAAUUAACUUGGCUCAUCACAUUGUGUUUUCCUUGCCUGUUGCCUUUUGUCUCCCACUUCUCACCCUCAUUACUCUUCCUCAGCCCUGCUUCCAUAUUUCCCCACAUCCUCUUACCUGUAUCCUGUUUAAUAGAUCUUUCUUUCCAUCAUUCCUCAUUCUUAUUUUACAUAUUCCUCACGUCUCCACUUCAUCUACAUAGACGCCUCCUCUCCCCGCCUCCUCAUCCAUCCCUCACUUCAUAUCUCUCUCCUUCUCUCCCCGCCACUGAGCCCACCCUGGCAGCCUUGGCCCUCUUAAAUGCAUCAUUUCUUCCAAGAGAUAUCCUUCUGCACUGACCUCUGAGCUAGCUGGCUGCCUGCCAUCUCCACUCAAUGGACUCAUCAAUCCAUCUUGGUUCUUGGAUGGCCUUGAUUUUAUUGUCUCACACAGCCCUCUGUCAUCCUCUUCAUCUCUCAUCCUUAAUGUCAUCCUUUCAGAUUUUAACAUGUCUGCAUUUUCUGAGCACGCAGCGUUUGAUUACAUUGAGUUGGAGCGGUAGAGCCCAGGUGGGCUUUUGUUGUUGAGUCCUUGCUGGGACAGAGGAUACACAGUCAUGGAUGUGCCAUUUCUAUAGAGUUAAUCAUUGGGUUGUGAAGGAGCAGCUACAAUGAAAUUGGAUUUAUUUUUCUUCUCAUUAUUCCUGAUGACUGAUCGCACAUUUAAAUGCAUCAAUGCUUUGCAUUAAACUGUGCUUGCUCAAACUUAUUAUACAUAACUGGCCUGUCAAAUUCAUAAAUGUUAUAGGCAAAGAAGACAACAGUCUUCUGGUAUUUUGUUUGAUUUCCAUACUGUAUUCUGGGGAAAUACUUCCUGAGACUAGUUUGACUGCUAUGACCUGACACAGAAAGGGUCACAUGACAGGCAGACUUGUCACUGAGCGAGUUUUCCACAACUUUGCUUAAGCUGCAAUUUGGGUGGAGACCAACGAGAAGAUGCACACAUCACAACCAUCCACAACUUUCCGCAGCAGUGAGGAAAGUGCAGCGUAUCAUGUUAGCACAAUGUGAUGACAUAACUGCCAAUGUCAUGUACUUUAUUUGCUAAUUCAUUUUCUAUCUAUCUAUCUAUCUAUCUAUCUAUCUAUCUAUCUAUACAAAAAUAAAAAUAAAAUAAUAAAAAAAUGAACAGUCAUGCUAACCCAGAACAAAGUAUUAGGGCCACAUCAAGAAAAAAAAAGACUUUAUAUUUACGUACGAGAAUAAAGUUGUAAUAAAAUCAUUACUUACGAGAAUAAAGUUGUAAUAAAAUCAUUACUUAUGAGAAUAAAGUUGUAGCUAACAGCUAUUCUAAUCUGUUGUUAGUUGUUUAAAUGAGCACUGUGGAGCAUUUCGAUGAAUUGAACUAUAGUAGCUAGGUUUCACAAACAAGGAGAUACUAAAUCCUUUGGCAUUUCAGCAUCACAUUGUCAUAAGUAUCAGGACGUAUGCAAGAAAUGCACCUUUUCCGCAGAAAGAACCAGGCGGACUUGUUGGGAAUCACUGUUUUUGAGGAGGGGGAAAUGGCUGGAAAUGGCUGUGCAGAGGCUAAAUCCUUUAACGCAGCCAUUUAUAGCCAUAGCAAUAGCAUGUGGCUUUAGUUUAUCGUAUGAAUCUAUACGCCAUAAGGUGUUGGUGCUUCUGCAGGUGUAGGUUGCUGCCGGUGUUGUGCCGGCAUCAGAGACAGACACGGUGCUCGUCGGAGCUCGACUCCCUCUGGAUCGUAUAUGUUGAUCAUCAGUUGGAUUGUUUCUUGAGAAACCACUAAAGCCCUCUGAAUGGCCCACUGAUGCACCCACCGAUAACUCUGCAGUUGACCAGUUCCAGCCAUUUCCUCCUCCACAAAAGCAGCUUUAAGAAUUUAUUUACUUUACGACUUUAUUCUUGUAAGUAAUGAUUUACCUACGACUUUAUUCUCAUAAGUAAUUAGGAAGCCUUGAUUUUUUUUUUCUUCCUAAAGUGGCCCUAAUACUCUGCCGUACUAACCCAGUUCAAGGAUUUAUUUUUUUAACUUGGCAUUUUCAAUAUUAAAAGCUAUGAUCAGUAGAGAGGCCAUCCUUCCUUAAAUAAAAUCAUUUUGUGCAAUUUAAUCUUUAAUUCAUCAGAUUUACAAAAAAAAAACAAAAAACAAACUAAUGAACAUUUCAAAAUGUUCCGGUCUUUUGAGUUUGUUUCUUUUGAUUUUACUAUCAGAGAAUUUUCCUCUAAUUCCUGGGACCAUUGCCCAGAUGGACUUCAAUUUAGUGAUUAACAUUUUUAUUUGAUAACUUAACUUUUAACAAUCAAUUCCAACUAAGAAAGGACUUCUGUAUCAUGUUAUUAAAUUAAUCUCACAAAGCAAAAUGUUUUCUUGAACAUCUGAGCUGAUUACAGCUAAAAGUGGUUAGCAUCAGUAGUCAUGUUAAUAAAGCUUGGUAGACUGAUCCCUGCAAACCCGUCGGUGUGCCUCACAGGUUUGUUGGAAGUCCCCUUUAAUAUCCUCUCAGCUCAAAGUCACUUGCAUUAAAGGUUUGCUGCCAAAAAAGAAAAAAAAAGGGGGGAAAAAAGUCAAUUUACUGGUCUUCCUGCUCUCAGUGGGAGUUGCUAUGAGGAGAAUGAAUAUAUACAUCACCUAUUAUGUCCUCUCGCUUAUUUGCUGAGAAAAGCCUUUAUAAAGCAUUUGCAGAUCAAUAAGUACUGCACCACACUACUUACAGGACAACUUACGGGCAGGUCUGGGACUGUUCUGUUAUAUAUGGACAUGCUAAAUGCCAGUUAUGCUUCCCAGCUCUCCAAGGCCACUAUGAGCAUUUGCUCGGCACUAUUUAUAGAGAGCCUCAGCAUGUUUAGUCAUGAAACACCUGACCCUUUAAAUCAGAGAGCACUGACUGGAGCAUCGGAAACUUGCUUGUAUCAUAAUUUUUUGACCUCCGUGGCAGAAGCAGCAGCGUAUGAAAACAGGAGUAUCAAAUUGAAGUGAUAAAAAUGUAAAUUUUACCAAGCGUCCAUGUAACCUUCACAUUUGUCUCUCAUCAGCCUUUCAGCACAUUCUUCCCCUGUCUUUUUAAACUCUUUUUUUUACUCCAAAGGCCUUCUAGCUCUUGGCAUUCUUCCUUCACAGUUACAGUGCAAGACCUCAGUACACACUGGAGAGUGUGUUUUGUGUCUGCCAUGGACUCAACCUUCAGGUUUACCAUCUGAAUAUUCAGUGCUCCCAGCGACCCCACUGUGCUAAGCAAACUUCACAAAGAAGCAGCAGACACGGAGGGCACUUACUACUUAGACACUCACGAAAAAGAGCCUCCUUUUUGCUUUUAGCUUGAAUCAAAUCCUGUUCUCUCAUAAAAUUAUUUAAAGUGUACUUUAGCAAUGUAACACUCACUUUCAACGUGAAUGUGAUGACGCUCUUCCUUGGAAAUGAAUGGCAAUUAUAAAACUUGCAUGUGAUCACAACAACCCGAAUGUGCUUUUAUGGAUAUGCAUGAAAAAUCUAUGAAAAGUGGAAAUGAAAUCACAAUUUGCUGCAGAUGCAUUGCUAUGGCUCUGUAAUCACCCGGUUGUUGUGUUUUUAUUUAUUUUUUUCAGCCUACAAGAGCAAAAUGGCAUUUAAUUGCUGUUGCAAAUGUACAUCUGUGUGACUGAAUAUAAAUGAGACUCUGAGGCCUCUUGUUCUCAUGGUAACACAAGUAGGAUGUGAGGUACUGAUUGACCUUGGGGGGUGUAGAGUUUCCUUUUCCACAUGAAUUUAGCAGCAAGGUAAGUCUGGGUGUCUGCAUGGCAACAGCUUUGCUGUUUGGAAAUAGCAGGCCGUCUGAUGUUUCCUUUUUGAGGGGAGCUCCUUUUCUCUAGCUGUAUGUGUGUUUGAAGAAGUCUAAAUAGUUUAUGUAAUGAGAAAACAAGUCUGUCAGAAAAAGAAAUUGCAUUCAUUUCAUUCACUGCUCCUAUCUUAUUAGGAAACGACUGCAAGCGUUCAGGUGAUCAGUGUGCAAUGUUUCAAUUUACACAGGCAAUGCAUUACAAUGAUACAUGACUCAGUGUGAUGCUAUGAAGCUACGUCAGCAGGCCUGUGGGGGGCACUGCAGCACUUUCCCCAUCGUCUCUUGCCUGAUUUCCUUCAUUUCUUCUUUUUCCAUAGCUUUCCAUCCCAAUUUUCUGUCUUCCUCUUGUUCUGUGACUCUAUCACUCCUCACUCAUUCCUCUCUCUCUCUUUCUGGUACUAAUGCGCUCUCUCAUCACUGCAUCCCCUCCUUACCCUCUCUUUCUCUCUCUCCCUCCACCUCACACACUCAUCCCCUCUCAAGUUCUCACUCCCCUCGUUCCAAGAUUUUACUUUUGGUUGAUGUCCAUUUUCUCUCCAUCACUCCCUCUUUUUUCCACGUCCCUCAUUUUCAUUUCUGUUGCCCGUCCGCCACUUUUUUUUGUUCGGGAUUAUUAAUCGAUACGGAGCCCUCCUCUCCCUUCUCAUCCCCAUGAAAUGAAAUGUACACACAUUAGCAACAAGGCAUAAGUGGCUUGACCUUCCUCCUGUUGCACCCAUUUCUCAUUCAUUGCAGUUCCAUUUGGCAGCAGGGUAUAAUUAGUAUGGCUAUCUAUAUGAGAGCAUUAUCAGCUGGCUGUUAGAUGGAGGUAAAACAAUAAUGGGAGUCUGAUGACACAGGACAUUCCUUUUUUCCUGCGAUUUCUCACAGAGUGAUAGUGAAUUUGACGUCAACUCAUCAGUCACUCGACAGACCCUUGUUCCGUCUACGUGUUUAAUCCCUGAGCAGCUCUAAAAAGAUAACCGGACCUAAAUUAAAGGAAUACAUUUGUGUUAAAGUGUCAGAAAUGUGAAAUGUGCUGUAUAUUUAGAAGGAGAGCUCAGUGAUCCACUCUCCCCAAGAUAAAUAUCUACCAGUCUCUUUUGGAGGACAAGAGAAAGCUGGAAAUAUCUAAUCAUUUCUGCCCUGGUUUCAUAUCAUUUGCAGUUUCACAAACAAUUGGCCAGUCAUUUAAUCUUGUUGGAGCUCCAGGCUCAAAAGUGUCUUCUCAAGAAGGCAGAUAUUUAUCUAAAAUAUGUCACCGUGCCAACUAUAUUCAUUCAUGCCAGGAGUUGUAAUCGAGUUGACAACAUCUGCACUCUAGGGAUUAAGAAGAGGAACAGCAGCAUUCUGGGAUAGAUUGGGCAAAUCUUCUUCAAUCACUCAGCCAGUAGUUAGAGAGAGCUUCUCAAAAGUUUGAUGUGACUUUCCUGUGUGCAAACCAACACUCAGCCACACCUACACACCCUAAUUUAUUUCAUUAAAACAUUAUUGAUUUCUCCCCUGUCACAAAUACUCAUAAAAAGCAGGUCAUGUCAAGAGAUGGUAAUUAAUGAUUAGCCCUCAUAUGCAUUACUUUGUCAGGAAAUGACGGAUGGCGGCUUGAUGGCUGAUGGCCGUGACCUUGACGGGGGAAAUUACCGCCAAGGGGGCAGACGAAGGAGAAAGGUUGCAUGAAGCAGCCGUUUCCUAAUGACUGACUUAUAUCAUAUCUCAUUCAUAGCUUAUACCUUCAUGCCCUGAGAACACACACAUAAUUAGUUUUCCAUCAGUUUCUAAGUUUAAUUUCAUCAGGAUACAAAGCCCAACACAAAUAAACUACAAUUCUUAAUGAUAUGACUAUAAAUGAUUAAUUCUAACUUAAUUGCCAUUAAUAAAUUAGUUGGUUAUUAAUAAAUUAAUAGGUAACAUGGAAAGCUAGAAGGGUGUGGUGUAAAAUGUCAGAAAAUAUGUGCAGUUCACUGAAUCACAAAGUAGCUGCUUUAAAUAGUCUUUUGUCUGAUUAAUUAGAUGAAGUUAGGUUAUGAGAAUAAUUUCCACAAAUAUAGACGUAUGGUAGCUUGGUCAGUUACACAAUGAGUGUGCUGCAAACAACAGCAGGGCAACAACAUAAGGAAAGGUUUUCAUUGGCUGAUGGUUAUAGCUGCAUUGCCGCUCAUGAUAUAGCAUGUCUGUGAAGGUAUGGCUCCAUCCUCUAAGUAAAAUACUGCAAAACAAUAAAAUACCUUUCUGCAUUUUAUAUUGGUAUAAUGGUUGCACUGGUGUCUAGGAUGCAGCCCACCUUUUAGAUGAUUAAAAGGGUACGGCAAAAGCGUCUCGUAUAACCAAAUUUUACGGUAUUCUUUACAUCUCCUGCUUGGAAGGGAGUCAACAUUGCUAUUUGUUUCACUGGCGAUUGAACCCAGGUCUUCUAAAUGGCAUUUUUGUUUUUGCUCAAGCACUCCAUCACCCUUAUGCACUCUUUAUUGCAAGUGCCCAAUGGAUCAUGGAUCACAAAUCAUAUUGAAAUCACGACUCGUAAAGGGCAGAGAGAAAAACAUGCUAGACUUUCUGUUUGGAGGCCAUGAGGUGUCGUGGACAUAUACUUGAUUAUUGGUUACCAUGAUACACAGGAGUGGCUGUGGCCCAGUGGUAGAGUCAGUCGUCUCUAUAUUGGUGGGUUGGGAAUUCAACCUCAACUGCAUAUUAGAUAUCAACGAGUUAUUUUCUGGCUUCUCUGGCCGAGGACUAGGCUGGGGUGGAUAGUGGUGAAGGUGUGAGUAUGAGAAUUAAAAUACUACAUUAACAAUAUUCCAAACAUGUCACUGAACCAUAAAAGCCUAUGAUUAACCUGUCAAACAUCAUUUCCUUGCAUUUUCCAGUCUAUAACUUGUACAUUGAGCUCUGUUUUAUACUAUACUGCUGUCAGUUAACUUAUUACCAAUCAGUUUCAGAAAACAGCUGUUGAUAUAGAAACUUUGGUAACCUUGUUAAGAUACCUUCAUUUGAGACUGGCUUGAUACCGUAGACUGUAUAUACUAUGGACAACUUGGUUCUGCCUUCCACCAGUAUACGGACAUGAAGCCGAAAAGCUCUUGAUAUUUAAGCAUUUUUUCUCCAUUUCCUGUAACCAACAUUGCGCAGUAGCGUUGUACGCACUCCCCCACUUGCGCAGUAACAUUGUACACAUUCGGCAGGAGAGUCGCCGACAGUCGCUGUGAUGCCGCUCAGCUCAAACAGCGUAUCACUCCGGGUGAACUACGCAAUCUUCGUACGCCCAUAGGCUGUAUUAAGUGUCAAUCAUAGAAAACAUGAAACCCCUAAUAACUGCACAGAAAAAAAGAGGACUUGAGCACAAACCAGUCUUAAGGUCCUUACACACCAGAAAAUGACACAAAUACAUGACGCAAAAUUACGAAAUAUUCAGAGGUGAAUUUUGACGCACCUGACUAUACACAUCAAGAAAAUAGAGCCCUAGGUGUUAAUAUGUUCAAUAAUUGGAACACAAUCCCUUCUAUGUUUGCAUCAUUACUUGACAUGUUAUGAUUGGAUUCUUUAGCAGAGAUGGCCAACAUCAUCCGAAAAUAUCUCACACAUUCCCUGCACACAGCAGACAGUUGUACAUAUCAGAGAUUUAGAGCCCAUUAGAGAGACACACAAUAAUUCAUGUAAUUAAGAACAAGGCAAACUACUCCAAGUAAUUCAGAGGCUUAGCUUGGUUUAUGUAGACAAACUCACAGAUAUCCUGUCAUUUAGUUCAUAAGAUUUUUUCUCAAACCAGUUAAUGAUGUUAUCAACAUUGAUCUAUCACCCAUCUAUUUACACAGAAAACAAACAACAACAAAAAAACUUACUAAGAAAAUAUUCUUCAUUUAGGAUACACAUAAAUGCUAAUGAAGCACAUGCAAUGCUUGAUUUGCAAAAGAACAGAUGCCCAAAAUUUUCAGAGGAGGCAAUUUUGCACGCUGGUUAGCAUGGAUGUGUCCCAGAAUAUGGAUCAGCUGGUGAGAGCGUCAGAGGUGGAUAAUGUCCGCCAUGCAGAGAGGGAUUAUUUUGUCAAAGCAUGGAUUGCCUGCCAAUACACACGCCUGUACCCACAUGGUGAGGGGCUUAGACAAAAGCACUGAGACAUUAUUUUCAGGUUGCAACUGUGCUUCACUGUCAGCUCAAAGAGAAGAGAGGGGUGUUGGUGAAAAUUAGAGGACCACAAAGUGCUCUCCAAACAGCCUUCAUAUUGAGCUGUUGGAUUUAUCUGUGUUUGUAGCUUCAGUGUGGGCUCUGUUUGAUUGUAUAUAUCUCGUCAUUAUGAAAACAAAUUUCACAGGCUUUUAGUUUAAAGUGCUAUGUGAACUUCACAUCGUCAACUAUUCAGAGGAUGUUGCUUUAAAAGUGAAAACAUGAAGACAACCUUGAUGCUCGCAAAUUUAUUUAACAUGAAUCAAUCUGCUGUGGAAAUACUUAAGAACACUACACGACCUUACUUCAAAAAGCACUUGAAACAGGUGGGCAAUUCAUGAAGCAUGCUUUUGAAAUGCUCUUUUCUCUCAGGUAAUUAGUUAUUCUGAAACAGUAUUCACACGUAUAGCUUCUACUGCAUUUGCACAUGUAGUACUUUGCAUGCCUAUCUUGUGCAUCAACACAUAUCUUUCUCACACACAUACACGGUGAAGGGAUGGGUGAGAGGUGGAAGGUGCUCUCCAGCAGACAAGUAUAAUCUCUUCUAUAAAUUGGGAGCAGAGCCGCUCUGCUCAGAGCAGCUUAUCCAACGUCCCGCAUCAUGAGUAGGAGGCUCUCGUACAGCAAAAUGCCACCAAACAAACAUUGCAUUUACCAAAAUACAGCUUGUCCCCGUCUAAAGCAUUUAUUGCAAUUAUAUGCAAUUUAAGUAGGAGUAGAAAUUACUGAAGCAGCCAGGGUCAACAGAGACCUCCCCCCUCCAUUCAAUGAGUGACAGUUCUGAGAAUGCAAAAGCAGUGGGCCCUCCUCCCAGGAGGCCAUUUGUUAAAUAACCCUUUUUAGGAAUUUUGAGGCAGUUUUACAGAAAACAGGACUACAUACAGAGCAACAGAACAUAUUCUUAGACACUGUAAAUCAAAUCUGAAGUCUUUGACAGCUUUUAUAAUUCAAGUACAACCAUGCCGGUAGAUUUUGAUUCCACCUUCAGCAGUUAUUUUUAAUCUUUCAUGUGGAUGAUGAAAGCGACACAGAGGAACAAGUAACAGAUCGACAAUUAGAGGCUCGUGCAGCGAAAUUAAAUCACUGCAGGAACCUGUUAUAGCACAACACUGUCUUUUUGUUCAACACCCCCAUUUUGAUCUAUUAGUGGUAGGGUUUCUUCUCUCAUAUGCUUUGUUAAAAUAAAAUCAAUUAUCUGUGAUUAAAACAAUCCUCCAGCCACCGGUCCCUAAAGCAGAAGGUGAUUUAGAAUGAUCUGUCAGCUACGUUGGAGAGGAGAUGGCAGAACGCCAUUCCACUUGGUGAUGAAUCUGGUGGAAUACUAUCGGAAGAAAAAAAGCUGGAGCUCACACAGAAAAAGAGAGAGAGUGAGAGAGGUUUCUGCAGCUUCAGAUUUUCUGUUCUGUAGAACUAAAACUACAAGAAAAAUCACAACUUUUAAGUUCAUCAUACUUAUUUUGUGUUUUCUCUCCUCUCACUGUGAAAUUACCCUCUUUGUUUUCACCCCAUGUCUGUCAUAACAGCCUCUAUUCCCUGCUCUCCCAUAAAAGGUUGACCAUCCCCUCCACCCAUCCUCCUCUUGCUCUCUUUACUAAAAUUGCAGCAGCUACACUAUUCUGUCAUUUGUAGCUUGCACAGAGACAAAAAAGCCUUCUGGGUAACAUUGUUUGAAUGUGCUCUGCUCAAACAGAUUCCCAGAACCAAUAGAAGUGUUCGCACAAAUCUCUCAGUCAGUUCUUGUUAUUGUGGGGUGCUGAGCAGCUCCAAAUACCCAACAUUCACUGCAGACCCCUGCAGCACAAUGAAUCAAUAAGCCAAAAGUACAUAAAGAUUGUGCCAAUGUCUCACCACAAAUCAAAGCUUUAUGGCUUCAUAUCAACAAAUUUUCUCUUCUAAAUUGGUUGCAGAGCUCCCUAAAACUUUAAGAAGUUGUUCACUAGGAUUUUACUGUCCCUAAAAUCUGAGGCAAACAAAGCACUUCAUUUGAUAUACCGCUGAUCAAAAUACCAUGAUGCUGGCACAUAAAUACUAUUAGCUGCUCAUCAUUCACAACACUUAGUAAGUGUUAAAGAAAUCAAAGUCCUCCAACAAAAGUCUGCUCAUGUUUGUUUGUCAUCCGCAGAACAACAACCUGUGCUUAUUCAUGCUAUUAACUCAGUAGCCUUUUGAGAUGAGCCAUGUGAACAGUGAGGCUGAGUGGAAAGGAAUGGGAACUUUUGCAAAGUCUAAUUGAAAGAAAUGCGUUUCAGCAGGGCCCUUAGCUGGCCUGCCUGUCAGUUCGAAAGUCUGCGGCUCUGAAGCCAGCAGGUAGGCUUUUACACUUCUCAUGGUUAGCUCAUUAGCUAAGCUGCCUCUGCCGGGCAGAGCCAAAGCUCUGAUAACAUGCCAAAAAUCAAAGUCCAGGCCGGCCAAAGUGACUUUAUUGAAAACUGGCUGUAUAGAAUGUGUGUUCCCACUGUGAUAGUUGGCUUAGAUAUGGAAGCUGCGUCUCUGCUCGAUGCCUCAGGCUAGAUAAGCAACAUUUGUGUAGAUGUAAAGGAUGUGCUUUGGCAUAGGAGAGUGCGCUCCAUACUGAUUUUCUAUACGAGGUUUUUCCAGCCUUAGAUUAUUCUGAAAGAGUACCCUACGUGUCUCUACUCCAGGGAUGUUUGUGAACAUUUCUAUGACCUCUGGGUCUUCGCUCAUUUUGGCUUUCUAAACAUCGUGAACUCCACCUCUCUGAACAGCACUUUUCUCCUCUGCUGAAGUCGACAGAAUCUUUUCUUUGGAAAUGAGAUUUUGCAAGUAGUGACAAAAGUAGCAGUCCAUUUAAUGUGCCCAGUGUAAGCUAUAUGAACAGAAACAGUGCUGCUUUUCAAUUAGAAAAACAGAGUGAAUGACUGUUUAAUGGACAUGACUGUCCUAUCUUGUUUUCUCCCGAUGCAAAGACAUUUGUCACACAGAAUCUAAUUUAUUUCAAAUGUGCACCUGAGGAUUAACGGACGGCAGCAAAACAAUUAUAAUCUAAACAAGUAAAGCUAUUUUAACUGCUGGCUGUACUGAAUGAUCCAGUGUCAACAGCUUAAUUUGCUUCUACAACCAGCAAGUAUGUGAGCAGGAGAUUAGUUUUUCAGACAAAAGAGGUGAUGAGCAUGAUGUUUUUAUUCAAUUACUGGAUAAAUUGAAACUCCAUGGGAGAAGACAUAAAACGUCUGUUGACAUCAAAGUUAAGCUUGCAGCAUUGUGGAUUGAUUUUAACAAGAUAUGAUAAUUUGUCCGGCUUCUGGGAAGCCUUGUAAUUUGCUACUUAAUUUGUUGUGCAGCAUAACAAGGUGAAGCUUGCGUAUGUGUAUUUGGCUGCAUCUUUAGUUUAUAAAACCUGUCAUGGUGCAACACCGUGCAGAUUCUGUGCACUUUAUAUUCUACAGACAAAUUUCCAUCCAUAAAAAUUUCAGACCGGGACUGUCUGACCCAGGGCUUGCCCUGGACAAUAACAAGGUCUCCUGAGCUGCUGAAGCUGCGUCCCCACAGACAGCCUGUGUGCCAUUAUCAAAUUGGCUCUUCUUCUCCUGCCUCCCAUAACAUUUCAUGCAGCGAACGGCUGCACCCUUUACAUGUUCCUCUGAAUGUCACAGCACCUGGGAUAUGAGUCUGACAGUUGGACUGCAAAAGAAGAGGUCCCCACAUUUCCUUCUUCAUAAUGCAUAUAAUAAAUACCUGCAGCCAACUGCAUACAAUAAAAUAUAGUGGCCAGGGAGUGAACACUUUCAAAACAAAGCCUUGGAAAUGGUGACUCACUCCUACUCAGCUGUUCAAAGUCCAGGAAUUAUCACAAAGCCCACCUCGUUUCCCCUGGCAGACAAUGGCACCGCCUGGACCAGAAUAGCUUCCUGAGAAGAGUCCAAGAUUGAUGGUAAAGUCUGAGUUGCACCGCUUUUUAUUUGAAUUGUCAUGACUAAAACAAAAAAUGGGGAUAUGUGGGGUGAAAAAAACAGUCUUGAAAAGACAGAACAUCAUGAGAGGAGAACAGCUCAUUAGCUGCAAUGGUUUGGGCUGUUCAAAACAACGUGUCACUACAGGUUUCAAAAUGACAUCUUGCUGAGUUGAACAGACAACUUUUUUUUCUUCUGUUGUCAUGCUGAAGUCAAAAGAAACAGAAAGCCCGACAGACAGACACACAGACAGACAGUAGAGCCAUCAAGAUAUCAGAAACCUCUUUUUUAAAAAGUGUGUUUUCUUGCCAUUUUAAACCAUACAAACUUUUAAUCUAUAAGUUUAUGUGCAGCACUUAUGGCCUCACAUAGGGAGCAUUUGCUCAGUACAUAUUAUGACUCAGACGACUAUCAUUUACUCAAAACAAACAAGGAAAUAAAUAAAUAACCCAAUACCAUCAAACUAGUUCAAAGCACAGCUUUCUGACCUCAGCUCACUGAUCGGGGAAUAUGAAAAGGGGCCCCAGGAGAUGGUGGGUUUCACAUACCAGUGUGAUUUAUGGUCUACCAUAACAAAUCAACAAGUUUAACUUUAAUUGUUUUCUUUGCAAUGGGAGGUGGGGUAGUUAAUACAGAGCGAUGAUUGAUGGCACAGGGCACCGGGUUUGGCUUGGCACUUUGUCUUUUGCAGUGCAGCUCAGGAAUUGAACCAGUUGAUAGAAGCAAUUAAUUUGAGGAAGGAUUUUUUUUUUAAGAUUCAGGAAAUAUACAGGUUCUAGAAAAUAUCAGAUAGAAAAUUGUUCCAUCCACGAGAGAAUGGUCCCCCAGUCUUUUCAUUUCAUGGGAGAAAUUUAGAUUAAAGGUUAAGCUUUUGUAGUCCUGCACUGCCUUUGUAUCCUUUUCUGUUUACCCGUGUGUCAAUAUAAAGUAAUAUUUGGGCCUUUGUUUCGAACUUAAUUUGACAGUCUGACAUUUCACAUGGUUUAAUAAAGCAAGCCACUGUUCAAGCUACAUUUGUUUGCUAAGUAAUUGAGACAACCAUUUAAUUAAAUGCUUUGCUGAUGAUGCUUCUCCUGGAAAGUGGCUGCUAACCAUUAAUCACUGGUGCACACCUAAUUUACAAGGACAACGGUGCAGGGAUGGGGUCUGCGCAGGAGAGGAAAUGGUCACUCUGUUACAUUAAAUCACCAUUACUAAUUAGUGAAGCUAGUGGCACCAGGAGCAACAAAGAUAUAUUGUGAUAGCAGUAAAUCACAGGACAAAAUACUAUCAUGGCUUGAUACCACAGCUGAUCAGCACUCCAUAGAUCACAGCUCAGUAUUUAAACAGUCUUUUGCUCUGAUAAUUGUCGUCAUGUGGUCUAAGGGGUGCUUCUUAUGGCUUCACAGGGUAACCUUGCAGUUACUGCCAGUAACUCAGGGCAUGCCAGAGUAGGUCUAUUUAUUUUUUGCAUUUGUUCCAGCCUGCUGGCGACUGAUGCAAUAGACUGUAGAUGAUUUACUUCUGUUGACUAUUGAAUCAUGGAGGAAGAAAAAAAAACACCCUGCCCAGAAAGCUGCGCCUGAGUUUUAAUUAGGUUUGGACAAAAAGCUGGUCUUUCCUCCGUCAAUUCAUAAAAAUGACUUUCAUUGGGAAUUACAGUAAUGACAUAUGAUGAGCACAGCUGGGGUGUGUUGAUCCUUCACCCUAUAGAGAGGCUAGAAGAGAGCGGUGGUGGUCCUGCAAACAAGGCUGCACAAAAAGUUUAACUUGUGACAUGGCUACAUGAUGCAUUCUGAAAGACAAAGACAAUAAAUCAAACAUAAUUGAUUGCAAUACUGUCUUUGAGUGUUUCUGCAAGCAUCAAUCAUAUUUACCAUGAAUUACCAGGACAAAUGCUAUUGCUUAUGAUGCACAGCGAACAGAGACAGACACACCACAACAAGCAAAUUAAACCACUGUGUUGGUCCUUUGAAGGUGAACAAUGCGUCAUAAAGUUAAGAUUAUAAUUAAAAAGAGUACUGGUGAUUAAUAAAAUGACAACCAGUCACAUCAUGUUAUCAAACAGAUUUGUCAAAAAAAUAAUUCCAGAUUCUCAUUUGCAAUAUUUAAACAGUGAAAUUAAAAACAAAGCAGGGAAGACCAUUUGGUCAGUUUAAUUUUGCUUGCUAAUCUAAGUCUGCUUUCAUGGUUAUUCCAACAUGCUUAAAAUCAAGAACAAUAAUAGAGGGGACGGGGUGUCUCAUUUUUUACAUGAAAACACUGUUUUGUUUUUUUUGUUUUUUUUUUCUGAAUGAUUACAUUCUCUGGCGACAUCAUUCAUUGAGCGACUCACCCUACCAGUACCUGUUACAGAAAACAACUAUGACAAAUACUAUAUGUGUACAUAUGUUUAUGCCUGUUGUGAUAUCCACUGUCUCGCUACACGUUGGAGGAGGAGAUUUUAACCAUUGUAGACACCACUGCACAGUUAGCGCAUCUAAGACUGGAUACAGGGUGAACAGGGACUUCUUGACUUUGAUAGCCCAGACUUGCCUCUACCCAUCAAAGUUGGGGGAUCACAAGGCCUCCCCAGGCGAGACAAUCAGCGAGUUCUAGGUCUAACUUGGAUUUCCAGCCAGUCAGAGAAAAAAAAGGUACCCAGGAGGCAUCCUGAUCAGCUGCUAAACCCCCCCUAGCCCUUUCUUUAACAUAGGUUUGGUCUCUGCUCCAAUUAUCCGAGCACCUUACACUCAUUUUAAGAGCCUGUACCCACAAUAUAAUUUUUUUUUCUUAUUUCCACUAACUUCACGGUAAAAGUUGGACUCCAGAUUAGUUAGUAAAAUGAGUUCUUUGCAUUCUAGCUCUAUCACCUCUUCACAACAUCUCAGCACAACCCCUCAUAACUGCUCAGGCCAGUUGACUAUCAAUCAAUUUGGCCUGCUCUGUUUUACCCACAUUUGUGAACAAGGUCCCAAGACACUUUCUCGAACUCUUUUCCUUCGGGCAGAAACUCAGCUACAAUCCAGAGUAUGUCGUGCACCUUUUCCAUCAGAGAACAAGACUUUUAUGUUUGGAUGUGCUGACACUUUUCCAGACCACUACACACUUGUCUAAAAAUCAUCAAAGUGUUUGCUGAUGAAACCAACCACAGCAUGUCCUCUCCAAGGAGCAGAAAUGCAAUUCCUAAGUCCCUGAACUAGAUGACAGGGCUCUCACAGCUCUUUCUUUGCUGAACAUCCAGAUCUUGAUGACAAAUAUUGGAACAAGAAACAGCGAUGAGGCUCAAUCCUGGUGAAGCUCCACAGCUAUUCAAAUCAUCUUUGACCUGCUGCUUGUGAUUAUAUAAGGACAUCCAUGAUCACAAUAUUAGGCACAGGUGCUGUCAUGGGACACUGAAGAGGUGAGUUAGCCAAGAGGACCUACAGUGACCAAAGGCUUCAGCAUUUCAUGGGGAAUUUUGACUGAGAAGCCACCAGCCAUCCCAGCAACCUCAGCCAAGAAUAUGGGGCUCCCUAGAGGUUUUCAUACUUUUCUUCCUGUUAGAAGACUUGUUUGCCACCUCAGUAAAUUCUUGCAAUUUCCAAAAUUUGACAAGAUGUCAAGCGAGGGUCAACAGUUCCCCUCCGUCCUACUAAAAGCAUUCUGAACUAACUCUUCAGUGUUGUCCAGCAAUUGGACAAAACUCCCGUGAGUCAACCUUGAAUCUCUCCACAGCCCUUUUUUCAACUCUUUGGAGCCAUUCAAAAUCCAUGUAAAUGAUCUCUUCUGGUUCACUUGUUGAGGCUCUGACCUCUGCUGCAAGUGGGCUAUUGAUUCUUCCCCUUGAGAAUUAAGGUACCAGGCACACUAAUCGAUCACCCAGUGCUUGAACAUGUUUGUUGCAAACAUGACUUGCAAAGUUUGGACCAAAACAGCGCUCUGACUUUGAUCAAGCAUGUUUGUUGUUAUAAUCACCUCCAUUAUUGCCUACAUGGCAGAGCAAUGUUGUCUCUAGGUUGCAUCUUUUUGAGGAUACCACCUGCAUGCCGGGAACCCUGUAAAACUAAAUUGAGCAAUAAAUAAAGAAUUAAACCACAUGCAGGGACUUUUUAGUCUGAUUUGCACCAACAUGGAGGAAACUCUUGUUUAGUUCAUAAAAGAGUUGAAUAUUUAUGUCACAGAUCUUUGUUUCCUUUCAGUAAAUACUAUCAAAAUACUUUAAUAAUGGGCGUGAGUAGCAUCUGACUAUCAUUGAAUGUAUAGAAACAUCUCAGUGCGAUCAGCCCUUACAUUUAACACCACAUAAUACUUGCACAAAAUGAAUGUGUUGCUCUAGACAACAAGGUUGUCCGACUUUCUGCUUGCAAAUAUAAGUAAAUGCCGAUGAGUCCAUCUCUCCUCCACAUGUCAAAACCUGUUUUACCUUGUAACAAAUACACAGGUGUCUUUGUUGUCAAUCAGUCGAUCAUCAGUAUUCACCUCAGCAGUGCAGUCGUGGUCUGGGUUUAGACAGGACUGUUUUCUGAGGAGAGGUUGAAUGUGAAGAUAUUUUGAGUGUCUUCAAAUACAUAGAGUAUUCAUAACUUUGGGCAGACAGUUAAUGGACCCAACAGUGGUAAAGACCAAUAAUAUAACUAAUCAAUAAUAAAAAAUCAAAGGUCAGUCAAAGAGAAAUCCAGCCCACAGAAGUUUGUGAGCACAGUUACCUCAUGAAAAAGCUUUUACACACUGUCAACCAAGUCUGGAUGUAUGACAUUGAAAAGUUAUCUCCUUUGUUCAAAUAGUGUUAGAAAGCAAAACCAGUGAGACCUCCAUUACCUGUCCCAAUACUGGUACUCCUCACCUUCAGAUCUGUUUUCUAUGAAAUGAUUUGGUAAAUCAUCCUAAAUAUGUUUCCCACAUGACUGCAUUAAUGUUUCAGAGCUGCAUUUCAUGGCAGUAGAUUGUCAUUCAUUUUGAAUUUGCACUAAAAUAUAACAUUUCUGCAGUAAAUUCAACUACAGGAUGGACGCAUCAAAGACUUGUGCUGCUUAUAAAAAGAUCCAGAAACAGGUCUUGUGCAGCUAUGUUCUUAUCCCCCUUUAUCAGCUUUUGGUUAAAGCUGCCCCAUAACCUUUUGCUGCUUUCAAAUGGUAAAAAAAUAAUCAACUAAUAAAACAUUUUUGGCUCUUUUACAGAUUAGGUUAAAAAUCUUGUUUUCACCGAAAUUUCAAGCCUUGUAUGUACAUUGUUUAACAGUGGCAACAUUAAGAUAAUAAAAGUAAUACCCCAAAGACAGCUGACAAUGGGUGUGUGUGUGUGUGUGUGUGUGUGUGUGUGUGUGUGUGUGUGUGUGUGUGUGUGUGUGUGUGUGUGUGUGUGUGUGUGUGUGUGUGUGUGUGUGUGUGUGAGUGUGUGUGUGUCAUCUGAAGUUGGUUGGGUCAAAGAUUGCCAAACUUGUAGAGUUUGAAGUAUGCCACAGCCUGCCAUUCUUUGCUUCUCUCAUCACUUCUCUCCUCCUCCUUUCAUUUCCAGGCCUGACCUCAGUGCAUUCUUCUUUGCCCUAGGACUCACCAAAGCUCCCUUUGUGACUGUUUAAUGAUGCAUGCAAAUGCAAAUAAACCCAUGGACAUCUCAGAAUAUUGGUCCUGAACCCAGAGGGAAGGAGCAUGGCAGGACACAGACUUUUCCAACAUCUAAAGAGAAUCAUUUUGAACUCUUUUUCAUCAGGUUGGAAAAAUACAUACAUUAGAUCAGUUCAGCAGCAGAAACCAAUUACCCCUCCCUCAUCCAUUCCUCUGCACAACAAACUCUUUUAUUGAUCUGGUGAUAAUUACCUCAGUCACAUCAUAAAGCACCUGGAACAGAUUGGUGGCUCAAAUUAUCGAUUACCCCUGGGCUACCCUUCGUCAUUCAUUGUAUUGCCGCUAUACAUUACUUGAUGAGAUCUGCUAUGCCGCACUUUACUGUGAAUAUCUCAUCUGGCUGUGCAGGGAUACAUUCACAAAGGGGUCAGAUGUGAGCAAUCAGAGUCAUUUGUCAUCUUUUCUUAGUCUUAACAGUAUCCCUUGUGCUACCAAAAACCAAUGUCAACUUGCUGCAUAACUACUAUAUAAUGUUGGCACUUUUUCGCCAGCUUAACAAAAAAGAAGAAAAAAAUCAUGUCGUCUAAAACAGUUUUUGUCCAAAAAUGACCUUACAUGGUGGUUGUGACUGGGGGCCUGCCCUGGCAAGCACCAGCUGUGUCUAAUGCUUCAUUACACACCUUCCUUGAGGCGUGUCAGUGUGUGACCCUGAAACCUCUGCCCAGUAGCCACACAUAAGUCCCCAUCCAUGGUCACUACCCUGGUCUGACCUCCACUGAAGCCGAUAAGUUUUAUCUGUAAUAAAUAAUAAUGUUAUUCUGUCUCCAGCUCUCCUCUCUCCUGUCCUUUUAUUUUUCACACAGCUUACUAGAAGGUGCUGGUGUUAUUCUACAAGCUUUAAUUUUUAAUAGAUCACCAUGGCAGUCCGUCACAAGUCUCCCCCAGCUGCUUUCCAUUGAACAGAGAACAAGAUGACACAAAAAAGAUGUUCGGCUGUGUUACAUUGUCGUUCUCAGCUUUGUGCUUGUCUGAGUAUCCAAAGAACAAUGGCUCCUGGCAUUUCCCCGGAUUCCUCCUUCUUCCAAACAGGAUGAAACUACACCAGACUUUGAACCAAAAAUAGAUACAUCACAUACAGAGUGCAGAAAAAAGAAAACAUGUUUUCUAAAUGCCCCUUUUUCAGUUAACCUGUUUCCAUCUUGAACAAUCCUGAACCUGCACACUAAUAAAAUGAUUUAAAUUACAGAUAUCUGUUUUCAUUAGGGCUGUUCUUUUAUGGUAAUGGAUUCAUUUAAUACAAAUGAAACAAUCAGCAGGUCACCUGCAGGGAGCAACUUUUAAUUAGUAAUUUCUCAACAUGCUACAUGUUGAGAAAAGAAAAAAUAAAUAAAUAGAAACUGAUCCUGGGAUUUGAAAUCACUGGGCUUUCAUUCUGUGUUUCAUCAAGUUGACAUCUAAUAGAAGACAACAUUCCCGAUUAAAAAGAUUGAUCAAUAUGCUGUAAUCUCUAGUGUACAAUAACAGGCUUAUCAGAUGAAUCUUUUAUAAUAAACGGCAGCGUGACUGUUUUGUGUAUUGAUGCAAUCCUUACAAGUACCUUAAUUAGGGGAGUGAAAGAUACCAAAUGAUUUUCACUAUGACAGCCUUAUCCUCAACACCUAUUCAAUCACAGAAGUCAAAUUGAGAACUGGGGCAUAAUCAAGAACCAAACACAGAACCCUGUGAUUAGCUGCACAGAAAUUUGCACGCAACCACUGUGAAAACAAAAGCACAAAAGCCUGAUUUAAAUGCAAUUUGGACUUCAAAAUGUUCUUAUGAAACCAUAUGUUCAAUUACAUUUUUUUGUACAAAAUAAUGAAUCAUAUUAAAGAACAAAUAGGCAAUAUUGGGCCACAUUUUAACAAGAUUAAAUCCUGUGUUGUAAGAAUACAUGAGCGUGAUUGUGCUGUUGAUUAAUCUAUCAUCCUUUAUUCAUCAACACUAAUUCUAUUUCUCACAUCCUCUCUGCAGCUUCUUAGACUCAAUAUUGCAAGAAGUUAAUAUCAGGGAGAAGAAAUUAACAUGAUAAAGCGCUGGCGAGAUAGUGCAGCUCUCUCCGUGCACAAGAAGCUGCCUGCGGGAAAGGUUGCAGAGGAUGGAAAAGCUCACCUUAGCCAUCUGCAGUGAACCAAACUGGCUCUGGGCAGGUGUUCAACAUGGCCAGGUGGAAAGCAGCUGACACAGACAGAGCUCCCCCGCGCUAUUUGUCACUGUAAAUAACAAUUGUUUCUUCAAUAUUAGAGUUGGACAGGACUGAGCACCCAGCCAGUCUUCCUCAUUCUCCUCUAAUUUAGGCAAUUAAAAAGAAAGGUCAUGUGUGGAAACAGAUGGCUAAACUUUAACUGUGUGCUGAGUCUGGGGGCUGAAAGAGACAAUUGACAUUUUACAUGCAGCAUUCACACACUGAGAAAAUAUUGGGGACAGACAGACGAUGAAUGGCCACUUUUAUUUGGGUUACCAAAGUGUAUUAUUUUCAUGCACAGAUUGCUCUACAUAUAAAUCACGAGGGUGGCUUUUCAGUUGGAGCCUUACCAGCUAAAACCAAUCUAAAAUCUACAGGGCAAUCUGUUGUCAGAUAAAGAGUCAAACUGUCCCUCUAAGACCCUGUUUUCUUUAACCAUGUACUGCUGAGAAAACUACUGUAGCCUACACAAUGAAAAAAAAAGAACAACCAGUAAACCAACUGUGAGUGCAGCUGGGAGAAGAAAGGAUACAUUUUCUGUGCUCAGGGACAGGACAAUUAAAGUAAAAUAAAGUCUGCUAAAGUUAAAACAGCCUGCUGAACCUCCCAGGAGUCAGAUAGGAAGCGCGUGUAGGCAGUAAGGUGGGGAGGAACAGCAAACAGAACGUUGUCACACUUCCACUCCCCAUGGAGCCGAGUUAAAACAAGGGGAGACAUGGAUCUGGAAACAGUACACUGCCUCCAGCUUCUGUUAUUUUCUAUUGCAAUGUUUGUGAAAUUCCUGCUGAUGAGGUGAUUAUACUGGAACAUGUGCUUCUUUAAGGCUGACUAGUUACCCACAGUGGUUAAUGUUUAUGUGAGUGAAGAUAUUUUAAUCUGGUGUUUCAAUGCAGAUACAGUAGCUGGUGCAUGAGAGUGUUGUUUAGAGGUAAGGUUUGUUUGGGAAGGGCGGAAAAUGUGUGUGAACUUUCAUUCCAACAUCUGGCCCUAUUUAGCAUGCAGACACGCUGUGAACACUGUUUGCUCCUGGGAGAUUUUGAAAGGAAUUUAUUUUUUGCUAACAUCUUCUUUCCUUGGUUGUUUAAGUGCAUAAGCCAGAGAGCGCAGGGUGUAUGUAAUGUGACCAAAAACUGUGGGUAGGAAGUGAAGAGGGCAAUUGUGGCAUCAUGCUGGUUUGUGGAUAACCGUUGAGAAGCCUUAAAUCACCAUUGUUUCAAUACUUGAACCAGAGCGGACCAUAAGUGGAUGAUGGGAUGACAUUUUCACUGUUAACGUCGUAGAGGCUACACCUGUGUUUUAUACAGUCUAUAGCUGCAGUGGGCAUAUAUGUCAGUCAUAUUUAGUUCUCUUUUUGGUUGCAUAUGGUUGUAGCUCAGGGGUCAUCAGACAAUCUUUAAGGUUGCCCACAAUGUGGAGGUGUCCUUGGGAAAGACACUGAACCAUAAAGUGCUCCCCAAGCGAAGCCGGCUGGGUGUGAAUGAGUAUGAGUGGUUGGAUAAUGGUAACUGAUGGCAGGUUGGCACUUAACAUAGAGUGUAUGGCUGUGUCUGAAUGGGUAAAUGUGACAUGUAGUGAGAAAAUUGUGGUUGGAAGAGUAGACAAGUGCUAGCUAAGUGCAACCAUUACUGUUUGCACAUGUUUUUAGCACAAAGGAAUGUUCUUCCACCUGCAAGCCAAAAAGCGAAGAGCUGUGUCUACUUCUUUGAAUGGUGUAUGACAAUAACUGAGGGUUUUCUUUAGGAAUUAAUCAUCAAUACAAUGUCAUAUUUUAAUGAGUGGAUGGGAAAUUUAUCCUUCCACCUCACUUCAAAAACUACUAAAAAGAGCUCUGCCUUUAUUCAGAGGGUUGAAAUCUCUGAAAGGAUUUUCACCGUGGACCUUUGAAGGUGCCCUAAUGUGCUUAUGGGAAAUGUUAACUUUCCCAGCUCAUGGAGCAUUUGACAACAUUUAUUGGCACUGCCAUGCACGUUUUUAAUGCCGGCGCCACUUGAGCACCUAUGCAUUGAGUAGAAACACAUCAGCUGCUGCUACAGCAUGUGUGGGUAUUUAAUAGUGUGUGUGUGUCUGUGUGUCUGUGUGUGGUUUGACACUAAUCUUUAUGAACAAGUCACAGCUUGCCGUUGGUGCAACAUUAAAUGCAUCUCUUCACUCACAAAAACUGACUAUGGCAUCACACUGUAUAAACCAGCAACUAAACAAGCUGUCCUGUUAAAACCUGCAGACAGUAAAAGUGGGGAACAGCAUAAAUAGUUGAGCCUAAAGAGAGUGAUAACCUGGUUACUGAGUCUCCAAUGUCCACAGAUGGUGAAUAGAUGACUAGAUGAGCAGCCAACAGUCUUUUCAGCACUACAGACAGUAACAAGAUAGAGAAAUUUUAUCCCCAUCAAAGGAUACUUGCUUGGCAGGGAUAAACAAGCAUCUGUUUUGUUUCCGUGGGUUGCAGGACAUGCAAAACUGUGAAUAAAGCCAUGUUUUUUCUAAGUGAGGAUGCUUAAAGGUGGUUGUAUGUUUUUUUUGUUUUUUUUUAAGGAUGGUGAAUUUCAGUUAGUUUCACAGUGAUGCUGCAGCCAAGAGUAUUACAAUCUCAGGUAAAUUAUGACUGUAGCCGUAUCUAACAUUUAUGAAAGCACAAAAGAGGUGUCGCAUACAGGCAAGCUCAUUACAAUAAAGUGGAUCAUAUUUAUGAUAACUCUCUGCUUUUCAUGAUGUGAAUGUCAUAGCAGAUGUGAGAGUAUAGCUGUUUAAUGUGUUUUGAAACGACUGGAAAGUUUUUAAUUGUAUGAAAUAUGGAGUUGACAUUUAAGUGUUUAUGCACUUGCAUUGUUCAUAUACAAUAUAUAAAGUGCUUGGUACUCUCUAGUGAGCAUUUUCCUUGUGUUCCUCUCAUUGUAGUUCAUUUAGAAUGAGACACUAGGCAGUUUUGAUGAGCACAUAUAGUAAAACUCUUGCCAAACUGUUGCCAUAAAAGUUUUCUGAAAUUAAACUGGAAGUGUUUCAACAAGAAGUUGAAGUCAAGGGCGUUUUCCUGUCUUAUCUCCUCUGGAGUGUCUGGAGUUGUGUGUGUGUGUGUGUGUGUGGGGGGGGACUAUUUGCAAUAACAGAGGUGGUGUUGCUGCGUCUGUCACCAUGAAGUGUGCACUCCGGCUGAUGUUAAUUACUGUGGUAGAGUGUGAUAUGGAAAUUAAGAAGCACUCCAUUGACGGCGUCAAAUGCAAAAUUGUCCUAUAACUAUAAAAUGCUUUGAGCCUUUUUUUUUUUCCUUCAACAACUUAUAUUGUGUUUCUACAAUUUUUCCAACCUAAGUGGAGCACCAGGAUAAAAUGUGACAUCUAAUAUAUAGAUCUUAUAUAUAGAUCUCUCCAUAAAAUAAUAAUGUGUCAUCUACUCCAUGCCACUUUAAGUUGCAUCUAUGCGACUGUAGGCAGUUUUCGCAGUGAAGCCACAGGAUUUCAAAGUGUUCAAGAGUAAAAGAUAAGAAGACAGAAUAAAUAGUAGUAGUGAAAGAAACAACCAUUUGCUAGCUUAAGAUUCAUGGAUGUACUGUUGUUAAAGCGUUGGAUCAAAUCAGCUUUACAGGAUCAAAAAAUAAUGACAUUUAAUUCAUCAAGUGACUGGAAGAUGAUGUGAAUGGUACUUUAUGAUCUCUCUUUGAAGAGAACAGGUUGAUUCAAAAGUAUGUUUUCCUAAAGCUCCAUGUAAGGAACUUUCAGUUUGAGUAAAUUUUGGCGCCCCCUGUGGACGAAUCAGUCUUUGCUCAUCUUGUCCUUUACAUGCUUAAGUAGGGUCUUCUGGCAAAAAAAUAUAUCCUGCUGGCUUUUGAUGAUCAAAUGUGUCAUCUGUUGUAAAUAUUUGAUAUAUCUUGUUGCUGAUGGUUGUGCUUGCUGUCGUACAUCACAAAAAAACACCAGUAUGAAUUUUGCUCUAUUUUCCAAAUGUAAAAAAAAAAAACAUCCUCACAGGAACUUUAAACAAGUUAAUUAAUUAAGAGUGUUAUUAGACUCUUUCCUUGCUGUACUGACCACUUUCUUAAUUCUUAAGGCGAAAAUACACUUGCACUGAUCUGCAUUAAGCUACAAAUGUAACUGUCUCGCUUUAAAAUUGUAUUAACCAUUCUGAUUGUGUUUCAAAUACUCUAAUUACAUUCUGUCAAAUUUAAGCCUUAUCAUUUUUUUCCACACUGGGGACUUUAAUAAUAUGAGUGGUAAAAAUCAGUUCAAUUUUUUCCCACAGAAAACCACAUUCAAACAAGAUGUAAUUAAUGAAUCCAAUGAUGUGCAUAAAAUGUGCUUAUAUGUGUUUAAGCUCAGAUUUGAGUGUUUAAUCUGAUAGUGAAUGAGUCUCUUUGUUAUUCCACCAAAAUCCAGAGCUCUCUCCUGGUUGAUAAAACAGCUGUUAAUCGUUUGUCUCCAGUACGAGCAUCAUCACGGUGAAUCUUAAUUAAAAGAGGAAUGAAACCAGGACCAGAGGCUAUAAAAACUGACAGCCCCUGAUAAUAUUUGGCAUUACUCUUAGAGUUAGGGAAAGUAAUUUGGUGGAGUAGAUUAUUAGCCCUCUGCCCUUUCAGCCAGAUAUGACCUUGUAAGCCCCUACACCAGAAGACCAGAAGCAAACCAUGAUUCACUUAACACCUUCUGGGCUUCUAGGAGCCCUCCAAGCACAUGCUCUGUUGAUUAAACGCUAGUGGGAGAAUUCAUAUUUAAACCAUACGCCACAUGAAAAUUAAUGAUAACCAGCCAAGCAGCAGAACACCGAGGAGCCACUACGUGCAAUUUAUGAGAGAUUCACUCCAAUUUACAAUUUAUUCUGUAAUCAUCACAAUGUUCCUCCAUAUACAGCAUAAUGUAGUGCAUAUUUGUGAGUGGGUGGAAUUAUAAGGCAUAUGAGUAGGCUACUCACAAAAGGAUAUAAAUGUCAUUACAGUGCAUCCAAGCAGGAAAUCUAGCACAGGGAACUAGAGAUUUGCCGCUGGGUGGGAACACUCCACAUGUGCCCAUAAGAGGCUAACAGAGUCAGAGAGUGAGUGAAUGGGUGAUUGAGCGAACCCUGCUGAAGUUUUUGUGUGGCCCUGAAUCCAGUCAGGAAUUUAGCUCAGGGUCUGCACGUCUCUGAACUAGGCCACAGUGAAUUUCAAAAGAAUCUGCAAUGUCCUACUCACGACUGGAGUCUGAAGUGGGAAGAAAAAACAGUGCUUUGUAAAACAAAUAUUGUAAAUCGUACCGCUGUUGUUUCUAUUUAUUUACUCCUUGUUGUUCAUGUCAAGCACGGCUUCUCUGUCAAAUGCUCCGACUCUGUAGCUCUGAAAAAUAUCUCCCAUUUCACCCGCAGCUGCUACUUGCAGGAACACUGCACAUCUCGGACCCAACACAACAUCAACCUCGCCUUUUGAUUGAAGCAAUUCAUCACGGAGAGUUCAAGGGUUAUACACCAGGUCUGUGCGUCAUGGUCACACUCCCAGGUCUAAGAACCUGCCCCCCCACAUCUGCUCUGGACCUUCCACAAGUGUUACUUUACAUCAUGUCUACUAAUGUGCAGCAUGCCAUAACUGUCAUUGCUCAACAGCACAGACAGGUUAUGGUUUGAACUUGAGCAUGAUUUUUCAAAUAAAUGUAGGUCUGUAUGUAUGCGUAAUUAAUGCAACCCCUUCAGAUGGGAUCAAAUAAUUAUUUCUAUCCUAUCAUUAGCUUGCAUAUUAAUUUUUUUUCUCCCAGAGGCUCCAUUACAAGAGAGAGGACUGGAUUUCUUUACGCAUACUGCGCUAACAUCCAUUACAUACUACAUGUAAGUAUGUGAGCAGUCUCUCUGAGCUCUUAUAUCUGUCGGUUGGUUAGUAUGUUGUGUAGUUAAGACCAACAUAUCCUACAACUAUUAACUAAAUUUGGAUAAUAAUCAGUGCAAAACAUUAAUCCCAAGAAUCUGUGCUGUCCUGGCUAUAGUGAGUUUUAGCACAGAACUACUAAUUACAGUACAUUAGACUCAGCUCUACUCUGUUUGACUCUAAAAAGCAAGUAUAAGCAGCUGAAGGAGAAAAUCACAAUGCCGUAAAUGGUAAUCAUGCCUUUUAUCUAUUUGUAUUUUGGUUAGGUACCAUCCCAAAGUUGAAUCUAUGAUAAUACAAACCUCUGAUUCAGUCUGUUUCAUACCAAUUAUUGCACACAUAACAUUCUGAGCCAUGAUGUUGAACAUGAUAAAGACAGCGACUUCUACACAAAAGCAAGCAUGUAAACAUGUCAUUAUGACCAUGUUCAAUUACUGAGAUGUGCAAUUAGUUCAAACUCACAAAGCUGAUAAUGUGCCUGUAGACUCAGUUUGUUAUGCAAGAUUCACAGACGUAGAUGUAAUACAAGCACACAGGCUGACAUUUAUUCACUUCAGUCAUCAGAAAGCAGCAUCAUAACCAGCCUGCUGUCAGAUGAGACCUCUCGGCUGAGUGAAGAUUGAAGUUUUCAUGACUGUAACAGCGUACCCUGCUGCCUUUGACAAAGAUAAUCAUUCACAUAUAACUAUCACCUACACACAAUGAUUCCUCACAGACGAGCAGUGAGGGAGAGAAUCAGAAAGACCAAGGAUAAGGAUUACACUCUGGCAGCUGGUAGGUAGGAUAUUGGACAAAAAUGAUUGAGCAAUUGCAUGUAAUUAGUCAUAUUAUGGCCCUCAAAUUUGUCCAUAAAACAUACACACAUGCAAAUGCCUUGGACACUCACAGAGUACACAUGCAAAAUUCUGGUUCCCCAGUGACAGCCAAAUAGGGUGAAUCAGAGCACUGAUAAAACAGUUUGGAUUGUGUUCCUCUCCGAAUAGGGGAGUAACAGAGACCCCCCGAUUACAGCCAUAGUGUGAACAUAUUUGACUGAAGCUUUAAACAUGUGAUUAGCUGUGGUUAUUUCUUUCCAUUCAUGCACACAAGUAAAGUAUUAUUAAAUAGAUUCCUAGGCUGUGAGUGGUUCAUAUCACCAUGGCUUAUCAGAUUCACCACAUAUACACAUUUCCACUACUGCAGUGUUGUGUUGCUUUGGUUUUUCAGCCAAUGUCCUCUGGGUGUAAAGGUGUGGUUAGACUGAGAGCAAAGUGAACUUUCGUGUGAGCUCCUGGCUUGGCUUUGAACCACAGUAACAACACAUCUAUGCGGGUUGCCUGUGCUUCAGCUCAAGUGAAAUGUUUGCGAUUAUCACGGUGGCUUUCUGCCACCAGCUUGUCAACAUACAGAGGUUCAGGAUCUGAAUGGAAAUACAAAAAAGGGGAGGUUUUGAAAGAUUUUGGUCAUUCACUGGCUGAGCUGUCGCAUACUGAGGCAUGAGUUUCUUCCCGUGUGUUCUGGGACUAGAUAAUGUAUUGUUUGAACAUUGUAAUGCAUGUGCAAUAGCCACACUGCAGAAAGCGCAAAGCCAGUCGUGGGAUCUGAAACACGUCAUACUAUUACCAUUCACUUAUUAUCUAUAAUUAAUCUAAAAUAAACAUCUGCCUGUCAUGCAGAACCGAAAGAGACCUGAGUCCUGGUCAUGCGAUACUUUCUAUUCACCUCAGAAGUCAGAUGUUGGAGCUGUAAAUUACAUCAUGUCUAAGGCUCUCCCCACACGAGGACGGCCCCGUAUUGUCUUGGCGUCGGCACCAAAACAUGUAUCGCUGUUUACACAUCGUAUUGUACAUACGCUUAGUGCAUUUACAUGACAACGUGAAAUCCACGUAUAAUCCUGUAGUACAUACGCCCGGCCUAAAGGUGACACUGUGAAAUUGCCACAAAGCACCAAAAACAGAGAAUGCGCAUACAUAUAUGCUGUGUGUGUGACAACGUGGGUUGGGGGGCAGGGAGGAGGAGGGGUGCUAUGAGGUCACCGUCUUUUCCGGACUUAUCUGUUUAUACCAACCACGGCAUGAAGACGAAUACCCAGAUAUCCACCUGCAGACCCGUUUCAAAAAAAGAUGCAGAGUCAUGGACAAAUACACGUCUCCGUGUGUCAAUAUCACCAGAUCGAUAGUUUAUUUCACCGGUGUCUUACAAAUUCGUACUUGUGUAAAGACCACCAAAUGUUAGAGUGUACCAGACACAAGUCAGCAAGCUGAUAAGCCAUAGGCUCUUAAUUUUGUUGGCAAUAAGCAAACACUACUAAGCAACACCAACACACUAUGGGAUAGUAAGCAAAAGCUCCACAACAACAUGUCUACAGGUCGAACCUACAUUUACGCAAUCAAUUUCAUUACACAAAAUAAGACUAAGUUUCUUAUAAACACUUUUAAAAGUAAAGCCACUUGUUGAUGCGGAGAGUGACCAUCUUGGACCAUUACUGUCAAGUAACUGUAGUUUCUUCUGGUUUCUGAGUUUGAAUUUUGACUUGCCGUUCAAAAUGAUGAGAACCUGGCAAAUCCUUGAUUGAGCAAGAUGUAAAAAAAACCAAUUCCAUUGAAGUUGGGAAAUUGUGAUAAACAUAAAUAAAAACAGCAUACAAUGAUUUGCAAACCCUUUUCAACCUAUAUUCAAUUGAAUAUACUACAAGGACAAGAUGUUUAAUGUUCAAACUCAUAAACUUUUUUUUGUUUUUUUUUGGCAAAUAAUCAUUAACUUUAGAAUUUGAUGGCAGCAACACGUGACAAAGAAGUUGGGAAAGGUGUCAAAAAAUACUGAGAAAUUUGAGGAAUGCUCAUCAAACACCUAUUUGGAACAUCCCACAGGUGAGCAGGCUAAUUGGGAACAGGUGGGUACUGUGAUUGGGUAUAAAAACAGCUUCCCCAAAAAUUCUCAGUCAUUCACAAGCAAGGAUGGGGCAAGGUUCACCACUUUGUGAACAACUGCGCGAGCAAAUAGUCGAACAGUUUAAGAACAACGUUUCUCAAAAUACAAUUGCAAGGAAUUUUGGGAUUUUAACAUCUACGGUCCAUAAUAUCACCAAAAGGUUCAAAGAAUCUGUAGAAAUCACUGCACGUAAGUGGAAACCAACAUUGAAUGCCCAUGACCUUCAAUCCCUCAGGCAGCACUGUAUCAAAAACCGAUAUCGAUGUGUAAAGGAUAUUACCACAUGGGCUCAGGAACACUUCAGAAAACCACUGUCAGUAUACAGUUCGUCGCUACAUCUGUAAGUGCAAGUUAAAACUCUACUAUGCAAAGUGAAAGCCAUUUAUCAACAACAUCCAGAAAUGCCGCCGGCUUCUCUGGGCCUGAACUCAUCUAAGAUGGACUGAUGCAAAGUGGAAAAGUGUUCUGUGGUCUGACAAGUCCAAAUUUCAAAUUGUUUUUGGAAAUAGUGGAUGUCGUGUCCUCGGGGCCAAAGAGGAAAAGAACCAUCCGGACUGUUAUCCACACAAAGCUCAAAAGCCAGCAUCUGUGAUGGUAUGAGGGUGCAUAAGUGCCCAAGGCAUGGGUAACUUACACAUCUGUGGAGGCAACAUUAAUGCUGAAAGGUACAAACAGGUUUUGGAGCAACAUAUGCUGCCAUCCAAGCAACGUCUUUUUCAUGGACGCCCCUGCUUAUUUCAGCAAGACAAUGCCAAGCCACAUUCUGCACGUGUUACAAGAGCGUGGCUUCAUAGUAAAAGAGUGUGGGUACUCGACUGGCCUGCCUGCAGUCCAGACCUGUCUUCCACUGAAAAUGUGUGGCACAUUAUGAAGUGUAAAAUAUGACAACGGAGACCCCGGACUGUUGAACAACUGAAGCUGUACAUCAAGCAAGAAUGGGAAAGAAUUCCACCUUCAAAGCUUCAACAAUUAGUCUCCUCAGUUCCCAAAGGUUUAUUGAGUGUUGUUAAAAGGAAAGGUGAUGUAACACAGUGGUAAACAUGCCCCUGUCCCAACUACUUUGGCACGCGUUGCAACAAUGAAAUUCUGAGUUAAUUAUUAUUUGCAGAAAUAAAUAAAUAAAGUGCAUGAGUUUGAACGUAUCUUGUCUUUGAAGUGUAUUCAAUUGAAUAUAGGCUGAAAAGGAUUAGCAAAUUAUUGUAUUCUGUUUUUAUUUACGUUUAUCACAAUUUCCCAACUUCAAUGGAAUUGGGUUUUGUACUAUCAGACUGUAAUUAGACUCAUCAUGGUGCUUGUGAGGGGGUGGAGAGAGAAAUUCUUAGAAGUUUCUUUUUAUAUUUAUAGGACAUAAUCAUCUACAAUGUUGCAUACUAUAAGGUCUAUCUGACCUUUGACAAUAUAUCGCACUACUUGUGGCUAUUUUAUUUGCCUUUAUGCUUUAACCUAAUUUCCCACGUUAAUGUGUGUAUAUAAAAGCCUCAGAGAAAGACAGAAACACAUGGACACAGAACCGUCUUAACUAAAGCAAUUAGGAAGAGAGAAAUCACAGCUCAAGCCAAACACCAUCUAACCAUGGUAGUUUCAGCUACUUGGCUAUUGACAAUAUUGACCCCAGCUCUGUGAGCCACAGCUGAGUAGUUAUUUUCAGCCAAUAGUGAGUGUGUUGCAGUGGGAAAUAAGUUGCUUUCUAUAAAUUAUACUGUAAUCAGCACAGUGUCAAUCUGGAGCUCUGACAGCCUUUAUUUGCCUCCCAGCUUGUGGUAUUGAAUCCCUCUGUUUUUUUUUUUUUUUUUUUCCAUCAAUUCAAAUGUCUUAAAGCUAGCUCACUGAAAUGACUGCAGAGUGGCAUUCAAGAAGAGCUCUGGAAGAAAGGACAUUGCAGACGCUGAACAUUUGUUUUCUCCGGGAUGUUAGAAAUAUUGUUUAAAUGCAUAGUUUUUCUAAUGGUGUUUGGCAAUUAACGUUGUUUUGUUUCACCACAGAGAAGUCACACUAUAGCUCCACAUAAAUCGUCAUUUGUCUUCAGGCACUUUCUCCUUUCAGCAGUAAGCUUUCCACACAGCUCCAGCACACAAAUUCAAACUCAUAGUUUUUGUGUUUAAGUUGUAUUGAUUUAAAGCCAAGGUUAUUGUAGAAUUGCAGUUUUUAGAGCAGGAUGUUGCGUCUGGUUCGUGCAGAGAUCAAGAAAAUAACAGAGGCUAGAGCACACUGCAAUUAAAAAAAAAAAAAAAAACGAAAAACAAAACCCAUUAGUGAUGAAAAGAGAACUAUUCAUCAAUUCAUCAAGGCCUGUUUACAAAUAUGCUUUAAAUUACCUUUACGGAGACCUAUAAUGCUGUUCUGUGCUUAAAUACAUACAUGCCCACUCACUUACAUCGGCUUGUGCUGUUCUAUAAGGACAAAGACAUAAAAGACAAGACUACCUGGCAGCUCUCUACACCCAAAAGAUGAAGGUCCAGACAGCAGCUUUCAUCCAAUAAGAUAAAAAAACUAUUUUGUUACUCAGGUAAUUGUCCAACUAAAUCUUACAAAUGAUCCAGUAUGAGGCAUUUGACUUUCAUGACUGAUGUUUGAUGGUAUUAUAUGAUGGAUCUUGCACUUCUUGGAAUCAGUAUGUCCUGGAAAGUUGCUCGCGAGUCUUGUGUAAAGAAAAAAAAAAUCUGUUAUUUUUUACUUUCAAAGACAAGGACACCAGGAAUCAUUGAGAGGUUUUUAUGUUUUCUUUUCUGGGAGCUAAGGGGGCGCUAACAGCUAGCCACUGACAUUUUCUCAUAACUUUUGAGUCAUUUCAUGACCACAAAGCUGUGAAAAAUCCACCCACCAGCUGUGUCUAACUUUAUAUCACUGCUUCAUACCACUGAAAUUAGUGUUUUCACACACACCAGUAUAAGCUAAAUGAAGAGUUCUUUGAGCUGCAGAUCAUGCAAAGCUUUAUUUAUAAAUGUCACAGACUGAUAUAAUGAAGGGUGAAACCUGGUAUGAUGGGUCUCAUUUAAACUAGGGGUGGCUGUUUUCCAGUCUUGAGGAUGCUAUGUUGAUUGAAUAAUUGUUCAUAGGGAGUUAGUGAAAUCUAGGAAGCUGUUAGCUACCUUAUUCUUUAUUUUCAGAUUGACCUCUUCUGUUUGUGUGGUUUUCUGUUACCACGGCCUCAGGUUGGCCGUCAUCUUAGCAGCUCAUCAAAUUGAGUGACAUGAACUGGCCUGGCCUGCACACCUGAGGCGACAAAUAAAGGACUCACAAUACACUCUGUAGCCCCAAGGUGAAAAGUUGCAUAUUGUAGCCUUCAGGAUUUGUAUGGUUUUUUUUCAUGAUGAUUGAUUUUCUGAAUUAUUAUUAGGGACUAGUUCUAUUAGUCUGUCAUGUUCAGUUUCUCAACAUGAUUUAGUGAGACUGUGGAAGAGUGAACUGCAGGAAAUUGAGAAAUAUUCCACAGUUGAAUCUUAAGGCACUUUGGAGCAAAAUUAAGAGGCUUUAUAUUAAAAUAUACACAUUUUUGCUCUUCUUCCAGUAAUUUUUAUUAAAAUACAGUUUGUAUUGUUAUGAAUAGCUAUAUCAAAGUAAAAGUAUGUCAACAUAGCAUAGUAAAGAAGACCUCAGAGUUUGUAGAUACAGUAUAAGUCUACAAGUGAUGGCAGCUUUUUAAUGUUGGCUUUAGCAAUACUUUUCUUUUUUCAUUUACUGUCAACUCUAGUUUCUGCAGUAAUGUCUCCUUUUGGCAGUGGUAACCCUUGGCAACUUACCUUAAAUGAUUUUGUGUCCUCAAAUUGCCUUAGUGUGUGUGAAGGCUCCUGGGAGUGUGUGUAUGGGCCUGUUCGUAUAAAAAAGGUGUGUAAAGGUGCUUUGUUAAACCAAUGGUGUAAAAAUACAAGGCAUCUCUUGUGCAAUUAAAAGAGGUGUAAAAGUGAUUUUGAUUUAUUAUGAAACCAAGGCUGGCUGCCUCAGUCCAGCAUAUUAAUCACAAAUACUGAUGUUAUUUUAUUGCAUCAUUAUGCAACCGCUUGUAAGAGAGAACUCAGAAGAACAUUCCAGCAAGCAUUUUAACCAUGUGCAGCUCGGCAAGACUUUGGGAAAUGAGAGAAUCUAAAGGAGAUAAGUUCACUUUUUUUGUGAGGUUCAAGAGCUGUCACUUGGAAAGUUGUCUGGCUUAUGACUACGUGGUGUGCUCUAACACUUGCCAGGGUCGCAAAACAUUUUUAAUACGAUGUGUGGUAUAAAUAAUUCAAAUUAAUUACUGACCAACAAUAGAGAUAUUUUAUUAUCUCUUGUUAUUCCAGUGAAACAAUUUCAUCCAAUAAAAAUCAAUCAUAAUAUGGGGGAGUGAGGAGAUACAGCACAAGUGGCAGGGGGUAUCAGGUGGUGCAGAACUACUGCCUUGAUGUCGAGAUCAUUUUCACAGCAGAUUGGUAAGCAAAUCAGACAUGCACAACAGGUGGUUUUCAUUCAAACAUGGAGCAGAAAUAACAAGGAGAAAUCUGUUUAGAACAGGAAAAAAAGCAGCUGAAUCUCCAGAGACAAAUAAAACAGGUGACAGUGUUUAACAUAAAAAAACACGUCAAGGAAAUAUGAUGAAAACCUAUGCUUCUUUUACUGCUACACAGUAAUUGCAGUGGAAGAUGAGGAGAGACUGGUGUGUAAACAUGCCUUGAAGCAUUAGCAACUGACAAGAUAUAAGUCCAAUGAGCAUCCUUGGUUUGACUGUCCAGUGACUUGAUGUAGACUUCAAUAUAAAAAGAGAUGGUAUUGCAUAGUUUCUCUAGUUCACAGCAUAAGAGGAUAUAUUUUUCUUCUCUGUGUGUUAACAAGUGAUUUAAGUUAGGUUUGGUCAGUCAGUGUAGGGUAUUAAUAUUUAUACAGGCAUUUUUUUCAUGAAUGUAUAGCCUUACUUACCCUUGGGUGUGCACGAAAAAACACAUGAAAAAUGGAAAUCCUUGUAUAUUAGCCAUCAGGGUCAGGGUCAGGAGCUUUAACACUCAUCAUAGACUUCAUUGCCUAAUGGUUAUACAGUUGUACUUGUCACUAGAGGCUAAGCUUUUUAAAAUGCUCCAAGUGUUAGCCAAGCAGCAUGCUAUGGCUUCCCAGGGAGUGCAUUGCAAAAUCCCUUGCAAGAGUAAACAAGCUUUUAGACUGGGACAUAGGAGUCUGGGGUGGUGGAGGCAAAGCUGUGGCGGUAGCAGCAGAAGAGUGUGGGCAGCAUUGGUCUAGCAAAUGGACCCCCUUAUUGUGAGAAUAGGCUAUGAGUGAUUGGAAACAAUGAUUCAAUUAGCUGCCUGUCAGCUGAUUACAUCUGAGGCAUAUGACUUCAGUGUCCUGUGUGAACUGACACAAAGCUUCUUUUAUUGGUUUCAGCUCUGUGAGAUAAAAUAAAGAUGAUUACGAGUGAUGAUUUUGUUCACAACAUCCAUAUAUUUUCAACUUGACUUUGCACAGAGAGCUGUGGGUGUGAUUAAUGUUUUGUUCUCCUUCAAAACACAUUUUGUUUCUGAGGCAAAAAGAGAAAAAAAAAUCUGAUGAAACUGAAAACAUCCUCUCUUUGAAUCUUAUGCUCAAACUCAUUUUAUGGGUUUUAUGUGUAAGCAGCGAAGCAUGGGAAGUGUUUCUCUUUGAGCAGACUUAGCCUUCAUUUAAUGAGAGUGAAUCACCAUUAUUACAGUGUGUAGACAUUUUAUUCAUUAAAGACUCUUCACUGAGAAUAAUUAAACUGAUAAUAAUGGCACUUUGUAAUCUCCAAAAUGAAAAGUAAGAGCUUAUCUUUUAAAGCAGGAAACAUUUUAAUGAAAUUAUGAAGUAGUGUUAGAUCAAUCUAAGAAGUGUGAAGAUUUUAGAAAUGCUCCUUCUGUAUCUUUGUGUCAUUUUUGAUGUGGCUUUAAGUAAAUUUUAGUUUCAGAUGUCUGAAGGUGCUGUAAUAUGAAGACUAUCUGAAGUUUUUGUUCCCAAUGAUUAAAACCCUCCAAUUGACCCCGAUCAUUAUGUUUUCCUGACCCAAAGAUAUACAUACUUGUUUGGAAAGACACUGGACAAUAUUAGAUACAGUCAUGUUUGAAUUUCUGUCAACACUAAAAUUUGACUUUACCAUGCUGUAGGGAUCCACGCAAGUGUAAAUGCCCUGCCUGGCAAAAUUUAAUUUACAAUAAAUAAUAAUAAUAGAAUGCCUGCCCUGGUUAUUUUCAUCUGGAAUUUUCUCUGCAUUUCUGUUCAGAUUCUAUAAACAAUCACUUGAGCUCAUUAACCAAAGCUAUUUGAAAUACCAUAUAAUACCAUAGACUGUAUACACUAUGGACAACUUGGUUCCGCCUUCCGUCAGUAUACGGAUUUAAAGCCAAAAAGCUCCCACUAUUUCCGUGAUUUUUCUUCAUUUCCCGAAACCAACAUUGCGCAAAAGCAUUGUACACAUGUAGUGGGAGAGUCUAAGAGAGUCGCUGUGAUGACACUCGGCUCAAACAGCAUAUCCCCGGGUGAGCUACAUUAUCUUUGUACGCCCGUAGGCUGUAUCAAGUGUCAACCUAUAUUGCAGCCCGUCACCAGAGUGUGCUGUUCUUGGGGUGACUUCACCCAGCAAGGAGGCAGAUGGCCUCCAUUCUAUAUACAGUCUAUGUUUAAUACUCUGUGUUAAGGAAAAUCAUGUUAACCACAAGCCCUGUCAGAAAGCCCAGGGUGCUCUCAUGUAGGGGAUACGUGAAAAAGGACAGAAUCAACACAUAUUAGCACUUCUUUUUUUGUAAAUAUUUGACUGCCUAGCUACAACUAACACAAAUAAGAUAGAGUCCAGUCACUAAUUCCUCCAAUUUAGACUUUGCCACCUAUAAUGUGUACAUGUAUGUGUACACAGUAGGUGUAUACUUGUGUAUGUCAAUGAGGAUAAUCACAGGAAGCACAGUAUGACUGAUAUAUUUGUGUUCCCUCUCUUGUGUGGAUGCUUUUUUUAAAUCGUGUGUGUUAAAUGAAGCCCAGCCUCAAGGUGAUACCAUUGGAAAAAAAAAAUCAAUGAGUGUACAGCUUUUUAUGGUUUUGUAUCAAUGAAACCAUUUCACUCACAUUACUCACAUAAUAAAGUUAUAAAAGAAAUGCUUGAUCAGGUAUCUAAGAUCCCAGUUGAAACAGAGUGGUGCAAAAAAGACGUGCAUCAAGCUAAGGGCGCCUUUGAAUUAGACCAAUUUGGAGGUGCUUGUACUUAACGUACUUCUGUGUAUUGGAUUAAGUAUUUCUCUGUAAUUGAUACCACCUAGCUUUACUUUAAUAGAGAUUCAAACAGAGUCCUUGCUAAGGGUUUUAGCUGCUUUUUUUUGGUCAGAAAAUCAAAUCUUGUUUUUCAAAUGUAAACCCUCCCCAAAGAUGAAGAAGCUCUCAUUCACAAGGUUUCUCUUAAAACCAGCCAAAAGGAGUUUCUAAACUGGUUACUGGCAAAGUUUAAAUCUGAUAAAGAUGCUUGAGUACGAGUCAAAAACAAACAAGGUUAUUCGCUAUCAGAGUAACUAUUUCUGAUGUAUAGUUCUGCCACUCUGGUCUGAGGUGAUGGCACAUUUGAAGCAUGUAAUACUUGUACAGUACUGAUUUGUACUUGUUUGACUUCAGACAAGUAAAGAGCAAAUUUAAAAUCACAUACGAGCAUCUGUCAGGAGAUCAGAUAAUAAUGGAUAGAAGAUAAUAAUGCAUUACUUGGUAAAUCCCUUUCCAUAACCCAACUGAUGACAGUUAUGCUGUGCUGUGAAAUAUUUCAUUCUUCAAUCAUCAGAUUUUCUGAUUUUUUUAAUAGUUCUUGUCAUCAUUUCUGCUCUGAUUUUUGCAUCACUUCACUUUCACAGCUUACAUUUUUCAUGAUAAAGCUGCCCUGUGUAUAAAUGAUGUUGUUAGAAUAGAUUUAAGGCUUUGAUUCUGGUCAUAGGGACUAAUAAAUAUGUCUGAAUGUAAACGUCUCUAUGAUUCAACCAUCCCAGUUAAGCAGAGUAGAGAAAAUUUGGAACUAUGGAUACCAGGAUACCAUUGUCCCUUUGGUUCCCAUCAUCCUUUGUACUCUGCUUGUUCCCUCAGUGAAAAUGGUGGACACUAGUCAUGAGAAACAGAGAGAUGACUUUGAAAUCGUGGAUAUUCAAACAACUUUAAAAAGCAUUUUGAUUUCAAGAAAUGAAAAAGGUGAAAAGGUGAUGGACAAACACAAGUUGACCAUAUGCAGACACUGCCAUACAGCAAUGACCCACAUGUCUGAUAAUAUGAGUAAUAUGAAAGGCCACAUGAUAAAUCAUCACAAGUCCAAAAAUUCAGCCACCAACAAAGGACUCAGAGGGUUAGUAAAAACGCUGGAGCCAAAGUCUAACCUCCCAUCACCACCAUUAAACAUGAUUACAAACUCUCUACAAAGAAACACCAAAAAAAACAAUGUUAAACAAGCCAAGUGUAUCUCACUCACCAUGGAUGGGUGGAUUUCAGGAGAGAGCUAUAAAUAGCUUCUUUUUUUCUGAGUCUUUAUUUGUCUUUUUUUAUGUACUGUGGACUCAUAACUGUGAUAGUAGCAUAUGGUGAGAGAUGGGGGCUUUUUGGCCUUAAAUUACAGAGGACUGUACAGUAAAUAGAGCAGUAAGCAGAGGAAGAGAGCAGGCAGUGACAUGCAGGAAAGGGGUCGCAGGUUGGAAUCAGACCUGGGCUGCUCACAUAUAUAAAGCAUGCUUGGACUGUUAGGCCAGGGAUGCCCCAUAUGGUGAGAAUUUGUUACCUUUAUAUGCCUAAUUAAAGACAAUGUGUGUUUAAAAAUAAAAUGAUUUUUGGUUUAUUACUUUCUCGUGAGAAAAAAAAAACACCAGAGCAAACAUGGAAAUCAGGGCUAUUUUUGUACAUCUGCCUCAGUGUGCCUAUGCACCUGAGCAGUUCAAUAGUUACUUCCUCUUAUUGGGAUGCUUGUAGUGUAGUUGUAAUAAUAAGAUGGUGAGAAAAGUUUGUCCUCAAAUCAUUCCAUAAAGGUCUCAAAAGCUUGCCUGAACAAAAGCGUCACAGCAAAAAAAUACAAAGUUGAGCCUUUAUAAUGUAUACUGUCCAAUAAUUUAGCAAACCAGGGUUUGUCGUCCCUUUUGUUCUUGAAGAACUGUGAUAACAGCUCAGAUAAACAAGUAUCUACAUAUACAUACAACUCUAACACUACAAAUAAGACAGAUAAUUCUGUGUAUCAUCCACAUACAAGUAAUUUUUGGCAUCUAAAUGGUGCCUUACUGCUAAUAGCAUGUGUUAAUCACAGUUGUUCUAAUACGUAGAUCAACAGUUUAAUUUAACACUUUUCAGAACACCAACAAUGAAUACUGAAGCCUCUAUUGAGCAUUAGUCAUACAUAAUUGCAGCCUGCAUUAAAUUAGGGGGGCUGCAAUGCUCACACAGUGCCAAGAUGGACUGACAAAGAGAUGUUUUUGUUUGAAGCUGUUUCUUUUUUUAAGAACAAAGAAAAUUGGCUUCUAAAAAGUGUGUUUUUCGUUAAAUAGAGGCAACAGGAAGCUCUGGAAAAAAAAACAUCCCUUUCUUUAAAUGGGCAUCUGACAUGUGAAAAAUAUUCAGCUUCCAACUUAUGAGGCCCGUAUAUCCUACUCUCACUGAAAAGCUCACUCUCAGUAUCGGUCACUAUGUCCACAGUCAAGGAUACGCUGGCAAAUCUGUUCACCUCAGGGGAAGUUGCCUGAGGGAAAAUUGCCUCAGGGGGAGAGUGCACACAUUUGUUAUUCCCGUCUGUCUCCAUUAUGUUAGAUUUAAAGGUGCUGUACCUUGUUUACAGCUAUGUCAGAGUUACAGCUGCCACUCCUUCUCUGCCUCGGAAAAUAUUUGCAAAAAAGGAUCUGAACAGCAUUUAUAUUAAUCAAAAGGAGGAAAGUGUUGUGAUGAUGUGCGCAUGCUGGAGUGAUCAGUUGCCAACACUGGAAUGUUCCAGAAAAAUGAGCCUUUUGUGUUGUUUGUCUUUGAGCAAUUAAGUGUUGACUGUUAUUUCCUCUCCUUUCUCGAGGAGACUAGAGCAGACACACAGCCGAAGAUGAAUUGUUUCAGACUGGGGGUAACUCUCAGAAGGCUUCAGUGAUACUGUGUGUACGCAGAGAUGAUACAUGAAUCCGAGUCUUUCAAAAGACUAUGCUGACAUUUCAUUAUUGAUAAAUACGAAUAACAACCUGGGUGUUAUCCUAACCUCUAUUAACUAUUCAUAUAGUAAGCACACGCCUCUGUAACUCGAUGAAAGAAGCAAGACUGUCAGGCGUAAAGCGUGAGGGUGUGUGUUUUCUCUGGACGCAGCGAUCGUGUGCUCUGCCAGCAUGCCUCCCGCACAUAUUGUCUUGGCUUUGAAGGCGAGCUGUCAUGCAUGUUUGAUCACAGGCAGAAACAGACACUCAGAAGUCUCACAAUCUUGGCAGACGGAGAGCUGUGCAUUUUCUAGAGCAGUGAAUUACAUUUCUGCCUCAUGAAAAUGUUGAUCCUAUGCCAUUUCUUCACUCGCGUGGAAUAUUUGCUAAUGACCACACACACCUCCAGAAACAGGCCGGGAAUAGAAGGGCUCCUCCUCAACAUCUGCUCCCUCCAUCUCAGUGUGGGUCCCAGGAGAUCUAAAGGACUACAUCCCUUCCUGCUUUCUACACAUCCUCCUGACUAUUUACUUGGAAGAUGCUCUGAAGGAGCGGGUUGUCCUGGUACCGAAUGUGAAGAUAUCCUAAGACGACUCACAAACAUUUAAGCCCCUGCGUCGAAGUCAAAGUCUGAUCUCAGUGGAGGCUCAUCAUAACACUGUCAUGGUCGUAGAAUCUGCUCUAUUCAAUUAAUGAGCUUCUCUGUCGGUAUAUCAAACAAACAGAUGUCAAAAACAGGAUCUCACAAGUUUGGAAGCUUCUUGACAUAUAAACUUCUGCUGUUUUGAAGUCACACCUAUGUCUCAAAUGUCAGACUCUUCACCUGCACAUAAAGGCACAACGUCAAGAAACUUUUCAAAUAAAAUAUAGUCAUGGUAAAAAAAAAAAAAUCAAAUCACAAGUAGAGCGAGCACUCUCCUGUCAGGCUCCCUACUUUGGCUCAGUAUUUCCUGUAACCCUAGAUUUUCAUAUUUGGAAGAAGAUUUUCUCUCAAGGUUUCAUUUUCUUUUUGGCAGUUAAACAGGAAACAGGAGCUGGCUGCUUCAGUAACCUCUGUAAGUUGUACCAGGAUUACUGGACAGUUUGGGGAUUUUAAAGUUUAGCAGAUAAACUUUUUAUUGACUGGAAAUAACUAGCUUCAAUAAAUAAAGUCUAAAACAACCAACACUCUCAUACUCUUUCUAACUAACAGGAAGUUUCUGUCAUACAACAAAUGUAAAAUCAUUUAACUUUUAAUAUGUUAAUAUUCUGUCAUCAAGUAAAGUGACCAAUUUUGAAGUGGCUUAAGAAAGAUUUAAAUAUCCAAAUGACCAAAUAGACUACAGUUAAGAAAGCACUCAAGAUCCAGCAUAAUGCAUGAGACAAAACACAGAGUCUCAAAGCUGUAAAGAAGCUAUGUCAUAUUUUUAAGUAGUUCUUUGGGCCAUUUUAGCCUUUUAUUUACAGGACAGAGUGAAAUGUGGAGAGAUGGUCCUGGUGCAGCACAUGGUUGGGGCCGGCUUCGAGCCCAUGACUGCUGUGGGGACUGUGGUCCCCAUGUUUGGUGCGCCCUAGCUGCUCGACCAGCUGCGUGCCCCUGAAACUUUGUCAUAUUUGUUCAUUGAGUGUUGCUAAUACUGGCAGAGUGUCCAGUCCUAGCAUUCAGCCCUAUUUGCAGUUUAACGUCGAAAGUCUGCUGGUUACAUAUCGCCCUAGUUGAGUGGUUAUAUGCCAUUUGAACCUGAAAAUGUGUGCACACAAUUUAACGUCUGCUUUCUACAUCAAAAUACCACCAAACUCUACAUCAUCUCUGCUUGUUAACACGCGAAAAGAACAACAUUGUUGCUCUAUGGCAGGAGUCAUUGACCAGACCUACAGCGUCUGGUGUACCUGCCUGUGGCCCUACUGCUCAUACACUAUGUAAAGCUUUAAUGAUAAAAAUAUCAUUAAUUCAUUUAACUGACUGGUAAUCCUGGUGCCGACAAUCCUGGUGACAACAUUUAAUUGUCUUGUCAACUGAACACACACCCCUGUCAUGGUUGCUGACUUCAUUGAUUCACAAGUAAAAGAUCACACUCCUGCAGACAGCUGUGGCUGGAGGAGAUGUCAGAUGGUCUUGAAUGCAGCUGUCUCCAGUAUCAACUCUUCUCACCAGUGUACAUUUGUUAGCCACUGUGAUAAGCUGCUUAGUAGUACAAUCGUUUUAAGCACUUUGUAUACGAUGAGUAAGUGUAUGAAUCUUUCCGAUGAAAUCUGGUAUUAAUACAGGUUGUUAAACAAGGUCUACAAACACUUCUCAACUGGUUUGAACAUCUUUUUUAAACUGUAGUAAAGGCAUGGUUGUUUGUCCAAUACGGAAAAUGCUCACUGAGUAAAAAUUAGCCAGAGAAGUUGAGCUUCAUCUGCCGCAGUGUGAGCUUGGAAUUGGUGCAGUAUUUUUCGAAGUACUCAUUUUCAAAAAUGAAUUUUUUAUGCUAAAAUUAUGUUUGAUUUAGUUUUAAAGGGCAGUUUUAAUUAAUUGUGAAGAUCUCAGUGUUCAGGCAUGAGUCUGGUGUACUUCUAAAUUAUGUUUGAGGAGUUUCACAUGGGAGCUGAAUGCCUGAAUGUUGUCUUAGCAGAAAAUUAAAAUCUGAAGUUAUUAUUCGUUAACAUGUUUUACUGAUCUUUUCAAAAGUUUUUGCGUUUUAUUAAAAAACAUAUUUCUAACAAAUGCUCUAUCAUUUAAGUCAGAUGUGCUCGAUUGAUCCCAAUCGUGCAAACAGAUGCGGUGGAACACGAAGCAUAUGUUAGAGACAUUCGGAGCAUAUGGACACCACUGGUGAAAAAGGAUUUUAUGAUGCAAGAGUGACUCCUUUUAAAUGUGUCUGUGAACAUCGUGAUGGUUAAAGCCAAGUCUAAGGGUGACUUGAAUUUGAAAUGAUGUACCUGAAGAUGUACAGACUUCUAGAGGCAAUUUAAGCACCAAUUACAAUGUGAGGUCUCCCUCUAAAUCCUAAAAUACAUUUAAGGCCAGGGCAGUGUGGGGCAGGGUUAAUAUCUUGUAUGUGUAUAAUGUAGCUCAGCUUGCUACAUUUGAACCAGCUGCUAACAUGCACUUGCUGAUCCAUUCAGGCAUGUAAAUAGUUGCACUAUUCUAGGCGGAGAGGAAAUGAGGGCGUAGAUAAUUCACUCAACUGUAUUUCCAGGCAGUAUUGCUCCAUAUUUAGUUACAUUUCUUGGUACAAAAACAGCAGGAUCACACCAGGCUUUUCUGUGGUGAUUUAAAUUCUGGGCUGGAAUGAGAAUAACUUACUGAUUUCUGGGUUAAAAAAUACAUUGGCUGUCAAGAGCUCAAGAGAGGAGAUAAUAGAGGCCAAUUACUGGGACUGGCGCCUGUAUUGAACCCUGACCUUAUUCUGCAACACUGGAAAAACGGUAGAUCUACAGAUUGUAAUUUCAGGGUCAUGAAGGUUUUUUCCCUGUAGUAUUUAAUCAGGUACAUCGCUGAAAGAAAAAAAGGAGUAAUGGCACUGCAACGUGUGCCAACCACAGAUAUAAAUCAAGAGCACCUUCAUCAGAGCUAGAAAGACAAGAAAAGGUUGAAGGAGGGUUGAAAAAACCUCGUCAGACACUGCAAUGUCACUGGGUGUUUUGCAUGUGUUAAACUAGAUUUAAAAGCGUACUUUUUCAUGUGGUGCAUUUCUGUGCUGCAAGCUGAGAUGAACAGUCGAGUGUAAUGUAAUGUUGCCUGACAGACAGCAGUAAUGGAUAAUAAAUCCCAGGUUCAGGUGCUGUUGGAUCAUAUAUCACACUCAGACUCUGGGCCAAAGUCAAAUCCAUCAGGCUGCAGUGCAACAGGAAGCACCGGGGCCUGAGAUGCUCGAAUAAAUCCCAUUAUGCUUUAUGUUUGUUUUCCCAAACUGUCUCUGCUACAACAGAAUAUUAAACUUACAUUUGACUUACAGGUUGCAUUAUUGGGGAAAACAUCGGUUCAUUGACAGCUAGAGCUUAAGUAGGUCAGAAUUUUUGCAAAUAAACAUGAGUUUGAUAGUAAAUACUCUGAUAGGAAAACUUUGGCUUUAUGAAAAUUCACCCCUCUGCAAUCUUUUUGAUAUAUUUUUCAUAUCCGUCCACAUUCAUGAGCCAGGGGGGUCUGGUGAAUCAGAAUGUAUCAUCAGCUCUGUGGCAGAAACCCAAGCAAUGGGAAGCAGUUGAAAGGUUCGCUAAUAUGAUAUUUUGCUGCUUGUUUCUUUUACUGCAAGGUCAUCAUAAAGAUAAAAAUAAUCCCCUGUGACAAAUUUGUUUUCAAAAGGUUUCACUCUCCUUCUCUAUCAUCUCUGAGAAAUACUGCCCGAUAGUGCUGACUCCAAUGGAACGCUUUGAUCUGGGCCUGAUGUAUUACCCUGUCUUUCCUGUAAUUCAAAUGCCUCCAACACUUGUUUUGGGGAGAAAUGUAAGGGAGUGAAAUGGUCCUUUGGGAAUUCCACUGAAGGGCUUCUUUUUUUUUUUUUUGCAGACACAUGUCUAAGCAUGUCAGAUUUCUAAUCUGAUGAAAACCUGUGUGCAAACACUUGCCAAUGGAUGGUAAUUGUGCAGAUGCAAAUAGGCAGCUCCCUGAAAGGGGGUACCGUUCAUCAAUUCAGUUUGAUACUGCAGGCGGCAAUUUGCUUGUCCUGGCCUGGUUUCAAAACAAGAUGAGAAUCCUGCUGCUUCAAGCUUCAAACAUUGUUGAUAAAUUUGUCCAGAAUGUGACUGCAGUCCACAUGUAAGACAUGGGAGAGCAGAAAUUAUCCCCUCACUUCAGAUAUAAUGACUUACUGAUCUAUGGGCUUUGUGUUGGGGCUCUAAUAGUGCCUCUGAACAAUGUUUACAUUUUUAAGCUCGGUCACAGUCUCCAUAAAUUUGAACGUGGCAAACUACAGAAUAUAAAAUAGACCUCUAUUGGUUAUCAUUAAUAACACACAGCUUGUUCCCUGGCAUUUUACUUCAAAGAUAAGCUGUCUGAUUUAUACCAGAAAGGCCAAUUAUGCCGCACGUCUGUAAGAAACACUGCCAUAUUCAAUGAGCAACAGUUCAGAUAGUGGGCUAACCCUGAUUUAUACAUUAGGUGAGCGCUAACAAGCUGUCAGUAAGCCUGACAUGGACAAUAUAUUCAGAGCAAAUUUAGCAAGAGGAUAUUAGUGUGUGCCUGUGUGGGUGUUUGUGGCUGCUAAUUUGCCCUUUUUUGGUUAUAAUGACAUUUUAUAUCCCCAGGAAAAAGACUUUAAUUUGACUGAUUGGUUUGGUGACUGAUUUUAGCAGAUAUAAAAUCAAAAGCGAUGAAAACAUAAGGCUCCUGUCAAAGCUAAUUGGGUUUGAGAGCUGAUCUAUCCCGCGUUUCAAAAGCGUCUUAUCUUUUCUGUGCUAAUGGUGAAACGGCACAAAUGAUACAACCUUAAUGGCUGCAUUGGUUUGACCUGGCCUGUGUUAGUUCUCCAAAGAAAAUGAGGCCUUUUAUAGACUUUUUGAUUAAAAGGAGGAUGGAUCUUAAAAGGCGCUUUGAACCAUUAGUUUUUUUUGUGAUCGAUACAAUUCAAAGCCACUUCCUCACUAAUGGCUGGCUGAUCAAGGUCAACAGAGCAUAAACCCUUGUAGUACAGGUUCAUUUGGAAAUGAAAUGACACAACUAAAACUUUGAAAGGCUGAAAGCUCUUUGAUUUUCAAUCUAACUGGGUCUAUUACACAACUGUUUCAGCGAUAUAAUCAGAUCUCAUCAUUUCUAACAAAAAGGUCAAAUUUCAUACAUCAGACGCUGCUUGUUCCUUAAUCAUUACAACAUGACACUAAUUCUGUUUUGAAUAGCUCCUAGUCUUAAGUGCCGCCUGAAAAUAACAUGGACAACUCAGCGGUUGUCUUUAGUGCUUUUAAAGACUUUUUUAUACAGUUCAAGUUCACCAAACACUUGUCAAACAAACGGCUGCCUUUGUGUUUCAAACUCAGGUGCCUCAGUCGAGCAUGUUUUACAGAGAAAAAGACAACACAAAGCCACGUUCACUCAUCAUAAGUGGAAAUGUUCAGCUCAGAGUUCACGAGUCGUCAUGUAGGCUGACAUGCCACAAUGGUGGAGGCCAUGAAAGCUUAAGGCCUUUUAUCCUCACUUCUGUCAUUUAUGAGAACAAGGGGAAAACACAGAAUCGUUCACCUUUUUUUAAAUAAGAGAACAAACCUCUCUGUCCUCUGUUGCCCAGCAACCGUGUUCUCUGGGGCUAAACUAUUUAAACACCAAGCACAGUGUGAACACAUCCACCCAUGUCAAAACACGACCUCAUGAACUCCACUUGAAGACAGAGUUAUGUUACAAUAUUCAGAUCACGAGAAUGAAGACCAACUGAGAUGAACUGAGGAUGUGAUGUAAAAUACACUUUAAAAUUCUAUUAUGCGUGUCAUGGCACACGGAGGCCUACGGUUAUGUGGUUAUGAUUUGUAAGCGCUUAGUUUUGUUUUUUCAAAAAGAAUGGUCUUAGUUCCUAAAGUAAUAUCAAAUUGAAUAGAAUUAUUUAUACUACCUCUUUAUCCUUUUUUUUGCUAAAAGAAAAAAGUCACAAGUUCUUGGACAUGAUUUGUUGUGAGCAAAAUAUCUUCCAAAAUCAUUUAAAUUCUACAUAAAGGCGUGAAAUCUGUGGGUGUAGAUCUGGUAUUUCGUAAGGGAAGCAUUAUUGUUCUCACUUGAAGUACAUUUUUGGUAAGAGUAUUAUUGAUCAAUCUUGUAUUGGCAGGGUAUGGUUUUGCUGGACAUUAAGUCUGUAUGAAUGGUGAAGGAGGCGGAACACAAUCCCCCAUGAUCCCAGGUCCUGUUGGUGUUACUGUAACAAUGAUUUAUUCACAUUAUUAUUCAUCGACGACCAAAAUGACCAAAUCAAACAACAAACUGGCUUGUGGGAUCUAAAAAGCCAACAAGCAUGAACAUUACCCAACUAUCUCAAAUACAACAGAAAUCAUAGAUCUGAUCUCAUUUAAACAACAAAAAAAAAAAAAACAUUUUACAAAUAUUUUUUAAUAGAGAUUUUUGCCUUUGAUUGAUAGGAUAUCUUAAAAGGACAGGAAAAGUGAGGAAAGACAUAAACCAAAUCAUAUCAGGACUGUGGCUCAAUCCUGCGACAAGUACAAGGUGAGGAUGAUUGCCUCUGUGCAUGGGGUGUCCAAUCUACUCUGAGCUACACCGGAGCCCCGCAAACACAUAUUUUAAAUUGUUCCUUUUUUCUCUAAAGGACGAACCCCAAAAGUUCACAUUUUUACCCUUUUUUUAAAUUGAUCAUGAUAUUGUUUGAGCAAAACCAAAGACCCAUUAAUUCCAAGUAAAUUGAAAGAAAAAUCAAAAGGAAAUUUGGUUUCUCUCUUGGGCUCAUACGGCAGAUAUAAACCAGUGCGACACAUCUGUGUGAAUUACUGCUUUAACUGAGACUCACGAGAAACAGAUGAACUGGAGCUAAUCCUGGGCAUGUCAUGAAUCAAAAAAUGACAGCAUACAAUAUUUUUUGCAGAAAUAUUUGAAGGGGAAAAUUAUGCUUGGUUUUAUCCGAGCUGUGGCCACGUCUUAAGGUAUGUUAUGUGCUUUCCACAAUGCAGCAAAAGCAAAAGAGGUUGUUGAUAAGUGGUGUCUUUUGCAAACCACUUGCAACACAGAAAUGCAUAUAAUGUUGUCAAACAACAAACAAUGAUUCCUGAGUUAAAAAAAACCAACGACAAACAAAAACAGUUCUGUCAUUUAAAAACACAACUUAUUUCCCAGUAAUAUUGAACAUAUAUGACACCUCUAUCAUAUGAAGUGCAGUCAAACAGCACGGUGAGGGAAUGCACUCAUGCUCUGCACAAACAUGUCACGUCAUACACACCUCAGUGUAGAAAAGCUAAGCCCAUUAUCCAUAUGGAGUUUUGCUUAGGUAAGCUUUGCUCCACUUUAGAAAACUAACAACCAGAAACAAGAAAGCUACACUUGUAUGGCAGGGGAACAUUGAUGUCUUGUGGAGUGAUGGCAGCUUUGCCAUGUAGACAUAUUGCAAAGGCAAGCUUUUUGAGCAGGGUGUUGCAUGGCAGUAAAUGGUUUUCAAUCUUCCCAGACUUGAGAAAAAAUGCCUCUUUGAAAUGUGCCACACCUCCAGAAAUGAAACAUUGUACUUACAUCUCAGGCUGUCUAAGAUAACAUUCACCUUUGAAUAAUUUUUAUGCCAUACCGUAUUUUUCAGGGUUUGAGUGCACAUGCACUUAAAGAGAAUUACUCAAACUAAAGGAAAGUCAUUCAUUCUCAUAGGAACCCAACAGGAAGCCUUUGGGUCAUGUUUUUUUUCCAGGUGUUUCACUUUGGAUCCACAUCAUUCACAUCAAGAGUAACGCAGAAAAAUAGGGUCACCAGGAAGUCAAAGGAUAAAUGAUUAUGAAAGCGCCAGAAGUGGCUAUCAUUGACUUAGCCAUGCAGAAGUAACUUUUUUUGACGGAUGUUUAUUGGAAAUAGCAUUGCACAAAUCCAUAAUCUAAUUAAUUAACAAACAGCGUAUUUAUUAUUAACACUUCUGGCUGCUGACAGAGUGAUAUAGUGUGACUAAUGCUGAGUGAGCAGGUGGGUAUUCAGGCAUCGUGAGCACACUUUGAUAGCACACAUGCCUACUGAUGGAUGCAUAAUAGCUGUUAGAAUGACUGAAGGUUUGACCUUUUACUUCCAGGACAUUCUCUCCCACCGCAAGGACGGUUCACCACAACAUCCAUAAACCUUGGUCAGGGAAUUUCUAUCUCAGUGAACAAGCAAACCCAAAGUUUAGGAUCGAAAGGUUAGACAAGCAGGAGCACCACAAGACCAGCGCAGAACUUGUGCUGCUGUCAGUAAUGUUUUUCAGUAGACCUGACAACAUACUUACACGGUACUUAUCUCAGACAACAUCACAACAAGAGCAGAUAAGAGGCUAGACUUCUGUCCUCAUUUUCCAGUUCAUUUUUCAUUUCCCCCCUUACCUCCUUCGUUCUCCUUUUCACCAGCACUCUGUGGUGGAUUGUUGGAUCUCCCCUCCUCUGGCUAUCAUCCUCUGUGUGUUGGCAGAAUUUUUCACACAGCUUUUGGCCAGAGAUCAGUGAAGCACCUUGGGCACAGUACAAAAUAUAGAACCGGGACGUGGAGACAGACACAACCUCCCGCAGCAAUCUCCUCCCAAGCAAUUUUGAUAGCAGGGGUGGUGGUGUGGGUUAUUCCUUCUGUAAUACACUGUGAGGCCCUAAGCUUGUUCCCUGCACAGCAGAGAGCACUUGCUUUCCUCUGCAUGACUCUCCCUCGACAGUCAGACAAACAGACAUCCAAUCUUUGGUUUGGAUGAUUUCGCCUCUAUUGACCAUGACCUUAUCAUUCAUGUGUAAUUUGUGAGAGAAUACACACACCAAUUUAUGGCAACAAGAAGGACUCAGGCCCAGAGAUGUUAUUUUUUGUGUGUGUCUACAGUGAUGGAGCUGAAACUUUCUAGGACUUUUGAUGGUCAUUUUGCUUUAUAGCUACAUCAAGGAGAAAGUGUAUGGAAGAAAAUAAAAAAGGAAAUAUUGGACUGGUUUCAAGACGCAGUGUAACUCAAAUAUCAGGGAAACUUUUCUGAGUAUAUUCCACUCCCUGAUAAAAAGUCCACAUAGCUUUGUUUGCGUAAUCCAUCAUUUGGAUAAAACAUUUUAAACCCUUGAGUAAAGCAUUUUGGUAGAGGCCGUCUUGAUCAAUGGGUGCUUUUCUUUUCUUGUUUGCUUGAAUGUUACAUUAAUUCACUUAUUUAUGUGGGGUUUUUGAAAAGCAUUUAUUCCAUUUUAAAAAGACUCUUGACGUCAUGCCCUCAAUUAUUUCUUGACAUUUAAAGCUUAUCUAAGAUUUUUUUAGGCCAAAAACAGACUUAAUAUAUAAUUCACAAAAACAGACAAGGCCAUUAGUAAUAAUAUCAUUUCUAUACAUCUCUAAUACCUGUAAAUGAUGCUGCAGGGGGGCUGUCUGCUGUAAUAAGUUAUAGCAGGCUGCAAAUAGUAUAAAUUCAAUCCAUCAUUGGACAACCUGCUCUCUCAUUUUCAGCAUCGACCAUUGAAAAACUGAUAACAGUUAUUACUACUGAGCUUCACAGUAUAUAAAAUGAUGGACUGUUCAAAGAAAGCACAAUAAAUCUAUAUUUUGCACAGGCAAAACAUGCAAAAAGAUAACAGGUACUGUUUUAAUCAUGAGGAUACAAACCUGGAAUGACACAAACCAAAAGUAUCUCAGAGGAGAUUUUCAUGAGGCUAAAAUGAAUCUAUGACACAGAACGGAUCACAUUUGGACAAGUGACAUGUCAACUACAGGUAGCCGGGCCUAGACAUGUUUUGAUGCAUUUUUUCUGUCUGGAUACAGAUUACAUUACAUUACACCUAAUCUUCAGCAUCACCUGAUACCAAGGCGCAACAAAAUAUGGCGGUCAGUUUUUAUCGAAGUUUGAGUGUUUGUUGAAAUUAGGGGGAUAAAGUUUGUAUUUGAGCUUUCAUGAUCUAUUCCAAUACAAAAUACAACUCAUCUAGCUGUCUGAAGUAGUUUGCUGUUUGAUCUAACAGAAGAUUAUAUGGUAACGCUUUCUUUUACAGUACACUUAUUACUAGGUAAUUAACUAGUAACAACAUGAAAUUAUCUGGUAAUUACAUGAUAACUACUAAGUCAAUACUGUCUAGCAACCAGGUAGGUAACCUUCCAUCAUCAUACAAAUUUGAAGCCGAAUUGCUCUGGUAUUUCCAGGAUUUUCUCCGCUUCCUGGAACCACCACUUGCGCAGUAGCAUUAUACGCUGAGUUGCUGUGAUAAUGCUCGGUUAAAACAGCGUAUCGCUAUGCAAUCUUCUCACGCCCAUACGCCCAUGCCCAUGCCCAAGUGUCAAUCAUAGACAAUAAGAACCCCAAAUAGAUUUUGAAAAUGGAGCUGCACAGAAAAAAAAGAAAAACUAGACCAUAUUGACUUGGUAGUUAUCAUGUAAUUACCAGAUAACUUCAUGUUGUUACUAGGUAAUUACCUGUUAAUUACCUGGUAAUAAGUUUACCGUUAAAAAAAAAAAGGGUUACUGAUUAUUGUAACCUGACCAUUACACCAUUAUGUCUUUUUUGUUGUCUGGAACAUGGCAUUUUCAAUACAACACAGUCUUUUCAAUUUGGGCUGCUAUCUUUGUCUUAUUGUGCUUUGAUGUAAAACAAAGUAAUGAAAAUGCUUUGUGUCUGUGCAGUGGCAGUGGGCGGGCUGGGGUCGUUGAAUGUACUCACACAUCCACAGGUCAUGAUCUACAUCUAUUUGAGAUCAAUUUUUCAAACAAGUCACACCCCUACACCAGAUAUCAUUCCAGAUAAAUAUGCACACUAUUUGCUUGGGGGUAAGGGGUACUGUAAUGAUACUUUCAACUAUCACAGCUCGGUUGGUACAUUGUGGUUGCACUAUAGAAUAUUGUCACACUAUAAUUCACUUAAAACUAGCUGAUUUAUGUAACACGCAAACAUAUCAAGCUCUUGUGACCCUUUGGACCAGCAAGUAUAAGCUGUGUCCUAAAUGAGGGUACAAAUCCAAGAUCAAUUAAUUUAAACAAGCUAGUCUGUAAUGUUGGGUAAUGUUGACUUUAACUAGCUGAGUCAAACUGGCCUAAACUUUCAAGAAGAACAAGAGCAAUCCACCACAUCCUCAAGUGAGUUUGGACGCCUUGCCUUGACACAACCAUUAUGAUGAGGUGAUGAUUAAAGCCAAUAUCCUUAAUCUAAGACUCGUGUAAAUUGACCAAAGUGACACUGAGUGGUAAAAUGGAACACCACUCUGCCAUGAGUAAGGAAUUACAUUUUAACAAGGCUGAAUUUAAAACAUACACAUGGCUAAAGCCAGAUAGAUGCAUUGCGAAUACUCAUCCAUCGAUUGAUCUAAACCAAAAUCCUUUUAAGGGAAUAUUGGUAACACAAAAGCUUUACUGAGAAGAAACAUAACUUUCUUAUACUAAAAGUUUCCUUAGUCCAAGUUACACUUCUUUUUAAUGAGUCUCCCCUGCUGGUCACAAAAAACAGUGCAGGUUCAUGCCCCUGAACAUUUUCUUUAUAUUCAAAACCAAGAGGCUUAGUUCGCUUCUUUUAUGCAGUAAACGAAACCAAAUUCAGGGAUACAGUCUGGAGUCGCCAAGGAAAGCUAUCUCUCCUUCUUUUGUAAAGCAGCACAUGACCGAGGAAGGACAUUUAGUCCAAUAUUAAAGCUUAUUUUGUUUAGUUUUAAUUCAUUCAUGAAUGAUUUCAUUGAUCAGGCUAAGAACAAAACAGCCUUACAGUGAAAUAUGAACUGCCAGUGAGGCAGCCAGCUUCACAUUACUAAAAACCUUCUGCAUCCAUCUAUGCCAUGUUUGAUGCCUGUGGUUAGGGCGCAUAUUGACAGUUUAUGUGUUUGAUUCAUGUUUCUGAAGAACAAACAGUUCAAGCUGAUGUGUUAUUUUAGCUCUAUCAUCGGCAGCUUGAAAGGCACCACAACUGACUGAAUAUCGUCAGUGAUACUGUGUAGAUAAGAGAAUUAAUCCAUGCCACACUAAUGGAACAAAAGACAAGUUAUAAUUUACUUUGGCACAUCUUCCAUUGUCUGCUAAUGCAAUUAUCAAUAAGCUGUGAUACUUGUAGAAAAAGUGUUGUUCCCCUCUCUCUAGCUGGCUAAGGCUUUAGAAGGGAAUGAGUUGCACAGAGGGAUGUUAUUGUUUCAGAAAGAGGCUUUAAAUUUGUGCAGCUGAAUGCAAAUGAAUGUCUUUGAAGUACGGCAAUCUUAGAAAUUAAGGAUAUCCAUUCUUUUCUAAAUAAAACAGAAAGUGGCAAAAGUUGGCACAAAAAGAACCUUGAGGCAAAAAAUGGGAAGGCUGUUUGUAUUAGCUGUCAAAAACGACCAUCUCAUCUUGUGAACUGUUCCAGAAGUAGCUAAAAAGGAGGAGUGGGUAAGUAGUGUCAGUCUUUUUUUGCAUUAAAGAGCAUAUUUUGUUAUUGAAGGAGAACCUCUAUCAGGGAUGUGCAGGCAAUUACACCAAAUGCUCCCAUGCAUGAAAUUCCAGCUGGUUGUUAUUGAUAAAUUUCCAAACACCUCCAAAGACUUUUCAAAUUACCUCUCUCCCUUAUUAAAACUUAACUCAUGCAUUUCAUCCCCCAUCCCUUUUUUUUUUCCAAGGGUAUGUGCGAGCGUGUUUGUGUGAUAGUGUUGGAGAAAGCAGGAAAAUAUGCACGAGAGAGAGUGAGGGAAAGAGACAGUGGAGGAGAGAUAAAGAGAGGGAGUGUGUAGGAUUGGAGUGGUGGACAUAUGAACAGACAGCAUCCAUUUAUCUCCUCCUGGAGUACUGUUGGGCAGGGCUUCAUUAUUAGUAGAGAACCGUAAGCUGAACAUAUUUGAGUCUCUCUGUAUUCAAGAAGCAUACCUCUGCAUUAACACAAGCCAUUUCUCUUUACAUGGCUGAAUGAGAUUCCCUUUAAAAUCAUGCGAAGGUCAAAUGAAUUGCUAGACUCCAAGGGUAAAAGAAAUCUCUGGUUCUGCUCCCUAAAUACCCCCAUGCCUCGAAGUCAUUUCUCAAGAAUGGAUCUGCUUAUUCGAAAUGACAUCUUAAUUGCACUGAGUGGAGAUGAAUGGAUUGCAUAAAUGCAAAUGAAUAAGUAAGAACAGUGGUUAAGUUAUUUAUUUCCUCUGAAGCUUAACAGCCUAAUGUGAGGUUACACCUUUAUCAAGAACGCCACUUUAAGAGGGAAGCUUGUUGUUGGGAAAUAUGUGAGAGAGACAAUUCAAUUAGUAGUGGACAAUAGUAAAAACCCAGCCCCCUCUAUAAUCUCACAGCACAUUUACUACAAAAGAGGUGAGGAGAUGCUUUUACUGGCCCUUUCAACUCUUAUUUCAAUAAACCAUUUGUCUACACUGUCAUGGGACAAAUUUGUCUUUCCUCUCAGCAAACAGUGAGAACCUCUGGCCGCACAAGAUCUGCGCUGCGGUUUGUAAACAACGGACUGGCAGUUCUGGACAGCACAUUUGCUUUGACAACCUCCUCAGAGUAAUCAGACAGACCGCCAUUUAUUGUCUCUUCUCUUGAACCCUUCCUGCCCUCUAACCCAAACCCGGCAGAGAUAAGAACACCCCUCCCCUCAACACAUUUAAAUGUAAAUGUAGCUCCGUGUGGGGACUUUCAUGAAUAAAGACACACUUCCAACUGCGACGAGCCUUUAUUACACUGUAAUUAAUCAUCUCAUUGGGCUAGAGAUUAAUAGUGAAGGAAAAUUAAAUGCAUCUUCGCUCACCGACUCUGCAAAGAUUGAUUUUGUAAGCCUCAGAAAAAUAAUGAAAGGUGCAAUGUGAUUAAAAUAAACGGAGCAGCAUGUUGUGCAGCCCUCAAAUAUUUACAGGGUGUAAAUAUUUAUCAGCUAAGUGUUAAGAGACACAGAAUACCAGCCAUCAAGGCUACUUUACAGAGGAGAGCAUUUCAGCCUGAUGGAUGUGAACUUUUUUUUUUUCCCUGAAAGCAUAAUAAUGACACACGCUUUGAUGUCAGAGCACUCCAUAGAUGCCUGGAAAAGCUACAUAAAACAGCAGCCUCUUUUUACACUCUCUAAAUGUGUCACAAAGAUGUACUCACAAGGCACUGCCUGUUAUGAAUUACGCAUUCCCCUCACGCACCCCUCGUACCGUCCCGUCCUUUGAGACGCAGACAUAAACCCACAGCUAUAAAGUAAAUGCACACUAACACCCCUCACCCCUGUAGCGUACAGGCCACCGGGGGCAGCGGCAGCAUAGACAGCUGUAGAGGUAAGUCGUACCGGUGCCAUGACACGAGGAGGCAGGCUGCCACUUCUGUUGGCUCUGCGAGCUGCAGAGGUGGAUGUAAGUCCGGAUUAGUAUGCAAAGGCUGUCUUGAGUCAUGGCGGGGCAUUGUGUCUGUCCUGACAAAGCACAGGUGGGAGAGUGAGUGUGUGCGCAAAAAGGCAGGUUUGCUUUGAUGCUAUAACACUCAGUUUGUCAUCCAAACAAUCUGUCACUCACCCUUUUGUGCUUUGAUUUCUUGUUGUGGAGGGUGACAUUGUAAAGUGGUGGUGAUUGUAUAGUGAGAUGUUAAAAGACGGACAUGCCUCUGUUAAAUUCGACAAUAGACUUGUAAAACGAACGUGACGGACGGCAUACUUUUAAUCCUUAAUUUGCUGGCUGACUUCACUAAGAACAUAUUUUCAUUCAUGGAUACAACACAAGGGGAUCAGCAGCAGGGAGGAAAGCAGCAAUACACAGUUGCAUAGCUAGAAGCAAAAACAAAUGUCUUACCAGAAGCUAAACACCUGUGGCUUCAACCACAGAACUGGAUUUUGAGCUUGUGAUGCAGAUGGCAAGGUUGAUGAUUAUUAAUUUUAUACUAUUACUAUUUUACAGUACAUGAUAUUGCACUCACCAACAGCCAGUAGCACUGCAAACACUGCUCUUGGCGUUUGCCCAUAUCUUUUACUGCUUCAGCUGCUGGCUGCUUUGAGGCGAUAUUUUUAUAUUAGAGAGCAGCUCUGAUUCAUGUUUGACCUCCCUGCCACACCAGCCCCCUUUGAAUGUGGUGCUGGCAGAAUAAUAAAUGCACUUGUUGGUGUAAAAAUGGUGGAAUCUCAUGAAUGUGAGCACUAGCAAGUGAAUUCAUAAAAUGUUCACGUAGAUAUAAUGUAAAAAGCAUGAAAAAGGCUACCAUCAGAGUGACAGUUAAUUCCUGCACAUCAGCUGAGAGGGAAGCAAAAAUGGAAUACUGAUUUCUUUCAAGACAUUUAACUGAUUUGCAUGGCUUCUGGUGUCUAAAUCCUUAUUUUUAUGCCAUACUAUUUACAUAACACGUAGCGCCAGUGGUCAGGAUGGAAUAUUUCCAGGUUUAAUCAUUCUCUGAAUAAACUGUAUCAGGCAUGAAUCAACAUAAAUGGGAUUAAAUACUGCUCAGUAUUUAUUCUCUUUGAAGGUCAUUUCUGACAUUUGCUGGUCAACAACAUAAUGAUGUCAUCACAGGAUGACAGGAACGGUAUGUUUCACCUUGCUCUCACUGGGCCCAAAACGUAUGCAAUAAAUAAAAUCCAUAUUAAACGCAAUGAUUCAUAAGCUGCUGUGUGCUCUGCUCUGUACAAAAGCAGACGCCUGAUUGCAUGUCUCAUCAAUGGUGCACUUCAUUUAACUUGAGCUGACAGACAGAUUGCAAUUUGUUUUACACACACCCUUUAUGACAGCGUCCUUUACCAUCCGGCAAACAUAAUAUCAUGUCAGUACUUAACGCACAGUUUUUGCAGAAUAUAUUUCCCCCGUGACCUUCAGAUAAGGUGUCAUUUACUACACCGUUACCCCCACAAACAUGAAAACCUCUGUGUGUGUCCUUGUAGCAAUGAUUAAAGUUACAGCUGCUGAUGGUGUACUGUGUAAUUUGCUAGCUUGGAAAUAAUUACACCACACCACUUGUGAUUGUAUCGGCCAUUAAAGUCUAUUGCUUACACAAGUGUCAGCAAUAGAUGGCGUGUAGCAGUUUGUUCUGUACAUUUGUGGUAUAUGAUUGCUCCACUAGCUGUUUUUUUUUUUACGAUAAGGUCUCUUAAGCCCCCUGGCACCAUCCCCUCCUGCUCCACUGUUGAUUCAUGUGUAGGGGGUGACAUCUUACUGGUCUUACAUACCUGCUGGGUGCUGCUCUUUGCAUCCAAUAUUUUCCCCCCUCUAUAUAAACACAAUCCUAUGCUGUCAAGUUCCAUUACGCUACAUGACUUCAGACCCAAACGCCCACUGUGCACGGACUCUGGUGUACAACUCAUCCUUAUCCCAUUGCAAAAGCACUGUGUUGCGUUGUCAGUUCAGAUUACAUUGGGAGUAUGCAGUCAUACAUUGGUUACACAGGGGACUACAGCAUCUUUGAUUCCUACAGCUGCUCUCUUCUCCCAAGGUCCCUGUCCUGCUCCAUAAGCACGUGUCAACUGCCAUCGGUAAACAUCAAGGGCGGCUGCAGUGAUCCAUGAACUAGUAACUUUUUGUUUCACUUGUUCUCUCUGGUUGUGACAUCCACGGGGCUUUUCACCUCGACAUUUGACAUCAAGGCUUUCAAGGAAAGGAAUUAUUAUUCGAAAGGUUGUUGCUGUUGUUGGUAUUUUGCAAGAAAAUGCCAGCCCACACGGCAUCUUUCUGCAUUAGAUUUAUACUAUUUUAAGCUUCACUAAUCUGUUUUUCUUUUUUUUUUCAAUGACUUUGGGAAAUGUGCAAAAUGUUGUUUGUGAAAGAGACAAUCACAGAGCAUUAUCAUCCAGUCCCACAGUUCCUUUAUGCUUUGUGAAGUGUUCUGGUAUCUUUCAGUUCAUUGUUUUGGUUUUACAGCCUUUACAACUUUAUUGAUUUAAUUCAGUCCCUCUGCCUCAAAAGUCUCCUUUUCAGCAGCAAGUACAGUACUUAUUCAGCAAGAAUACACCAAAAAAAUACCCAAACAGUUCUUCCUUGGCACCAGAACAAAACAAAUUGACUUGUAGGAAGCAAAACGAUACACUAACAAUGAUAGAACUGCAGCCUUUUUUGUAUGCAUUCUCCAACAGCACUGUAACCUAUUGCGCCUUUGUACCUUCAUGAUGAUCCAACAUGGCAUAAUAUAGGUGUCCUUGUGUGCCGUUUCACAUUGCAUCAUGGCACUGUAGAAGCACAAGAGGAACUUCACAUACAGUGCCCAGCAUAUGUCAGUACACCCCCAAUUAAAAGUAAUGAAUUACUCAAUAUCAAGAUGAGCAGAGGUACAAUUUCUUAAGUUUUGACAAAGCUGAGUUUAACAUUACAUUGUAUUUACCACAAGAAGAAAAUAAGGGUGGUAUGGUAACUAAAAUUUUGCUUUGCUCCCAGAACUUUAAUUGGGGUGUACUCAUUUUUGCAUCCUGAUUUUAAAUUGAAAAAAAUAUAUAUACUUUUUUUUUGUACACAACUUAAAAAAUCUAGUUCGCAAUCAAUGGCUUACAUUUGGGGGAGUAUUUUGUUGUAUAGUCUGACAUAGAAAAUGUUGAUUUUGAAAGGAAACUAAAGGUUUUCUGACAACUCUGAAGGGAUGUACUCAUUUAUGCUGAGCACUGUACAUAUCAAGACCCACACACACACACACACACACACACACACACACACACGUUCUGUUCCACCCUGCUCACUCUGCCGGCUUGCACCUCACCUCCAGAACACCUCUAUUACUGUCUUUAAUGCACAUUCAGGUCAUAAUGUACCAAUGUUGUGAAAGAGCUGCCCUCAAGGACAGAAAUCACUCGAUGCUUAUUUUUCAUAAUGAAAAGCCCUCCUGUUGUUGCAGACACUUGAUUUACAAGAUGAAACAAGAUGAAAAGCCUGCUUAUUCACUAAUAUAUAAUCAAAGUGCUUAAAACUAAAGCACCGUGAGACAACGAUAUUAUUGAUGGUUUACCUGAUAACUAUAUUGUUCUCUACACAUCUCUUUAAAUGUAUUAUGAACACUGCCAUCACCCAACGGGGAAAGACACAAGAAAAACCUCACAUGAGAACUUCAGUCACUUAUGAUAAAACAAGACAAGAUACUUUAAAGAUAGCUUUGAAGCUUAGGAUGAGACAUUCCUAGACUGUAAAUGGAAGAUGCUUUACUUUUGAACUUUGAAGAUGGAUACCUUUUUCUGCUGAUUGUAGAUUCAGAGAUGCCCCUGAGACUCAGGACUCCCCUGGAUCAGCUUCUAUCUGCAAAGUCCCAAGGGAAGUCCUGCUGGAUGAUAAAGGAAGAGCUACCCUGAAGAAGACAGAUGUCCCAAUCACCUUCAGCCCUGGGAAUUAUUUAAAAGCUACUUCCUGCAUUAAAGAACGGAC